rnacentral:lncRNA from 1 species
UGUGGUGUUCCUCGCGGUGUCAACUGUGAAACAAUUCUAAAUUGUCUUAAGUGAGCACCAACUCGUAACUCAGAUAUUCUCCUCCUCGAUCAGAUCGUAGGAAUUUGAUCUUCUUGCUACGACGAUUUUCAACUUCACUCUGAAAUUGUUUAAACUCUUCAAACGUUUUAGACUUGUGCUUCAUCAAGUAGUUAUAGCCAUACCUACUCAAAUCGUUAGUGAAAGUGAGAAAAUAACGAUAUCCGCCGUGCACCUCUAUGCUCAUUGGUCCGCACACAUCAGUAUGUAUGAUCUCCAAUAAGUCACUCGCACGCUCCAUUGUUCCAAAGAACAGAGUCUUAGUCAUCUUGCCCAUGAGAUAUGGUUCGCAUGUGUCAAGUGAUUCAAAAUCAAGUGACUCCAAAACUCCAUCAACAUGGAGUUUCUUCAUGCGCUUAACGCCAACAUGACCUAAGCGGCAGUGCCACAAGAAAGUGGCGUUAUCACUGUUAACUCUACAUCUUUUGGUCUCAAUGUUAUGGAUAUGAGUUUCAUCACAAUCGAGAUUCAAUAUGAACAAACCCCUCACAUUGGGUGCAUGACCAUAAAAGAUGUUACUCAUAUAAAUAGAACAACCAUUAUUCUCAGACUUAAAUCUAUAACCGUCUCGCAAUAAACAAGAUCCAAAUAUAAUGUUCAUGCUCAACGCAGGCACUAAAUAACAGUUAUUUAAGUUCAUAACUAAUCCCGAUGGUAACUAAAGUAAGACCGUGCCGACGGCGAUCGCAUCAACCUUCGAACCAUUUCCCACGCGCAUCAUCACUUAAUCCUUAGCCAGCCUUCGUUUAUUCCGCAGUUCCUGUUUCAAGUUGAAAAUGUGAGCAACAGAACCGGUAUCAAAUACCCAGACACUACUACGAGAGUUGGUGAGGUACACAUCAAUAACAUGUAUAUCAUAUAUACAUUGUUUGGCGUUGGCCACCUUCUUAUCGGCCAAAUACUUGGGACAGUUGCACUUCCAGUGACCAGUCCCCUUGCAAUAGUAGCACUCAGUUUCCAGCUUAGGCCCAGCCUUGGGUUUCUUUGUCGGAGGGGCAACAAAUUUGCUAGUCUUCUUGGAGUUACCCUUCUUUCCUUUGUCAUUCUUCUUGAAACUAGUUGUCUUAUUGACCAUCAACACUUGAUGUUCUUUCUGGAUUUCUGACUCAGCGACUUUUAGCAUCGCAAAUAAUUCGUCGGGUGACUUAUUCAUCCCUUGCAUGAUAUAGUUCAACACGAAGAUCUUGUAGCUAAGUGGUAGUGAUUGAAGAUUUCUGUCAGUGGUAGCUUCUUGCGGGAGAGCGAUCCCCAGCUCAGCUAGACGGUUUGAGUACACAGACAUUUUGAGCACAUGUUCACCGACAAACGAAUUCUACUCCAUUUUGCAAGCAUAGAAUUUAUUGGAAGUCUCAUACCUCUUGAUCCGGGCAUUCUUCUCAAAGAUAAACUUCAACUCCUGAAACAUCUCAUAUGCUCCUUGAGGUUCAAAAUGUCUUCGAAUUCCCGGUUCUAAGCCAUACAAAACUACACAUUGAAGUAGUGAGUAGUCAUCCUUACGAGCUUGCCAAGCGUUCAAAACAUCUUGGUCAGCCGUAGCAGGUGGUUCAUCUCCUAGCGCUACAUCAAGGACAUAAUUGGUUUGCCCAACUUGGAGGAUAAGCCUCAGAUUUCGAGCCCGGUCUACAAAGUUGCUACCAUCAUCUUUCAACUUAGCUUUCUCUAGGAACGUAUUGAAAUUCAGGGUUGCUCCUGCGGGAGCCAUUGAUCUACAACAUAAAAUUUUGCAAAUAUUACUUACACUAUGCUCAAGACAAUUGAGUUUAGCUAAUCAUAUUACUAAUAAACUCCCACUCAAAUCGACAUACCUCUAGUCGUUCGAGUGUCGCAUUAUCCAAAUUCACUAACUCAAGUCCGAUCAUCACGUGAGUUGAGUAUAGUUUCAGUGGUGAACAUCUCCAUGUUGAUCAUAUCCACUAUAUGAUUCAUGCUCGACCUUUUGGUCUCUUGUGUUCUAAGGCCAUGUCUGUACAUGCUAGGCUCGUCAAGUUUAACCCGAGUGUUCCACGUGUGCAACUGUUUUCCACCCGUUGUAUGUGAACCUUGAGUCUAUCACACCCGAUCAUCACGUGGUGUCUCGAAACGACGAACUGUAGCAACGGUGCACAGUGGGGGAGAACACAAUUUUAUCUUGCAAUUUUAGUGAGGGUUACCUUAUAAUGCUACCGUUGUUCUAAGCAAAAUAAGGUGCAUAAAAGGAUUAACAUCACAUGAAAAUCAUAAGUGACAUGAUAUGGCCAUGGUCUUGUGCUUCUUGAUCUCCAUAACCAUAGCACCGGCAUGAUCUUCAUCGUCACCGGCGCCUCACGAUGAUAUCCAUCAUCAUGAUCUCCAUCAUUGUGCCGCCAUCGAGGUUGUCAUGCUAUCUAUGCUAUUACUACUAAAGCUACUACCUAGCAAUAUAGUAAAUGCAUCUACAAGCACAAACGCUAGUUUAAAGACAACCCUAUGGCAACUGUCGGUUGCCGUAGCAUCGACAUGCAAGUUGAUAUUUAAUUAUUACAACAUGGUCAUCUCAUACAUCCAAUAUGUCACAUCAUGUCUUUAGCCAUAUCACAUCACAUGCAUACCCUGCAAAAACAAGUUAGACAUCCUCGAAUUUUUUGUUGCAUGUUUUACGUGGCUGCUAUGGGUAUCUAGUAUGAUCUCACAUUACUUACGCAAAGCCACAACGGUGAGAUGCAAAUUGCUAUUUAACCUUCUCCAAGGACCGCCUCGUUAAAAUCCGAUUCAACUAAAGUUUCAGAAACAGACACCCGCCAGUCAUAUUGAUGCAACAAGUUGCAUGUCAUUCAAUGAAACCGGUCUCUCGUAAGCGUACAAGUAAGGUUGGUCCGGGCCGCUUCAAUAUAACAAUACCGCUGAAUCGAGAAAAUACUAAGGAGGGCAGCAAACAGAACAUCUACGCCCACAAACUCUUUUAUGUUCUACUCGAGAUUUCAUCUAUGCAUGAACCUAGCUCAUGAUGCCACUGUUGGGGAACGUUGCAUGGGAAACAAAAAAUAUCCUACGCACAAGAAGACCUAUCAUGGUGAUGAUCAUCUACGAGAGGGAGAUCGGAUCUACAUACCCUUUUAGAUCGCUAAGUGGGAAGCAUUAAGAAACGCGGUUGAUGUAGUGGAACGUCUUCACGAUCCAAAUCACCGCCGUCCCACGAUUCAUCCCGAUCUAGCACCGGACGGACGACACCUCCGUGUUCACCACACGUACAGCUCGAUGACAAUCUCCGCCUUUUUGAUUGAGCAAGAGAGACGGGGAAGUAGAUGAGUUCUCCAGCAGCAUGACGGCGCACCGGUGAUGGUGGUGAUCUAUUCCUGCAGGGCUUCCCCUAAGCAUCGUAGAAAUCCGAUCUAAAGGAAGAACUACAAACUAGAGGAGAGGGUUGCACGUGGCUAAAAUUGUGUCUCAAAACCCUCAAACCUCUAGUAUAUAUAGGAGGAAGGAGGGGCUAGGCUUGCGCACCACGGGAGCCUCCCUUGGGCUCGGCCGAACAAGGAGAGGAGGAGUCCUCCUCCAAUCCUACUUUGAUUAGGACUCCUCCCCAAGUUGUCCUCUUUUGGUUUUUCCACCUUUUACCUCAUGGGAUUUCUUUGGUUGACUAGUCAGCCCAUCAAGGGCUGUUCCGCCACCAUCAAGUCCACGUGGCCCCCUUGGGGAGUGGUGGGCCCACUUGGUGGACCCCUAUACUCAUUCGUCAAUCCGGGUACAUUGUGGGUAAUGCAUGAAAUCCUUCCAGAAUCCAAAUACCAACUUCAUAUAUAUGAAUCUUCAUUUCCGGACCAUUCCGGAACUCCUCGUGACGUCUGAGAUCUCAUCUGGGACUCCGAACAGAACUUCAGUCACAAGCACCUACAACUCAACUAUACCGAAAUGUCACCGAACCUUAACUUUGCAGACCCUGCGGGUUUGAGAACUAUGUAUACAUGACAUGAGACACUCUCCGGUCAAUAUCCAAUAGCGGGACCUGGAUGUCUAUAUUCGAUCCUACAUAUUCUACGAAGAUCUUAUCGGUUGAACCUCUAUGUCAAGGAUUCAUAUAAUCCCGUAUACCAUUCCCUUUGUCCUUCGGUAUGUUACUUGCCCGAGAUUCGAUCGUCGGUAUCUCCAUACCUAUUUCAAUCUCAUUAGCGGCAAGUCUCUUUACUCGUUCCAUAAUACAAGAUCCCGUGGCUAACUCUUUAGCCACAUUGCUUGCAAGGCUUGUAUGUGAUGUUGUAUUACCGAGUGGGCCCCGAGAUACCUCUCCGUCACAUGGAGUCACAAAUCCCAGUCUUGAUCCAUGCUAACUCAACGGACCCCUUCGAAGAUGCCUGUAGAGUACCUUUAUAGUCACGCAGUAACGUUGCGACAUUUGAUACACACAAGGCAUUCCUCCGGUGUCAGUGAGUUACAUGAUCUCAUGGUCAUAGGAAUGAAUACUUGACAUGCAGAAAACAAUAGCAACAAAAUGACACUAUCAUAUGCUACGUUUAUAGGUUGGGUCUUGUCCAUCACAUCAUUCCCCUAAUGAUGUGAUCUCGUCAUCAAGUGACAAAACUUGUCUAUGGCUAGGAAACCUUAACCAUCCUUGAUCAGUAGGUUAGUCAACUAGAGGCUCACUAGGGACAUACUUUUGUCUAUAUAUCCACACAUGCAUUUAUGUUUCCAUACAAUAAAGUUAUAGCAUGGAUAAUAAAUGAUUAUCUUGAAACAGGAAAUCUGAUAAUAACUAUUUUAUUAUUGCCUCUAGGGCAUAUUUUCAGCAGAAGGUAUACCCAACUAUCUCUUUUGGGUAACCUAUGAAGACACACUUUUCUGCUUUGGGUUCCAGCUUUUCAGGCUANNNNNNNNNNNNNNNNNNNNNNNNNNNNNNNNNNNNNNNNNNNNNNNNNNNNNNNNNNNNNNNNNNNNNNNNNNNNNNNNNNNNNNNNNNNNNNNNNNNNUGACUAUAAAGAUGCUCUACAGGUAUCUCCGAAGGUGUUCGUUGAGUUAGUAUGGAUCAAGACUGGGAUUUGUCACUCCGUGUGACGGANNNNNNNNNNCUGCAUGUCAAGUAUUUGUUCCUAUGACCAUGAGAUCAUAUUACUCACUGACACCGGAGGAAUACUUUGUGUGUAUCAAACGUCGCAACGUAACUGGGUGACUAUAAAGAUGCUUUACAGGUAUCUCCGAAGGUGUUCGUUGAGUUAGUAUGGAUCGAGACUGGGAUUUGUCACUCCGUGUGACGGAGAGGUAUCUCGGGGCCCACUCGGUAAUACAAACAUCACACACAAGCCUUGCAAGCAAUGUGACUUAGUGUAAGUUGAGGGAUCUUGUAUUACGGAACGAGUAAAGAGACUUGCCGGUAAACGAGAUUGAAAUAGGUAUACAGAUACUGAUGAUCGAAUCUCGGGCAAGUAACAUACCGAAGGACAAAGGGAAUGACAUACGGGAUUGUAUGAAUCCUUGGCACUGAGGUUCAAACGAUAAGAUCUUCGUAGAAUAUGUAGGAUCCAAUAUGGGCAUCCAGGUCACGCUAUUGGAUAUUCACCGAGGAGUCUCUCGGGUCAUGUCUACAUAGUUCUCGAACCCGCAGGGUCUGCACACUUAAGGUUCGACGUUGUUUUAUGCGUAUUUGAGUUAUAUGGUUGGUUACCGAAUGUUGUUCGGAGUACCGGAUGAGAUCAUGGACAUCACGAGGGUUUCCGGAAUGGUCCGGAAACGAAGAUUGAUAUAUAGGAUGACCUCAUUUGAUUACCGGAAGGUUNNNNNNNNNNUAGGUCCCUCUAUUGGAUAUUGACCGAGGAGUCUCUCGGGUCAUGUCUAUAUACAUAGUUCUCGAAACCGCAGGGUCUGCACACUUAAGGUUCGACAUUGUUUUAUGCGUAUUUGAGUUAUAUGUUUGGUUACCGAAUGUUGUUCGGAGUCCCGGAUGAGAUCACGGACGUAACGAGGGUUUCCGGAAUGGUCCGAAAACGAAGAUUGAUAUAUAGGAUGACCUCAUUUGAUUACCGGAAGGUUNNNNNNNNNNGUCGGAGUCCCGGAUGAGAUCACGGACGUCACGAGGGUUUCCGGAAUGGUCCGGAAAUGAAGAUUGAUAUAUAGGAUGACCUCAUUUGAUUACCGGAAGGUUUUCGGAGUUACCGGGAAUGUACCGGGAAUGACGAAUGGGUUCCGGGAGUUCACCGGGGGGGGGGGGCAACCCACCCCGGGGAAGCCCAUAGGCCUUGGGGGUGGCACAUCAGCCCUUAGUGGGCUGGUGGGACAGCCCAAGAAGGCCCUAUGCGCCAUAGAAAAAAAUGAAAGAGAAAAUAAAAAAAAGGAGGAGGUGGGAAAGGAAAGAAGGACUCCACCCACCAAACCAAGUAGGACUCGGUUUGGGGGGGGGGAGACCUUCCCCCCUUGGCUCGGCCGACCCCCUUGGGGCUCCUUGAGCCCCAAGGCAAGGCUCCCCCUCUCCCACCUAUAUAUACGGAGGUUUUAGGGCUGAUUUGAGACGAGUUUUCCACGGCAGCCCGACUACAUACCUCCACGGUUUUUCCUCUAGAUCACGUUUCUGCGGAGCUCGGGCGGAGCCCUGCUGAGACGAGAUCAUCACCAACCUCCGGAGCGCCGUCACGCUGCCGGAGAACUCUUCUACCUCUCCGUCUCUCUUGCUGGAUCAAGAAGGCCGAGAUCAUCNNNNNNNNNNNNNNNNNNNNNNNNNNNNNNNNNNNNNNNNNNNNNNNNNNNNNNNNNNNNNNNNNNNNNNNNNNNNNNNNNNNNNNNNNNNNNNNNNNNNAAGCUUUACCUUCUGGCCCUGAUGCACGCUGGCAUGGCCGUGAGAUUCCAGCUGGCUUUGCUAAAGUCGGGGUGGAUGAAAUCAUGACGGGGUUUAAUGAUAUGGAGCUCGACAUAGCUGGACCCGAAGAUAAGAGGACACUCGGAGAAGUACUGGGUGGAGUCAUCCUAUGGGACAAGAACUACAUCAAGCUUCCAGGCUCGGCCCCAAGGACAACACCGCCUCCGAGUCGUCGCAGGUCACCUACACCUCCAUUACCUCCAAGCCCUCCACAUGACGUCGUCCAGCACAACACGAGUCCAUCUCGAUCACCGCCGCCGGACUUGGGUCGUCCGUCUCCGCCGCCGCCUGCUCCGGAUACAAAGCGGGAGCGUGCCACCAAGAACGCUCCGCCGACGAUUCCUAAGCCACAGAGCACCCCAAAGCGCAAACGGUUUCCCCUCCCAAAGGUACGUCAUGCUAAUCUUCCUAUCAGACCUUAUGAUCGUACCCCCGAGGAAAACGCCAGGAUAGCAAAGGAACAUUAUGAUGUGCAGAUGAAAAAGAAGGAACCCAAUCCCCGCCCGGAAUACACCGAGAAGCAAAUAGCAUUUGCAAAAUACUUCACGACCCUUCCAUCACAGUAUGACGACGAAGGUCCUACCAGAGCAAUGCGCGAUUGCUGUUGCAGAGGAGCUUGCGACCUUUCUGAGGACGGAAACUAUAGAUGACAAAGGACGAUAUAGUGUAGCUAGGGGGCAUUACUGAUAUUCGUCCAUGUAAUCGAAUAGACGGGCUCUAGUCCCGAUAAUUCAGAUCUCCAUAUAAUUGUAUAUAUAUAUGCUCGCUUGUAAGAUAAGUUAACCUUAUAUAUAUAUAUAUGUAUAAUUAUUUCUAUAUAAAUUAUAUGAAAACUAAUUCUCGAACACCAAACGAGGCAUCACGUUAAUCUCCCGAACACCUAAACCCUAAAACCCAAAAAUAAUUUCAUUCAAAAAAAACCCCGAAAAUAAGCAAAAUCUGAAACUCUUUAGUUCCGGCCCGUGUAACGAACCGGGACUAAAGGUCCUGCCCCUGGGGCGCUACAAGGCGCCCACGUGGAGCACCUUUAGACCCGGCUUGUAACAGGGCCGGGACUAAAGGUUAGGCCUUUAGUCCCGGUUGGUGAACCGGGACUAAAGCCCCUUACGGGCCGGGGCUAAAGGCCCCGUCCCCACUAGUGAUAGUGGAUACUAGGGAUCAAAACCCAUCAAAACUAACUCGAUUACAUGAUAGAUCUCAUCCAACCCAUCACCGUCCAGCAAGCCUACGAUCGAUGAGAUUACUCACGAACGGUGAAGAGCAUCAUGGAAUUGGCGAUGAAGGAUGGUUGAUGAUGACGAUGACGUCGAUCUCCCCUCUCCGGACCCUAGAACGGACUCCAGAUCUGCCCUCCAGAGGAAGAACAAGUGGUGGCGACGGCUCCGUAUCUUAAAACGCGAUGAACUCUUCUCCUUUUAUUUUUUCUGGGCGAGAUAGACUAUAUAGUGCUCGAGUUGGAGGCGGCGGAGCCACGAGGGCCUCACAAGCCUGCCAAGCGCGGCUAGGGGGCCACGCCUCCUGGGCUUGUGGGCUCCUGGCUCCGUCCCUCCACGUAAUUCUUGCGUCAGUAUUUUUUAUAUAUUCGACAAAAAAUCCUCGUAAAUUUCCAGGUCAUUCCGAGAACUUUUAUUUUUGCGUAAAAACAACACCAUGGCAAUUCUGCUAAAAACAACGUCAGUCCGGGUUGGUGCCAUUCAAAUCAUGCAAAUUAGAGUUCAAAACAAGGGCAAAAGAGUUUGAAAAAGUAGAUACGGUGGAGACGUAUCAGUGAUCAAAUGUUAUUACUGCAAAAAUAAAUACGUAAAAUUCAUAUAUUGUGCUCAUAAAACAACAUACAACUAUGUAAAACAUUUAAAUGCAAGAACAAAUGUGAUCAACAUCACAACUAAGGUAACAAUUGACCCAACAUCAUAAUGAUACCAAGCCUCUUUAUCAAUGGCAUAUUUUCUAAUAUUCCUAAUCUCUAACCACACUUCAUCCAUCUUCAAGCGCAUUGCGUCCAUCUUCAAUCGCAUUGCAUCCAUCUUGAUCUUGUGAUCAACGACGACAUCGGCAACAUACAACUCCAAUUCCAUAUUCUUCUCUUUAAUUUUUUCUAUUUUUUUCUUCAAGUAACUAUUUUCUUUUUCAACUAAAUUUAACCUCUCGACAAGAGGGUCGGUUGGAGUUUCCGGUUCACAUACCUCCUAGAUAAAAACAUCCAUGUCACGUUGGUCGGCAUAAUUGUCAUAAACACUAAAUAAAACAAAUAGUUAUAAAAGAAAAUAUAGCACGUCUCAAUCAUAGGCCGGACGAGGACCGACGUGUGUGCAUACCAAUACCAUCGCACUAUAUAAUAACAAACAAUAAUAAAAGUAAGAAAUUUACACAAGUAUCUAUCUAAAUCAUACCAGUAAGAUUUUAUUUAGAAAGAAGAUAAGAACAAGAGGCUCACCAUGGUGGUGCCGGCGAUGGGAUCGAUUGUGCAUCUAAAUCAAAAGAACUCCCACAUACACUCCUACACUAAAACCCACAAGCACUCUACUUCUAGAGCAUUUAAAAUUAGCUAAACUAGCGGUGAGCGAUGAAAGAAUGAAGUAGCUAACCUUUUAGAACACUUGUGUAGUUGCUGCACCACCAAACCUAGACAAAUCUUGAGGAAAAUGGAGCUUGGAGGUCGAGCUUGGAGAGGAGAAAGCUUAAGUGUGGCUCGGGCAUUUCAUCGAACACCUCAUGUGCAUGCAUAGAACGGUGAACAUAGCAGGGCAUGCACACCUCCCACAUGGCCAAAAAACAGAGGAGAGGGUGGGCAGGGGCGAGGGUAUAUAUAAGUAUCUCUUUGGUCCCGGUUGGUGGCCAGAACCGGGACAGAAGACUGACUUUUAGUCCCGGUUCCACCCACCAACCGGGACUAAAGGUGCUGCGCGAGGAGUGAGGACCAUUGGUCUCGGUUCGUGUAUGGAACCAGGACCAAAGGAGUCAGACGAACCGGGACCCUGGCCCAGCCGACGCCCUGGCCUCAUGAACAGGGACUGAUAUGGUCCCGGUUCGUAACAGAAUCGGGAUUAAAUCUCUUAUCUCGCCUCGACCAAAGCCCUGUUUUCUACUAGUGUUGAUUUUCUGCUCGGACACAUGCCACUCCUUUCUCUUCGCACGUCAUCAAAUUUGUGAAAGAUUCAUCGUUAUUUUUUUCCAACAAAAUUGUAUUAUCUCAUCGUACAAACUUUCCCGGUCCCAGGUAGAGGUCAGUUGCAUUCUAGAAAAAAGUAAUGGUGCUCACUCAUGAGUGAAUCUAGCAUCGAUACGACAUCUUAUGUUAGACAUUUUUAUAUGAUGACUUUGUAUUAAAAAUGGCAUCUUAAGAUACCUUAGUUUGUGCUUUGCUUCGCAUUCGAGAGGUUUUUGGAUCCACCACAGGUGAUUAGACAAGGUGCUAAGUGCAUCGAAGGACUUAUGAACUAAACUCACAUAUGCAUGUACAUAACUUAGCUUUUUCUAGCUAAGAUUUCUCCAUUUUAUGGUUUAGCAACAAAAUUCCGCAUGCAUAUGAUAUUUUGCAUAGAUUUACUCGUUUGACAUUGUUGUUUCUUCCUUGGGUCUUCAUGCUAUCUCUUCUUCUAAUUAAUUACUUUGCUACAUUAACUUUUUGCCGAUGUGACACUUUUAGCACCGUGGAGCGCUGAAAAGGCCCUAAAGCACAUAAGGACAAGAACUAGCUAACUGCCCAAAAGUUUCGGUUUUGAGAGAUGCAUUACCAUGUGAACUGUGGUCGCAGAUGGUUUGAUACAAACAUGUUUGCUUGCACGUAUUUCAUAACCAUCAUCUUUAUCAUACACUUGACCAAAUUUCUCUUGGGAUGGAUGACAGCCAUAAGGUCGCCUUUUUUCCAUUGCCGCCUGUGAUUAACGACACUUUGUUUUCAUUGCCAAAGUCGGCUCCUUGGCAUGGCAAGAAGGACAAGGUACAAUAUUUGUCCAUAAGCUCUUUUAAAAAGUAUCAUGUUUAAGGAGUGAUAUGCAACUAGAAACCGAUUUUGUCAUUGUCGCAUGUGGUUAAUGAUUGUGAGUGGAGUUUAGAAGAGGAGUGAAGUAGAGUUUAGAGGUGGAGUGUAGCACUUCAAACACACUCGUAGUUAACAGCUAAGAGGUUUUGUUUUUCGUCCGGCUGGCAUGAACACGUAACAUUUACCUACAACAACCAUCGCUUGGACAUCCUGUGUGCCACAACCACCAUCUCCUAUAACUAAGAGCCAUCCAAGCCUAGUCUCAGUAAUCCCAUCAACCAAAGCCUGUGUUCUACAAGACAGCCAACCAGCCAUGGGCCUCAAGGGUGUGAUGGUGUGUUUACUUAUACUGGGGUUGGUUCUCGAACAGGUGCAAGUAGAAGGCAAGAGUUGCUGCAGGAGCACCCUAGGAAGAAACUGCUACAAUCUUUGCCGCGUCCGUGGUGCUCAGAAGCUAUGCGCAGGCGUCUGUAGGUGUAAACUCACAAGUAGCGGAAAAUGCCCUACAGGCUUCCCCAAAUUGGCCCUUGUGUCCAACUCAGGUAAAGGGAAUGAACUCCUUAUAUUCCAUAUUACUAGUUCUUUCUAAAAUAAGAUGCCAUCAUAUAAAGCGUAUGGCGAGUUAGAGUUUUCUAAGUUUUCCUAAUAAUAUAAUGAACUUUUUUAAUUUUUUUCCGAUGAUAUUUGUAUGAGUUUUUCCAUGAACAACGUUUCCAUAAAUAUAAGUUUUCGUAUUUUUUUACCAACAAGUAUUUUUUUCGAAAGGCUGUCUCUUAGGAUCCGAUUCAUCAAAAAAGUUAGAAAAGAGUUGCCUGGUUACCGAAAAGUAAUUGUGAAAUAACUAAUAAAAAGCGAAUGACGGAGACGAUGCCAAUAUCAAAGACGAUAAUGUAUUGUAAGAGAGGAAUUGUUUGUCUUAUACGCGAUUAUAUUUACAUGCUAGAUGUUUUAUUUUGACAGAUGAACCAGACACCGUCAAGUAUUGCAACUUGGGGUGUAGGGCUUCCAUGUGUGACUACAUGGUCAACGCAGGUAAAUAAAAUUCAUCUGGUAUGUGUAUUCCUGUAAACUAAUUGAAAAGGCUACUUCUUGACACAUAAUAUGCUAUAUAUUUGGGCACCAGCUGCUGACGACGAAGAAAUGAAACUCUAUUUGGAAAAUUGUGGUGAUGCUUGUGUCAAUUUCUGCAACGGUGAUGCUGGCCUCACAUCCCUUACUGCCUAAUGAUGUGUAUCCAUGGUCUGAGAUUUCACAGGGCAAGGUGUGUCUGACCUUUGCGUUCAAUAAAAUUGGAUCCCAUCGAGAGUAUCCAAACCAGUGUGUCAACCUGUUUUAUGUGUGUGUAUUUCCAUUCCUUGUUCGAAUAAAAGCCGUCAUAAUGAAUGCCAUGUUGCUGCCGUGAAGUACCGCCAUGACUGAGAUAAAAUGGUACAUGUUGUAUCAUUUGCCUGUGGAUAUAAACUUCAUGAGUACAUGCUUCAAGUAAUUUUCUCUAGUCCUUUUUUUAUUUAGGCUUGAGCACAAGUUCUGUGUUGUCGUGACGUAAGCCUGAAAUGGAUCAAUUUUUUUGCAUUUUUGGUGAGCAAUUCUCUGAGCUUUUAUUUUUACACAUGAGGCACAAGAUCUUUGACCCUUUUAUUAAUUAAGAAGCAGAUUUUGCUCGGUUAAUUAUGAAAAACCUGGCUAAAACCGAUACAAAGGUGAAGUCCACUCCCAAACAUUGAAACACACUGGGACAAGCCCACACCCGUCGACGAUGGGCUGAACACCAUAACAAACGCCAACCAUGCAAACACACAACAACGUGAAGCCCUCCUCCGCCAAGUGAGCCAACUGUCCACUGCCGCCGAAAAGAAGAAGUUAACAUUGUUAUGGGAGGAGCGGACUCAGACUCUCCCGCUGAGGUGAAGAGACAAGUACCCACAAAGACAUACAUCGGAUACACUAGAUGACAUGUCAAUGACCAACUUUGACGGCAACCUCAUCGCCCACACGAUUCUGAGAUCAAUGCAGUCCAAGCUGCCAAGCUAUCGGGGUCGCCACCCCGACAUCCACCUCUUCUCUCUACGCACUCAAUCAACACAGCCUUCCAGGACCGCCACCCCGACACAUCACCACUUUUCUCGAAUUGCAACACCUUAUGACCCAGCUGCCUACAGUCAACCGUCCAUAGACCACGUCCGUCGCACCACAUCCAUGGCCGCUGCCCCCACAUACCAUCCAACCGCCCCCGCUAGGAUGCGUCAAUCGAGCCGAAAACCCUAUUGCCCAUGCAGCCAAGGUUGUCAUCCAAGCCACGUCGAGCUGUAAACCUGCUUCAUGGAGCUGCCGCCGCAUUCUACGAGAAUGCACUUCACAUAUUAGUUUUGAUCUUUUGUUGAACUAUUUUUUGUUGAACUAUUUUAGGAUCGAGUGCAAAUUGUCAUAUGUCUAUCAUAUAAUCCAUAAUCUUUAGACUUUAAUGUUGGGGUUUUUCCUUUGGCACAUAUCCUGGUAAUAUUUAUGGCAUUCAACAAACAAGUUCGGGCUAGUACUACAUAUAAAAGCGCUAACUUCUCUACACUAUUACAUUAUUACAAGGACAUUUCGGUCGCACUCGAGCUGUCAUAGGACUCAAGUGAAUUGACUAGUCGAGUACCUACAAGACUAGUAUACACUAGUAGAAAAUGAGGCUUUCGGUCGGAGGCCCAAAUCCCAGUAGCCCUGGUCCAAGUGAAACCGAGACCAAUGUGAGGCAUUGGUCCUGGUUCGAGCUGCCAGAGCCUCACGGGGCAAUAGUCCUGAUUAGGUUCGAUGCAUUAGUCCCGGUUCGUCCCUAAAAUCAGGACUAAAGAUCCAGCGACUGACACGUGGCGUUCCGCGGAGCAUUAGUCUUGGUUGGGAGCUGGAACCGGGACUAAUGGUUAGUCUUCUGUCCCGGUUCCGGCCACAAACCGGGACCAAAGAGAUGCCUAUAUAUACCCGCGCCCUGCCCACCCUCUUCUUUGUUUUUUGGCCUAGGUCUGCAUGCAUGCCAUGCUCUUGUUGCCACCCUUCUAUGCAUGCACAUGAGGUGUUGGAUGACAUGCCCGAGACACACUUAAGCUUUCUCCUCUCCAAGCUCGACCUCGAAGCUCCAUUUUCCUUAAUAUUUGUCUAGGUUUGGCGGUGCACCAACUACACAAGUGUUUUAGAAGGUUAGCUACUUCAUCCUUUCAUCUCUCACUGCUAGUUUCGCUCAUUUCAAAUGCUCUAGAAGUAGAGUGGUUUGUGGGUUUUAGUGUAGGAGUGUAUGUGGGAUUUUGUUUUUAUUUAGAUGCAAAAUUUGAGCUUAAAUUAACUUCUUAGAGUCUGCACAUGUGUAAGGUACCGUCCCAUACCCGUCCUCACCAUCAUCGAUCGCCCGCACCGAUCUCGUCACCAGCACCACCGUGGUGAGCCUCUUGUUCUUAUCUUUUUUUUAAAACAAAAAAAAAUUCUCAUUUGUAUGAUUUAGAUAGAUACUUGUAUAAAUUACUUACUUUUAUUAUUUUUUGUAAUUAUAUAGCGCAAUGGUUUUGCUAUCCGCUCAUGUCGACCCUCGUUCGGCCUAUGAUUCGGACAUGGUAUAUUUUCUUUUAUCAUUAUUUGUUUCAUUUAGUGUUUAUGACGACAAUUAUGCCGACCAACGUGACAUGAAUAUUUUUAUCUAGGAUGUAUGUGAACCGGAAAUUCCAAUCGACCCUCUUGUCGAGAGGUAAAAUUUAGUUGAAAAAUAAAACAAUUAUUUGAAGAAAAAAUUGAAAAUAAUUGAGGAGAAGAAUAUGGAACUAGAGUUGCAUGUUGUCGAUGUCGUCGAUGAUCACAAGAUCAAGAUGGAUGCAAUGUGCUUGAAGAUGGAUGCAACGCGCUUAAAGAUUAGAAAUAUUAGAAAAUAUGUCAUUGAUAAAGAGGUUUUGUAUCAUUAAGUUGUUGGGUCAAUUGUUACCUUAGUUGCGAUUUUGAUCGCAUUUGUUAUUGCAUUUAAAUGUUUUACAUAGUUGUAUGUUGUUUUAUAGGAGAACUUUAUGUAUUUAUUUUUGUAAUAAUAACAUUUGAUCACUACUGUACUUUGGUUUUAAUGUGAUGAUAAACUUGUAUUAAUUUGGUCAUUUCUCUAUUCAUGAUGUUCUGCAAUGGUUUUUUGAUAUACUUAAUUUCAUAAUACAGAUGAACCGCCAAUGGAUGUACGGUGACGGACGCACUUCAGAGUACAUUACGAACCGGGACUAGUGUCCCUCCCCUGCCUAUAAAUAAACCCUCCCCACCCACUUAUUGUUUUUCUUUGCUACGCACAAGAGGUGUUUGAUGAAAUGCCCGAGUCACACUUAAGUUCACACAAAAUGGUAUCCUCGACCGAGGUUAGCAAACUUAUCAUUUUCAUCUAUAAUCGAUACAAAAAUAUUGCAUGUGUCCAUGUACGAUGGUCAUUUCACUAUUCAUGUAUGAUGUAGAUCAAUGCACGGAAGCGAUGGAUGUACGGUGAACGACGUGGUUCCGGAUUUAUUGCAGGCCUGCAUAAAUUUAUCGAUGUGGCUGAGGCAAAGAAAAUGGAUAAUUUUAUGCCUUGUCCAUGUGUUGACAGUCGAAAUGUCAGGGAGUACUCUGGCUCAAAAAUCAUUCAAGGCCACGUGCUUUGGAGAGGUUUCAUGCCCAGAUAUUAUUGUUGGACCAUGCACGGAGAAAGAGGGGUUAGGAUGGAAGACAAUGAAGAAGAAGAUGAUGAUGACAACUAUCCUAUGUUCACUGAAGAAUACAGUGAUACUGCAACGGAAGACAAUGAAGAAGAAGGAGGUGAAGAACAACCGGCAUCAGAUGAGCCCGCUCAUUUGUGAUGCAAAGCGAGAAUGCGUUACAGACAAGGAGAAGCUGAAGUUGGAGGCCAUGCUAAAGGAUCAUAAAAAGUUGUUUUACCCAAAUUGCAAAGAUGGCAGCACAAGGCUGGGCACCACACUAGAACUGUUGAAAUGGAAUGCAGAAACUGGUUUAUCUGACAAGGGAUUUGAGAAGUUACUGAAAAUAUUGAAGGCGAAGCUUCCAAAGGAUAACGAAUUGCCCGAGACUACAUACGAAGCAAAGAAGGCUAUCUGCCCUCUUGGAUUAGAUGUGCAGAACAUACAUGCAUGCAUUAAUGACUGCAUCCUGUACCGCGGUGAGAAGUACGAGAAUAUGGAUAAAUGCCCGGUAUGCACUGCAUGUCGGUACAAGAUCAGACAAGAUGACCCUGGUGAUGUUGAGGGCGAUGACGAGCCCCUCAGGAAGAAGGUUCCUGCUAAAGUUAUGUGGUAUGCUCCUAUAAUACCACGGUUGAAACGUCUGUUCAGAAACAAUGAGCAUGCCAGGUUGUUGCGAUGGCACAAAGAAGAGUGUAAGUAAGACGGGAAGUUGAGACACCUCGCCGAUGGGUCGUAGUGGAGAAAAAUUGAGAGAAAGUACCCGGACUUUGCAGGUGAUGCGAGGAACUUAUGGUUUGGUCUAAGUACAGAUGGCAUGAAUCCUUUUGGGGAGCAGAGCUGCAGUCACAACACCUUGCCCGUGACUCUAUGUAUCUACAACCUUCCUCCUUGGUUGUACAUGAAGAGGAAGUUCAUUAUGAUGCCAGUGCUCAUCCAAGGAUCGAGGCAACCCCGGCAACGACAUUGAUGUGUACCUAAGGCCAUUAGUUGAUGAACUUUUGUAGUUGUGGGCCAAACCAAGUGUACGUGUGUGGGAUGAGCACAAACAACGGGAAUUUGACCUACGAGCAUUGUUGUUCAUAACCAUCAAUUAUUGGCCUGCUCUUAGUAACAUUUCAGGACAAUCAAACAAGGGAUACAAUUCAUGCAGGCACUGUUUAGAUAAGACUAAAGGUACAUAUUUGUAAAAUCUAAGAAGGUUGUCUACCUAGGGUGUCGUCAAUUUCUUCCGACCAAUCAUCUCGUAAGAAAGAAAGGCAAGCAUCUCAACGGUGAGGCAAAUCACCGGAAGAAGCCUAACCUCCCUACUGGUGAUGAGGUAUUGGGUAUGGUCAAGGAUUUGGAUCAAAUAGUAAUCUUUGGAAAGGGUCCUGGCGGUCAAUCUGUUCUGAAAGACGUCGUUACCGGACACGUGCCCAUGUGGAAAAAGAAAUCUUUAUUUUGGGAGCUACCCUAUUGGGAAUACCUAGAGGUCCAGUCUUCAAUCAGCGUGAUGCACGUGACGAAGAAUCUUUGCAUGAACCUGCUAGGCUUCCUGGGCGUGUAUGGAAGAUAAAAGAUACACCAGAAGCACGGGAGGAGUAGCAACGUAUGAAAGACCUAUACGACAAGAAGAUCGAUAAAGGGCGUCAAUACUUAAGCAGCUACGCUCUUACCAAAGCAGAGAAGGAAAUCUUGUUCGAAUGCCUGAGCAGUAUCAAGGUCCCUGCUGGCUUCUUGUCUAAUAUAAAGAGAAUAAUAAAUAAGGCAGGGAAAAAAUUCCAGAACCUGAAGUCUCAUGAUUGUCACAUGAUUAUGACGCAGUUGCAUCCGGUUGCAUUGAGGAGGCUUCUACCGGAAAAUGUUCGAUUACCCAUUUUGAAGCUAUGUGCAUUACUCAAUGCAAUAUCUCAGAAGGUAAUUGACCAAGAACGUCUGGAAAGGCUACACAGGGAUGUGGUCCAAUGUCUUGUCAGUUUUGAGUUGGUGUUCCCCCGCCCUUCCUCAAUAUUAUGACGCAUGUCCUAGUUCACCUAGAACUAAAACAACUACGGGAACUAAAAUAACUACGAGAACUAAACCCUAAGCAACUACGCCAACUUUCAACCUUUUCAGAUCCCAUUUAUAGUGUUUUUCAAUUACAGGGUCAAUUAGCUCAAAGAAUAGCAAAAAGAAUGAAGUAAAAAGAAUCAACUAAAACAUUAACUCAAAAUAAUAAACUAAAAAGAAUCAACUAAAAUUAUCAAAGUGUUUAUUUGUUAUAAAGAAUCAAGUAAAACACUAACUAAAAAGAAUCAAAAACAUAUCAACUCAAAAGAAUUUUCAUAAAGUUUUCAGAGCCCAUUUGUAGUGCUUUUCAAUUUCAGGGUCUAUUAGCUCAAAGAAUAAACUAAUAGCAAAAAGAAUCAACUAAAAAGAAUGAACUAAAAAGAAUCAACUAAAACAUUAACUAAACAGAAUGAACUAAAAAGUAUCAACUAAAAUUAUCAAAGUGUUUAUUUGUUAAAAAGAAUCAAAAAAAUAUCAACUCAAAAGAAUUUUCAUAAAGUUUUUUUUGUUAAAAUAUUUAAUAGAAAACUAAAAUAAAAGAGAAAUAAUAUUUAAUAACAAAGAACUAAAAUAUAAACUGAGACUAAAAAUUAUUAAAGUAAAAAAAUGCCACCUACUAGGCCAUCACGGCGCGCAUAUGACUAGAAACCCUAGAAGCUAGAUGGGCUAGGAUGCAGGCCCACAGAAGACCGAGUAGGACCACAUGGCAAAGAGAGUGUGUUUAGGCCCGUAGGCCUACUUUUGAGAGAAGCUCAAGAGGGUUGGCGCAGCGGGGCUUAUAAACCACUCUCAGCUCCUCUCAACUAGCGAGGUGGGACUAAACAUUUGGCCGCGGCAUCACCCUCCUUUAGUCUCGGUUGGGGGCUUCAACCGGGACUAAAGCCCCCCUUUAGUCCCGGUUGGAGCCACCAACUGGGACUAAAGGAAGGUGCUUCCCGCCCUUCGGCCUGACGAAAAUGAGCUUUAGCCCCGGAUGAUGGCUCCAACCGGGACUAAAAGGGGGCCUUUAGUCGCGGUUAGAGCCCCAAACCAGGACUAAAGGUCUCUAUGUAUAAGCGGGAGUUGGAUUUUUUCCAAUCCAUCGCCAGUUCCUUCUUCCUCCUACCUCCGAUGCCGCUGGGCUUUCGGAGUCGCCGCCGCCCCCGAAGCCAUCCUCGUCGUCGCUGCCACCGACGUCGGCCGCCUACGCCUCCUCCCUCUGCCUGCGAUGAGUAGUUGUUGCGCCCCGACCCUCCUCUGCUCCCAUAGUGAGCUCGCCGACCCGCUCCUCCCUCUCCUCCCCUGUUUUCUACUAAUGCCCUAGCUCCGGCCGCUUCCUGUCGGGCUUCGCUCCGGCGACCCCUCCUCUCCCCACGCCGCGCUCCGGCACCCCCUCCUCUCCCCUCAUCGGUGCCGCGCACCCCCGCAACCCUCGCCGACAGAUUUAUUUUCUAAAUUACGAUGAACAAAUGUUUUCUUAUUAUUAUAAGGACAUAGUAAUGUAUCUAUGAGAGUGGUGAUGAUCAUCAUUAUUAUGAUGUGUUAUAUAUCCCUAUGCCAAUAUCCGUACUAAAGAGUAACACAUAUAGUACAAUUAGUAGCAGUGCAAAAAUUUGCAUCACAAACAAUGGAAGUGCUUAACCUGUAGAAAAAUCGACCAAGGCAAAAAUUUCCUGUGUUAGAUGAUUUUCCAUGAGCAAAUUUGUACUAGAUCAUGUAAUGUUAAGUUUGAUUAAUUUUAUCACCCUAGGUAAAUUUUCUUUUUUGUUAGUUUGAUACUGGUAUUUCUCUAUUAAUAUUUUAGAACUAUUUUAUCAAUAUUAAAUAGUUGUAAAAGUUUAGAAAAGUUUAUUAAAUAGUAGAAAUUUAAAUACUUGUAGAAUUGGUUCUCGGCGUCGACGUACGAUGCCUGGCCCGCAUCCUCGUCGUCGACUCGGUGGCGACCACCUGCUUGAGAGGUGCCAGCAUGUGCGGGACUGGGCUCCGCCGGGCUGGCACUGGGAGGAGCUAUCUUCCGGGGCGCGCAUCUUGGUGAGGAAGCGGGCUCCCAUCGUCGACCCGGAGCUUCUUUGGUGGUGGUUGCGUGGUCCACUUUCGGUGUUGAGGGUGCCGGCCCCCGAGGAGGAGGUACGUCGUCGUGUCACGGAGGAGGACGAGCACGUCCGUCGCUACAUGGAGGCGUUAGAUGCCAGGUUCUCCAAUACGUGGCAGGUUCUUUAGGGAUCUCACCCGAGCUAUGAUCCGGUGAUGGUUCCCGCUCUUUGGGUGUCCAUCGUACGCGCCUCAGUAUAGCGACAGCUCUUUGUAACACCCUGAUUUUUGCAACUUUUUCUUUCCAAAACCUUUUGAGUUUUUUACUUGCAAACCUGGUUGCUUUUCAAAACUUUUCAAACUAAUUUGGAUCGGUGAAUAUGUGAACUUUUCCAAGUAACCCAAAACCCUCCUCCUCUUGCCAAAACCUUUCCACACCUCUCUUGGAUUAAUUUCCAAUAUUAAACCCUUUCCAAUAAUUCUUUUCUUUAUUUGGGGAAUUAUGCCAUCACCAUGGGUUGUGAAGCAACAUAUAGUUUGGAUGAUCUAUAAAACCCCAAACUUUUUCCCCACCUUCUCAUCAUCAUAUGAUUCCAAUAUAUCCAAGAAUAUUCCAUUGCCCAAUGCAAAUAUUUUGGCCAGAAUAACUAUUUCUUUUCUGACCAGAAAUGCACCAUUGUGAAGAAACCCCAUCUUUCCUACCUUGGAAAAUUUCCAAAAAAUUUCUCAAGCUCCUAGGGAUCCUAUCUAGCCACAAUAUCCAAUAAUAUCAUUUGGUUCAGUAUAAUUUUUGAGCAGGAGAACUCUGUUAAUUUCCUGCUGAUUCUGAACCUUUGUGAAGGAAGUACCAGCUAGGGGUGCACAAAUGAUCUAUAAUUUUUUGGGCAUGUGUGCACUACCAAAUAACUCUCCUCCACCAAGUUUCGGCCUCAGCGGAGUAAGCAUGUGAGCACCUCAAGCUCAUCUCUAUUCUGGACCAGAAUAGUAGUUUCCAAAGGAGCUAUGCUCAUUUCUUCUUCAAAUUCUUUCAAACUUUGCCAGUUUUAAGUCCUUCCUAUGCUGAUAACCCCAGACACUCCAUUUAGCUCCAUCCCUAUCCCAAUUCAUCUCUAGAACCUUCCCAAGUUUGGAGUCAGGGAGUGUUGGUGAUGCUGCCUCUCAUCUGAGUGGCUUUCUGGGCAAGGCAGUGCCACGAGGGGACUCUACAGAGCACGAACGAUGCUCCGGACAAGGUGUGGUAGGCCAGCACGCGCCACCAGUGCCAGUGCACGCGGUGAGCGCGUAGCUAGCCUGCCAAAAUCGCGCUCUGGGCGCCGACAAACUCGGGUCUCGUCGAAGUGAGACGCCCGCGUGGCCAUCUCGUGCCAACUCGCUUCCCGACAGCUUCCUAGACCUUCCACACCCUUCCCCCUCGCUGGAGAAGCCCUCGCCGGCCACCACCGCAGCGCUGCACUGUAAAACCCGCGUGGUCACAGUGGCGUUCCCGCCGUCGUCUUCCCCCGCGAGCCGUCCCUUCGCACAUUGAAUGCCCCUUCUCUCUUCCAUCUCUUCGCCUCGCGUCGCGAUAGCCAGCUCACCGUCUCUGCUCCAGUGGCGUAGCCACGUCGCCGCCGUUCCAGCGAGAUCACCGCCCUCGCCUCCCGCCCAUUGAAAGCCCCGCGCAGCCCCUCCAAGCUCCUCACCCCUCCUAGCCACCCUCCAAUCGCCUCCAUAGCGCCCCAGUUAGAGCCGGGAGUUCGUCUCCCUCAACUCCAGCGAAGGCUCUGCCGCCCAAGCCCCUCCUAUCGCCAGCCACUUCCGGUCUGCCCCAGCCCCACCUGAGGCCGCCAUCGAGAUCACCUGGUCCCCCUGGACCUCCUAGAGCCCUCAGCUAGCCCACCCUUUGCCGGAUUCGACGCCGUCGACGACCACCGAAGUGCCCAUCCGCCGGAGAGGAAGGAGGUGACGUCAUCCGACCACCUCCGAAGGAACUGCGGGUACAGGGAGGACCGCCGUCGAGCACCCGAUCCAUUCCUCCCAUCUCAUAGCCCAACCGCCGUCCCCAUCACCGGUGAGCACCACCGGUGAGCCGCCUUUCCCCUCUGUCUCUCUCCCUCUCUCUGUUUUAAACAAACAUGCCCCAUGUGUCGGCGACAGGAGCCCGCGCCUGAAUCGAUAAGUGGAGGCGCCUCCUCCACUUUACGCCUUCGAUGUGGCCCCUCCUCUGUUUUCUAAAUUCUGUUUUAAAAUACAGAUUUAAACAGAAACUUUGAACCCUUCCAACUUUUUAUUUACAAGUCCAAAUCAAUUGAUUCUUUUUGCAUUGAGUUAAUACCGAGCCCCUGUAAUUUCUAAUAAAUUUUGGUAUUUUUCCUAUGCUCACAGAAUCUCUGUUUAACAAAAAGGUAUCAUAUGACAUUUUCUUUUUGCAAAUUCAAAAUGUUUUAGAAGCAAACUUUGGUGAAUUUGAAGACCAGGAGUGCUUGAACAACCCAACUGAGCAAGGCAAGCCAUGAUACCCAUGUUAUGUAGUAUUUCCAUAGCAUUGCAUACUUUCACACAUUAUGCUUAGUUAUUUGUUGUAGGAUAAAUUCAUAUUAAAUUAUUUAAAGUAAUUAGUUUCUCAUUAUUAUAAAUCACUAUAUUGGAAAUGACUUAGUGGUUGAUCUAGAGUCACCUGUCCGAGCUUAACCGUGCAACCACAUUUGCCGGUAUGGGACAACCGUGACUUGGGCUGAUCGCGUGACCUUUCACCGGUACCUCCAAAGAGGGAGGGUUAUGCACGCGUGCUACCCUGAUCAGGUAGGCGGUGAUAACCCUGUGAGCCUAGUUGAGUUGUUUUGGGCCCGUCCCCGUUUGGGACAGUUUAGUUUGGCCACGAUGGUGUCAAAUGUCAUGAGGACACAGGGGCCACCCAGGGCAGGACUCCGGGGGAGGAUGAAUGCCGGUGGUGUUGGAAAUAUGCCCUAGAGGCAAUAAUAAAUUGGUUAUUAUUAUGUUUCCUUGUUGUAUUGAUUGGAAACUCAAAUACAUGUGUGGAUACAUAGACAAAACACUGUCCCUAGUAAGCCUCUAGUUGACUAGCUCGUUUAUCAAGGAUGGUUAAGGUUUCUUAGCCAUAGACAAGUGUUGCCACUUGAUAACGGGAUCACAUCAUUAGGAGAAUGAUGUGAUGGACAAGACCCAAACUAUAAACGUAGCAUAUGAUCGUGUCAGUUUAUUGCUACUGUUUUCUGCAUGUCAAUGUAUCUGUUCCUAUGACCAUGAGAUCAUGCAACUCCCGGACCCCGGGGGAAUACCUUAUGUGUAUCAAACGUCGUACACUUAAGGCUCUGCAUGACAAAGGGAACAACAUACGUGAUUAAGUGAAUCCUUGACAUAGAGGUUCAACCGAUAAAGAUCUUCAUAGAAUAUGUAGGAGCCAAUAUGGGCAUCCAGGUCCUGCUAUUGGUUAUUGACCGUAGAAGUGUCCCGGUCAUGUCUGCAUAGUUCUCGAACCCGUAGGGUCUGCACACUUCAGGUUCGGUGACGUUUCGGUAUAGUUGAGUUAUAGGUGUUGGUAACCGAAAGUUGUUCGGGGUCCUGGAUGAGAUUCCGGACGUAACAAGGAGCUCCGGAAUGGUCCGAAGGUAAAGAUUGAUAUAUAGGAAGUUCUUUUUUGGUCAUCGAAAAAGUUUCGGGCUCAUCGAUAGUGUACCGAGAGUGCCGGGAGGGUACCGGGGACCAUCGGGAAGGGUGUCACGCCCCGAGGGGCCUUAUGGGCUAUGGGAGGAUACAAACCAGCGCCUAGUGGGCUGACAUAAGCUCCCACUAAGGCCCAUGAGGUUUGAGAGGCAAAAAACACAAAGGUGGAAAGGGUUUCCAAGUGGAAAGGAGGAAUCCUACUUCUAGUAGGAUUGGAGUAGGACUCCUCCACCUCCAAUUUCGUCCAAACCUUGAGGGUUUGAGGCUGCCUCCUCCCCUCCCUCCCUCCUAUAUAUACUAGAGGUAUUGAGGGUUUUUGAGACAGAGAAAAACAACCACGUGCUGCCCUUUCUCUAGAUCUGUUUCUCCUCUAGUCUAGUUUCAGCGGUGCUUAAGCGAAGCCGUGCUGGAAUAGCUCCACCACCACCACCACCAUGCCGCCGUGCUGGAGAACUCAUCUACCUCUCCGUCCCUCUUGCUGGAUGAGCAAGGUGGGGAUCUUCAUCGAGCUAUACGCGUGCUGAACGCGGAGGUGCCAUCUGUUCGGCACUAUAUCGGGAUGGAUCGUGAUGGGAUCGCGGGACGGAUCGUGAUGAGAUCGUGGGACAGGCUGCGAUUUGGAUCGCGAAGAUGUUCCACUACAUCAACCGCGUUAUAUACGCUUCCGCUUAGUGAUCUACAAGGGUAUGUAGAUUCACUCUCCCCUCUUGUAGAUGAUCAUCACGAUGGAUAGGUAUUGCUUGUGCGUAGGAUUUUUUUUGUUUCCCAUGCGAUGUUGCCCAACAGGUGAUACAAUGGGAGAGUCACGGGUCAGGCAGGUUUCGUUGGAGCAAUACUGAUCCACCCGAAUGGGAUCACGAGGUCAGUGCUCCAUGAUGUGGAUAAAGUGUGCAACCUCUGCAGAGUGUCAAACCUAUUCGAAUAACCGUGUCCACGGUAUUGGACAGCCCGUCCAGACCUCAGUAGGUGGUCAACCAUAUUAGUGUUGGUAAUGAUGGAAAAACUCUUCGCAUGAUCGAAGAUGCUCGAUGAGUAUUCUGGCUGUGGUGAGACAACCCAGAUGAGAGUAAGUUGGUAACUGGUACAAUUAGUAAUGUUGCUUAGUAAUUUAUCGUAUUGAUUGCCAUGCUAUUGUUUGCUGUAUUACUUGGUUGUUGUGAGAUUGCGAGUACAUUCAAAGUACUCAUCUGGCGUAUCAUGCUAGAUGCAGGAGAAGCCGAGGACGGAGGUCCUGAUGGUCCGUACUAGGAUGUGUCCACAACAGUGUCUCUGUGGAUGGAGUUGCCGCUAUGUUCCGCUACGCCGUAGUAGUAUUUAGUAGUCUCGAGGCCCCGCUAUGUUUUAUAAAUAAUGUAGAUACUCUCGCAGCACCGAGGGUGCCUUUGGCCUCGCUAUCGUUGUAAGAUAUGUGCUUGUACCGUAUGCCAUCAAUAAAGUCAGUUCAGUUCUGUUCCAAGUUGUUCUGUGUUGGUAAUCCGGUUCUCUGAGCCGGGGUGCCACACUCUUUGUUGGUUGAUCAGUUAGAUAUUAUUGGAGAGAUGUAUUACUGUAUUCGAGAGAUGUAUUAGUGAUGUAUUCCAGAUUAUAUAUUCGAUAAUAUUAAGUGGAUUAUUCAAUGAUACAUUAAUUAAGUGGAUUAUUCGAUGUAUAUAAGCGGGAGUUUUAGUUGUUUAGUUAAUUUAGUUUUUUUAUGUUUAAUUAAUUUGCAUAUACUAUGGAUCCAAUACACGGCAGAGAUGAAUAUCACGAAGACAUGAUGCAUAAUGUCAUCCGCGGGGAUGAUUUUAUUAUUGACGAUGUCAUCAAUCAGUUUCUGAACAAGUCCGGCGAGGUAGAUGAGUCUCUCAACACAUGAGGUAGAAGCUUCGAUGCCUCGGCCGAGAGAGGACUCAACGGCUCCGAUGAGGGAGAAGCCGACGCUCCGGCGAGGUGCAUAUAUGUAUUAAUAAAUUAAUCCUCUGCCAUCUAUAUCUAAGUAUUAACGCUCUUUCUUCUUUCAGCUUUUCGAAUCGAGCAAAACUUUAGUACGGACGAGACGAGGCCUGCUACCAACAGCCAAGAAAUGAAAAUCAAUGUGAACGUUGCGGUCGUGCUUGUGAUAGUUUCUGUAAUCAAGGAGGAUACUCACCUGGCAUCCCUUGAUGCGUAAUGAUGCAUAUCAGCAUAUGCAUGAUCUGAAAUUUCGCAGGCCAAUGUCAUGUCUCACCAUCCUGUUCAAUAAAACUGGAUCUCACUGAGAGUAUCCAAACCAGUGUGUCAGUUUGUUUAUGUGCUCGUGCGUAUUUUCUUUCGUUGCUCCAAUUAAAGAUUACAACGGUUACAGUGAUUGGCCAAUUUAGGAGCCGUCUACGGUCUAUCCACCUCAAUCUAAUGGUGAAAAAAUAAAAGUUACAAAGAGUUACGAGAUUGAAAUUACAAGAAAUUAGAAAUAACGGUGGGAUCAUUACAUAUUUUUGAUGGGAUCAGUUUUUCUUUCAAAGGGUAGAUUCGUCAAGGAAAUAUGUAACUCAGCACAUAGAGUUUUCUUGCAAAACUGCCGAACGACUCAGAUCGCCUCUCGCCUUGCUCGUGGCUUCGAUAUUUUUUUGCUGGCGUCCAUCUUCCCUGGCUCGCUGGCCUCGGCCCCGCUGAGCACCUUCGCUGACAGUGAGAUCAGCAACAGCCGGCAGCCGGACUUGUGAAUCGUCUCCAUCGGCCGUCGGCACACCGGACUUGACCUCGCGCGCCGCAGCAACGCCGAUGUCUCCCUAUCGUGUUAGAUCAGGUUACCUAGCGCGGUGGACGGACGAUGAGUCGGGACCGCGCACCGCAAGCACGCCUAACCCAAGGAUCCUUCUACCUGGUGAGGAAGUACACUAGCAUGAAGAGCCGAGGAAGGACGCCAUGAGGGUUCCCAUUCUCGUCAGCAGCAAUCAGUUACAAAUUCACUGAUUCAGUUUUAAUUUAACACCUUCUCUACUGGUAGGCUACAACACAGAGCACCCAACCGUCUGAUUCGAUAAAGGAAAACUAUGUGUCCAUGUCGUUUAUUUCAUCUCUGUACCAUAAGAGCAACUUCAACGGACCGACUCAAACGAACGACGACUUUGUUCGUUUUUUGUCCGUUUGGGUCGGUCUCCCGCCCAACGUCCGUCCUGUUUUAAAUAUCGAUCGGCAGUGCGUCCAACGUGUCGAUCCAUUUCAUGUCCGCAAUUAACAUUUAAUAAAAGGGCCUGCGGCCGAUCGUGCUAGCGGUCAUGUCUCAUGCCGGCACCAUGCCAGCACCGGCAUACAAUGCCAGCUUCAAAAAAUAACACCACAGUUUCAUGCUAGCGCACUCGCCAGCCGGCCGACACACAUGCCAGCACACAAAAGGGGUUGGACUUGAGUUCGACCACGCCAUCGCGGCCCCGUGGUCAUGCGAGUACACCUGACGGCAUACAAAAUGAUGGCUCUCGUCGCCAUAGAUCACUCCUCGUCGAACUUGAUCAUGUCGGCCUGCAUCUUCUCGAACCACGACCUCUUCCUUUGCGACACGGUGUUGAGAUCCACCUUCAUGAUCUCCACUCAGGUCUUCAUGCUCGCGAGAGCCAGCGGCCACCGGUGUAGCGUUGAGGUCGAUGGGCGCGGGCGCGAGCGUGGAAGGCGCGACCACGCUCACCUUGGGCGAGCACCCCUCGUGAGGCGGGAGGCCUGCGGGUAGACGUGGAAGCCGGGCACCGGGUUGCAAGUCGACGCGCGGGGCGAGUCGGGCAGCACCGUCCGAGGGAAGCCGGAUGAGCCGGUGCUGACCGCGGCGGCCACGGCGGCGUUGACGAGGUCGUGCUAGCUAGGGUUUAACCCAAGUAUGCAGAGCGCCUCCCUCGUUGCCGACGCGGCGGCGGCGGCUUCUUCCCUCGCGUCCGCCGCGUGCCUCCGGUCCUUCCUAUUGGAUGACUCCUUUGCCUGCUUUCAGCCGUCAGCACCUUCUUCGGCUUCGGCGCGGCGGCCUUCCGAGGGGCACGAGGUUUGCCGGAUGAGGCGACGGAGGCGGGGCCGGUGGCGGCGUCGAGGUCGAGGUCGUCGUCCAUGGCGGACGUGGGUGAGAGCGGGAGUGGGAGCGCACGAGGGCGGGAGGGUUUUUGAGGGAAAUGGUGGUGGAUGCCACCGACCGGCGGUCCCGAGGAGAGGAGUUGGCGCAGGCGGGCGUCCGUCUGUGUCCGCGCUGACGCAAAUCCGGCUCAAAAUUGGGCCGGGAAUGGGUCGCCAGGCGUACGCCAAGCGGACGUGCGUCCGUUUAGAUCUGCACGUUGGACCAUCUUUUUUUCCGCGCCGACCUAAACAAACGGAACGGACGAAAUGGAUCGCCCCAUUAAAGUUGCUUGGAGUUGCUCUAAGAAAUUGAUUCCAGUGAACAAGGUAAACAAUAAUAGGCAUGAAACAAGCCAUCAAUUAGCUAGCCAUUGUCUCACGUCAAGAUGAUUAGUUCUUGUCUGAACGCAAUCUGCCCAAUCCCAAUUCAUGGAGCACUAGCAUUCGUCCUAGUCUAAUUGAAACACCCACUAAAAUUAGCCCUGGUACUUGCAAUCCCGCUAGCCAUAAUAAAACAAGAAGCUAGCUAGAAGUUUCGACUAUUUACUCAUUCUCAAAUCAGUUUGCCGGGCUGGUACUAAGUACUCCCUCCGUUCCUAUUUUAAAGAUUUCACUAGGGACUACAUAUGAAGUAAAAUAAAUGAAUAUACACUUUAAAUUAUGUCUAUAUACAUCUGUAUGUAGUCUUCUAGUGAAACCUUUAAAAAUACUUAUAUUUAGAAACGGAGAGGAGGGAAGUCUGUUUUAGACCUUUAGAUUGUAGAGCCGGUCUGAAAUGAACCCUCACAUUCAGAUCCCUGAAGUCUGUACCCUGUACUCAUGAAUCACGGUCAAUCUCAACCUUGAACCCAGGGCCGGCCCUGAGGGGGGCAGGGGGGCGGCCGCCCCGGGCCCCCAAAAUCCAGCCCCCCCCAGGUAUGUAUGUAGAUUAGGGCCCAUAUUAUUAGAAGGAAAGGAUCUCUCGAUCGCUUGAUUUCAGCGACAUAACCUAGGGUCGUUAGAAAACGAAAAACAAGCAAUCUGACGAUUCCUUUACCGAGCCCUAGCUACUGUCCGCCGCCGACGUCGCCGUAGUGGCCGACUGGCCGUACGCAGCAGAAGCAGUCCUGCAGGAUAACAGGAGAGACCCUGGCCCUGUCUUCAGAACACAGCGCAGCAACGGGAGCAGCCCUGUAGGACAGCAGGACGCAGACGCUUGAAACUUUGAAAGUGAACAAAACGCCGGGUUGAUCUCGGAAGACAACAGGAGAGUCAGACGCAUCACGCGCAUGCUUGAGCCUUGAUCACGCAUGCAGCCAGCCUGUACUCGUCUACUCGCCGCCGUCCUCUGGUAAUUAACCGUUUUUUGAUUAAAACGAUUUCAGCAAGCCUACAUACUACAGAAAUUAGUAUGCCGUGCUUAAUUCCUUUCAUUCAUGUGCAGACCUGCAGAAUAUAGUCUACACAGUACACACACGUACAAUACAGAGUAUUUAAAAUCUGAAAUUUGGCCAUCAAGAUUCAGGAUCAGGUGAAUUCUUUUUUCAUUCAUCUGCAGAUUUUUUUUGGUUCACAGCUGGCACCGUUCAACAACUGAUGCAACAUUUUUUUGUUUUCAGCAUUGUGUCUGUUGUCAUGCCGGCCAACAAGAGGAAAUAUCCAUCGGGUAGCGACAAAAGGAAAAAAAAGAUGGCCGUGAAAAAAUUGAUAAACUCGCAACGCGUAGGUAUUCGACAAUUUCUCAAGCCAAGUAAUAUUGGUGCUUCGAGUACUUCGCCAAACCUAGAUGAUGCGUUGGCGAUUGUUGCCAUAGUGGAAGAGCAACCGACUAGUGAAAAUUCGGACUCUGAUCAGCAAGAAGAAAAUAUCAACUCCAACAUCGGCGAUAGCAAUGUAAGUGGCUUCGAGAAUGUAGGUAAUUCAUCAGAUGCACAUGUUAAAUCUGCUAGUGUUGAUGAGCAACCAGUUUAUACUGCCGAUAUUUAUGAUCCAAGAAAUUGGGACAAUCUUGAUAAUAAAGCAAGAGAUAUUUUAGUUGAGAAAGGGCCUGUCAGAGAGGAUAAAAUGGAAUACCAUGUAGAUGAUGACGAAAGACAUUUUUCGUGCACUCAUUAUCGUAGAAAAUUAAGCAAUGGAGAGGAACAUGAUAGGAAAUGGCUAGUUUAUUCAAAAGAUGUCAACAAAGUUUUUUGCUUCCGUUGUAAGAUCUUCAAGUCUAGCACCAACAGGAUACAAAGUUCCUUAGCACAUGAUGGAUUAGGACAUUGGAGGUAUAUUAGUGGGAAGCUUAAAGAACAUGAAAAUAGCAUCGAGCAUAUUAAUAACAUGAACAAGUGGAAUGAAUUGAGGGUUAGACUACGGAAAGAGGAGACAAUUGACAAGGAAUUGGAACAUCAAAUAACGAAGGAGAAAGAACGUGUCAGGCAAGUUCUGUUAAGAAUAAUAGCCGUUGUAAAAUAUCUUGGUAAACGCAGCUUGGCUUUUCGUGGAAAUAGUGAGAAGCUUUACAAGGAUGAUAAUGGUAAUUUCUUAGCUUGCAUUGAGAUGAUUGCAGAAUUUGACAUGGUAAUGCAAGAUCACCUUAGACGUAUUGAGAACAAAGAAAUCCAUUAUCAUUAUCUCAGUCAUAAAAUACAGAAUGAGUUGAUAUCUCUUUUGGCUUCUGACAUCACAUGUUCUAUCAUAAAGGUUGUUAAAGAGGCCAAGUAUUUCUCCGUUAUCCUAGAUUGUAACCCUGAUGUUAGUCAUAAAGAACAAAUGACUUUUUUAGUUCGAUGUGUUAAUCUGUCUGAUGGGAAAAUAAAAAUUGAGGAGUACUUUCUGGGGUUCUUGAAAGUGGAUGACACUUCUGGCUUAGGGAUUUUUAAAGUACUGCUUGAAUCUCUUGAGUCUUUUGGCCUAAAUAUUAAAGAUAUAAGGGGUCAAGGUUAUGACAAUGGUUCUAAUAUGAAAGGAAAAUAUCGAGGGGUACAAUCUAGGUUACUUGAUAUGAAUCCAAGAGCAUUAUAUAUGCCAUGUGCUUGUCAUAGUCUCAAUCUCACUCUUUGUGAUAUGGCAAAAUCAUGUGAAAAAGCUGUUUCAUUUUUUGGAAUUGUUCAGCGCAUAUAUGUAUUAUUUGCUGGCUCUACAAAAAGGUGGAAUGUUUUGCUUAAACAUGUUCCUAGUUUGACCGUGAAGUCAUUGUCCAAUACUCAUUGGGAGAGUAGAAUCAAAAGUGUUACAUCAAUAAGAUAUCAAGCCAGUGAGUUAAGAUCAGCUUUGUCUGAGUUACGCCAUGCUUCUGAAACUGAUCCUAAGGAUAAAAGUGAUGCAAAAAAAUUUAUUUGAUGUACUUGGUCGCUUUGAGUUUCUAGUUGGUAUGAUUAUUUGGCAUGAUAUUCUAUUUGCUGUAAAUAAAGUUAGCAAGAUGUUGCAAUCAUCAACCAUGUGCAUCGACUCCGCUUUGAAGCAAAUAAAAGGUAUAACACAAUAUUUUGAGAAGUACAGAGAUGAGGGAUUUUCUUCCAGUUUGAGCAUCGCUGAAGGUAUUGCAACUGAAAUGGGAAUAGAGCCAUUGUUUCCAGUGAAACGCCGUGUUACGAGGAAGAAGCAGUUUGACGAAAAUGAUUGUCAAGAAGAAAUUCUAGAAGGUGAGAAGGCUUUCCGUGUUAAAUAUUUUAAUGUUUUGGUUGAUAUGACGAUCAAUUCUUUGAAUGAUAGAUUUAAAGAACUCAUGGUGUUUAAAGAUAUAUUCGGAUUUUUAUUGAGCUCGGGCACCCUCAAGUCAUAAGUGACAGUGUACUUGAAGAAUGUUGUACGAAAUUUGCAGAAACUUUCUUUUUUAAUGGUUCAUCAGAUGUUGAGGUAUACAAUCUUAUUUCUGAACUGAAGAUUAUGAGAUUCACUUUGCCGGAUGGCGUAAUGUCCGCUAUGGAGAUUUUUGGGCAUGUGAGAGAAGUUGAUUGUUAUCCUAGUAUCUCCAUUGCCUAUCGCAUCUUAUUUACAGUGCCGGUGACGGUCGCAUCAGCUGAAAGAAGCUUUUCAAAAUUGAAGUUAUUAAAGAAUUAUUUAAGGUCAACAAUGACUCAAGAGAGAUUAAAUGGUUUGGCUACUUUAUGCAUGAAGAAAAAAUUAUUGGAUGAUAUUGACAUCGACCCAUCAUAAGUGACUUUGCAUCGAGGAAUGUUAGAAGAAAUUUUUAAGGUAGUACGUAUAAAUUAUUUACUACGCAUACAGAUUUUGGUUGCAUCUAAGUGUUACUGAUAAUAAUUUCUAUAUACAUUUUUAGACAACUAUAUAUAUAUAUGUAUUUCUGAGGCAAACUAUAUAUAUAUAUAUAUAUAUAUAUAUAUAUAUAUAUAUAUAUAUGUAUGUAUAUAUAUAUAUAUGUAUGUAUACAUAUAUUAUAAAGACUUAUAUAUUAAGGCCCUCAAUUUUUAGUUCGCCCCGGACCCCCAAAUUCUCAGGACCAGCCCUGCUUGAACCUAUCUAGGCCAAUUUGACGUGCUAGGAAAUCAAAUAUCCCGACCGGAAUCACACUUUAAUUUCACUGACUGGAUAAGCAGUAGCUAAACGAUCUAGCACCGAACGCUCAUAUAUGUGCUAACCAACUUAAUCAAUCUUGGCCUAGUGAUAUGAUUGAAUCUGUGCACAACGGGGACCAGCGUGUGGCUGCUAAGGAUGGAUUCAGCAUGUAUGAGGCGCUCUGCAUCUGCAACUUCCCGUUCGUCUCCGGCACCGUGCCGCGAGCUCAGCUGCGUUGGUCAGCGUGGUGGCCACGAACUACGGCCGCUCACACGCAGUGAGCUUGAAGCCGCGAAUGGCGAGAACGAAAUUGCAGAACCUGCUGUGCCAGCAAGAGUGUGACUCCAAGCUCGUCUCCGGCGGGCACUUGCUUGGUGAACACCCGUGAUGGCGCCGCCGUCCAGGGCUCUUGACUACACACCAUUGUUCGUUAACGACCCUCGAGGCGCGCAUUGUUGUUCUCUGCCUUGGUGGCGUCCAGGUGUCUGCGCUGAUUUGGAGAGAGAGAAGGAUGGAUCUAAAAUGUGGGAUGAGGAUGUAAGUUAGAGGUAGAGGAUUUUAAUCCCGGUCGGGAUGUUUCUUUUCCCAGGGCGCCAAACACGCCUAGGGUCCAGAUUGACCGGGAUAAAUAAGUACAGGAUAUAGAUUUCAGGUUUUUAAAAGUAAGGGUUUAUUUCUGACGAGCUGUAUAAAUUCAAGGUUUAAAAUAAACUUCAUCCAACGGAGGGAGUACUAACCACUAAUACCAUCAUGCAAUACAUAUCCAAUUAACCAUGGAUUAUUCUACUAUAUAUUUCUUAGAAACAAUGCAUCGCUAGUAAGAUUAGAGGAUCGCGUAUCAAAAGAAGAGACCAACCUAGAGCUUCAAAGCUUUAGGACCGCUGUGCGAGCAGGUCUCCAUCAGCGGAGCGGCUGCGGCUUCCAUGAGGUGCGGCCUGGGAGAGCCGCCAUAGCCCUCGAUUUGAGGAAUGGCUCGGAAGGCGCGUCUGGAAGGCGGCCCUCGACUCCGGUUCAUAAGAUGGUGUCGUUGCCCCAGGUCCUCGCGCCCACAGCGUCGCCUUCAAGUCCACAUGCCGUCGCCACCGUCUACGCACUCGUGAGAUGGGAUCCGCGAUAUGUGACAGUUACACACAAUGUUUCCAAGAAAAAGCCACAGACCAUAAUACCCUAUUUUAAAUACAAUAUUUUAAUUAACAUGCUAACCCAACAGUGGAAAACAAUCAAAAAAGGAGUUACACGAAAUUACAUUUCGUAACUCUCCAAUCACUGUAAAAGAGCUCAUAAAAGAUAUCAGGGUUGUUUAACGGGAAUAGAGGGAUUGGUGGAAUAAUUGUUGUAUUGCUUGAGCCUCGUGAGCAUAUAUAUAUGAGUACAUGAUCAUUUCAGAGUACAAGUCAAGGCAGGAACAAAUCCUAGUCUAUCUAUGCUUUUCUAAACAAUCACAUUACUCAACAUCCCCCCACAGUCACAACGAUAACGACGCAGACGGUGAGACUAGAGAAGAAUCCGAAGGUAAGCCGACACUCAUCCCCUCACAGUCGUAACGGUCGAUGCAUCACGGAAGUUGUGGCCGGAGUAGAAACCGACGAGGUUGCUCAAGCAAGGCGGUAGCCCUUUGUGCCAAUGUCGAGGUAGCCGAGAGCGUGGGGUGGCGUAGCCGUGGUCGAGGUAGCCGUGCAAAGAAUGCCAUGGUCGAUGUCGAGUCGGGUAGCCGGUGUCGAGGGUCGCCUUGGAGCCGCGGGCGCAAGGAGGCGCCGAGUUAGUCAUGGGCGCAGUGGUGUCGAAGUAGUGAUGCGCCGGAAAGAAGACGUAGUUGAGACACGUCGCGUCGAGUUUGCCAAGCCCGGGACACAUCAUGGACGAAGGCACGCAUCGGUGUUGCCAACACCGCGCAUGCGUAGACGGACGAAGUCGAUGUUGACGAUGCGUCGCUCCAAAUUUGCCAGGCCUGGGAACACACUGGAGACGAAGGCACACUACGCAAAACUUUAGUACGGACGAGACGAGGCCUGCUACCAACAUUGAAGAGAUGAAAAUCAAUGUGAACGUUGCAGUGAUGGUUGUGAUAGUUUCUGUAAUCAAGCAGAUACUCACUUGGCAUCCCUUGAUGCGUAAUGAUGCAUAUCAGCAUAUGCAUGGUCUGAAAUUUCGCAGGCCAAUGUCAUGUCUCACCAUCCUCUUCAAUAAAACUGGAUCUCAAUGAGAGUAUCCAAACCAGUGUGUCAGUUUGUUUAUGUGCUCGUGCGUAUUUUCUUUCGUUGCUCCAAUAAAAGAUUAAGUGUCAGUUCCUAUUUUUUCUAUGUUUUUAGCUUUUUUUUAGAUCUGAUUUUGAAACGGAGUCCAAACGGAAUAAAAUCUCCGAAAUGAUUUUUUCCCGAACGGAAGAAGAUCAGGGGGCCUGUGGGCCAAACCAGGAGGGCUCCAGGGAGCCCACAAGCCCCCACUCCGCCACCAGGGGAGGCGGCGGUGGCAGGGCUUGUGGCCUCCCUGAGCGCCCCCUGACCUAGAUCUUUGGCCUAUAUAUUCCCUAAAAUACAGCAAAAAAUCAGGGGAGCCUCGAAAAUACUUUUCCGCCGCCGUAAAUUUCCGUUUCCACGAGAUCUCAUCUGGAGACCCUUCCCGGCGCCCUGCCAGAGGGGACUUUGGAGUUGGAGGGCUUCUUCAUCAUCAUCAUCGCCCCUCCAAUGACUCGUGAGUAGUUCACUUCAGACCUACGGGUCCGUAGUUAGUAGCUAGAUGGCUUCUUCUCUCUCUUGGAUCUUCAAUACAAAGUUCUCCAUGAUCUUCAUGGAGAUCUAUCCGAUGUAAUCUUCUAUGGCGGUGUGUUUGUCGAGAUCCGAUGAAUUGUGGAUUUGUGAUCAGAUUAUCUAUGAUAUAUAUUUGAGUCUUUGCUGAUUUCUUAUAUGCAUGAUUUGAUAUCCUUGUAAGUCUCUCCGAGUCUUGGCUUUUGUUUGGCCAACUAGAUCUAUGAUUCUUGCAAUGGGAGAAGUGAUUGGUUUUGGGUUCUUACCAUGUGGUGACCUUUCCCAGUGACAGUAGGGGCAGCAAGACACACAUUGAGUGUUUGCCAUCAAGGGUAACAAGGUGGGCUCUGUCGUUGAUAUGAGAUUGUCCAUCUACAUCAUGUCAUCUUGCUUAAGGCGUUACUCUGUUCUUUUGGACUUAAUACACUAGAUGAAUGCUGAAUAGCGGUCGAUGUUGGAGUAAUAGUAGUAGAUGCAGACAUUAUUGGUCUACUUGUUUUGGACGUGAUGCCUAUAGAUACAAUCAUUGCCAUAGAUGACGUCACGACUUUGCGCGGUUCUAUCAAUUGCUCGACAAUAAUUUGUUCACCCACCAUCUACUUGCUUUCAUGAGAGAAGUCACUAGUAAACACUACGAUCCCCGAGUCUAUUCACAUCUAUCGUUUACACCUCCGCUUUUACUUUGCUUUGUUACUUUGUUGCUUUCAUAUCUCACUUUGCGAACAAUCUAUAAGGGAUUGACAAAUCCUUCAUAGCGUUGCGAGCAGGUUCUUUGUGUUUGUGCAGGCACUUGUGAUACUCCUUCACUGGAUCGAUACCUUGGUUCUCAAAACUGAGGGAAAUAUUUACCACCGCUACGCUACAUCACCCUUUCCGCUUCGAGGGAACACCAACGCAAGGCUCCAAGGCUGCGGGGAAAUCCUUUGCUUAUUUGCCUAGUAAGUCCCUAAAGGCGUAGCCGUAGCAGAAGGAUUCCUGAUGUCGUUGUUGAGGAGAAUCAAGACAAGAACAGUCUCCCGUCAGCACGUGUUUCUGGCGCCGUUGGAAGGUCAUUUGUUGCAGUAGCAAGCACAUAGAGCAAAAUUAUCUAGAUCAAAAGAUAUAAGUGAAGCACUAUGAGCAUUCUAGCAAAAUCACGAUGAGUGCAUGUCUCUCUCUAAAGGUGUGCAGCAAGGAUGACUGUGACACAACAAAAAGAAAAGACUCCUACGAUACAAGACGCUCUAAGCAAAACACAUAUCAUGUGAUGAAUAAAAAUAUAGCUCCAAGUAAUGUUACCGAUGGAUUAAAGACGAAAGAGGGGAUGCCUUCCCGGGGCAUCCCCAAGCUUAGGAUUUUUGGUGUCCUUUAAUUUGGCUUGGGAUGCCUUGGACAUCCCCAAGCUUGAGCUCUUUCCACUCCUUAUUUCUUUGUCCAUGAGAACAUCACCCAAAACUUGAAAACUUCACAACACAAAACUUAAACAGAAACUCGUGAUAACAUUAGCACAAGAAAACAAACUACCACCACUUUAGGUACUGUAGCAAUCUUGAUUCAUAUUUAUAUUGGUGUUAGAUUACUGUAUUCUCACUUUUCCAUGGCUAGUACCCCCCGAUACUAUUCAUAGUUUCAUCAAAACAAGCAACCAACUCAACAAAAACAGAAUCUGUCAAAAACAGACCAGUUUGUAGCAAUCUGUAUGCUUCGUAUACUUCUGUUACCUCAAAAAUUCUUAACUAUUACGACUGCCUGGGAAAAAGGCAUAUAAACUAGAAGCAAAAAGAAUCAACUCAAAAUCUCUUUCUGAAUAAAAAUAAAAAAUCAUCUCGUGAGAAAAAAGUUUCUGUCUUUUUCCAGCAGGAUCAAACAACCAUCACCAAGUCUAGUCAUAAAGGUUUUGCUUGGCUCAAACACAAAAAGAAACACAAAAGACACAAUCAUAGAAUUAUGAUGGUGUGGACGCAACAAAACAGAAAGAAAAAGAAAUAAAUUCAUUGGGUUGCCUCCCAACAAGCGCUAUUGUUUAACGCCCUUAGCUAGGCAUAAGGCGAUAGUAUCGUCGUCUUUGGUGCUCAAACCAUAAGUAGCGUGAUCACUUAUCAUCUUAAGGUUUUCAUCUUUCUUGCUAGAUGAUUCACCACUAUUUUUGGGAACAAAAAUAGACUUGGUGACCUUAUUGUGGGCAAAAUUUGGAGUAUUCUGCACAGCGGCAAAAGCGGAACCCAAGUUGGUUAUAACAUCCUCUAGUUUGCCAAUCCUAGCGGAAUCAUGACCUAGUUUUUCGUUAACUGUAGGUUCCUUCUCCUUUAAAUUUUUCAAAACCAUUCCCACCUUGGAUCCGUACCGAGUGAUUUGGUUGUGGAUCUUUUUAUCCAAAUUCUCAAUGAUUUCGAUCGUAGCAACUUUAUUUUCAAUGACGUCCAGCCUACGCAUCACAUGUUCCAGAGUUAAGGUAGUUCCAUUAACCAUGAGUGGGGGUGAGCCUGCCAAAUUUAUUACAGCUCCGUAAGAAUCAACGGUAUGGCUAUCUAAGAAAUUUCCACCUACGAUGGUGUCAAGAAUAUACUUAUGCCAAGGAGAAACACCCACAUAAAAACUGGGAAGCAGGACGGUAGUGGAUUGCUUAUGAGUAGAUCUACUCUGAGCAUUGCAAAUCCUAUACCAAGCGUCCUUUAAGUUUUCUUCCUCAAUUUAUUUGAAAUUGAGAACUUUGUUCUCGGGAGUAUCGUUCGAAGUGGUGGAUCUAGCAUGAGGACAGGUAGACUAUCCCACACAAAUGAACAGAAAGCAAGCGAGAGAAAAUGGCGAACAAAAAAUGCAAACGAAAAAGGCAAAUACUUUUUUGUAAAUUUUUGCUUUUCAGAAGUGGAGGAGAGGAAAACGAGAGGCAAAAAAGUAAAUGCAAGAGAUGAAUUUGCGACACUUACUUGGAUGAGUUCUUGACUUGAUCCUCCCCGGCAAAGGUGCCAGAAAUCCUUCUGGUACUUCUCAAACAACAGCGCCAGAAUUUGACACAUUGACGGAGACUUGCUUGCGUUGGUUUUUCCCUUGAAGAGAAAGGGUGAUGCAGCACAGGAGCAGUAAGUAUUUCCCUCAGUUUGAGAACCAAGGUAUCAAUCCAGUAGGAGAAUCCCGUCAAGUCCAGAGUACCUGCGCAAACACAAAAGAGCUUGCACCCAACGCUAUAAAGGGUUGUCAAUCCUUCAAGAUUUAUUGCAAAGUGAGAUCUGAAGGCGAAAAGUGCAACGAAGAAAAAGAGUAAGGCUGAAAAUAUGGUGUGGAGUAGACCCCGGGGCCAUAGUGUUCACUAGAAGCUUCUCUCAAAAUAGCAAAUAUUACGGUGGGUGAACAAAUUAGUGUCGAGCAAUUGAUAGAACCGCGCAAAGUCAUGACGAUAUCUAAGGCAAUGAUCAUACAUAUAGGCAUCACGUCCGAGACAAGUAGACCGAUACUUUCUGCAUCUACUACUAUUACUCCACACAUCGACCGCUAUCCAGCAUGCAUCUAGCGUAUUGAGUUCAUGACGAAUAGAGUAACGCCUUAAGCAAGAUGACAUGAUGUAGAGGGAUAAACUCAAACCAAUGAUGAAAACCCCAUCUUUUUACCCUUGAUGGCAACAACACGAUGCGUGCCUCGCUACCCCUUCUGUCACUGGGUGAGGUCACCGCACGGUAUGAACCCAAAACCAAGCACUUCUCCCAUUGCAAGAAUCAUAGAUCUAGUUGGCCAAACAAAACCCACAACUCGAAGAGAAUUACAAGGAUAUGAAAUCAUGCAUAAGAGAGAUCAGAAGAAACUCAAAUAAGAUUCAUAGAUAAUCUGAUCAAAAAUCCACAAUUCAUCGGAUCUCGACAAACACACCGCAAAAUAAGAUUACAUUAGUUAGAUCUCCAUGAAGAUCAUGGAGAACUUUGUAUUGAAGAUCCAAGAGAGAGAAGAAGCCAUCUAGCUACUAGCUAUGGACCCGUAGGUCUAUGGUGAACUACUCACGCAUCAUCGGAGAGGUCAUUGUGUUGAUGAAGAAGCCCUUCGUAUCCGAAUCCCCCCUCCGGCAGGGCACCAGAACGUGCCCCAGAUGGGAUCUUGCGGAGACAGAAGCUUGCAGCGGCGGAAAAGUACUUUCGAUGAUCUCCUGAUUUUUUCUGGGAUUUUAGGGAAUAUAUAGGCGAACGACCUAGGGCAAAGGUGCCUGAUGACCCACAAGUAUAUGGGAUCAAUCGUAGUCCUUUCGAUAAGUAAGAGUGUCGAACCCAACGAGGAGCAGAAGGCUCUGAUAAAAGGAUUUCAGCAAGGUAAUAACUGCAAGCACUGAAAGUAGCGGUAACAAGUGAUGGUGUAGCUAGGUGAAACGUAGCGAGCAAAAACUAACAAGUAACAAGUAGUAGCAACGGUGCAGCAAGUGGCCCAAUCCCUUUUGCAGCAAGGGACAAGCCUGAACAAAGUCUUAUAGGAGGAAAAAUGCUCCGGAGGACACACGGGAAUUUCUGUCAUGCUAGUUUCAUCAUGCUCAUAUGAUUCGCGUUCGUUACUUUGAUAGUUUGAUAUGUGGGUGGACCGGCGCUUGGGUACUGCCCUUACUUGGACAAGCAUCCCACUUAUGAUUAACCUCUCUCGCAAGAAUCCGCAACUACAGAAGAAGAAUUAAGACAAAGUCUAACCAUAGCAUUAAACUAGUGCAUCCAAAUCAGUCCCUCACGAAGCAACACAUAGACUAGGGUUUAAGCUUAUGUCACUCCAGCAACCCAUCAUCUACUUACUACUUCCUAAUGCCUUCCUCUAGGCCCAAAUAUGGUGAAGUGUUAUGUAGUCGACGUUCACAUAACACCACUAGAGGAAAAGACAACAUACAUCAUAUCAAAAUACCGAACGAAUAUCAAAUUCACAUGACUAUUAUUAACAUGACUUAUCCCAUGUCCUCAGGAACAAAAGUAACUACUCACAAAACAUAAUCAUAAUCAUGAUCGGAGGUGUAAUGAAUAGCAUCAAGGAUCUGAACAUAAACUCUUCCACCAAGUAAUCCAACUAGCAUCAACUACAAAGAGUAAUCAACACUACUAGCAACCUUACAAGUAUCAAUCGGAGUCGUGAGACGAAGAUUGGUUACAAGAGAUGAACUAGGAUUGGAGAGGGGAUGGUGCUGAUGAAGAUGUUGAUAGAUGCCUCCCCUCCGACGAAAGGAGUGUUGGUGAUGAUGAUGGCGACGAUUUCCCCCUCCGGGAGGGAAGUUUCCCCGGCAGGAUCGUCCUGCCGGAGCUCUAGAUUGGAUCUGCUCAAGUUCCGCCUCGUGGCGCUGGCAAAACCACGAAAAAGCUCCCCUCUGAUUUUUUCUGGACCAAGACGCUUCAUAUAGCAAAAGAGGGGGGCUAGUGGGCCGUCAGGGAGCCUACAAGCCCCCACUCCGCCACCAGGGGGUGGCGGUGUCAGGGCUUGUGGCGCCCUGGCAGCCCCCCUCCGGUAGUUCUUUCGCCCAGUAUUUUUUAUAUAAUCCCAAAAAAAUCCACGCAACUUUUCAGGGCAUUUGGAGAUGUGUAGAAUACUGGACUAGGAUUUGCUCCUUUUCUAGUCCAGAAUUCCAGCUGCCUGAAUUCUCCCUCUUCAAACAAACCUUGCAAAAUAAGAGAGAAAAUGCAUAAAUAUGGUACCACAAGUAAUAAAACAUCCCAAAACGCAAUAAAUAUCAACAUGAAAGCAUGAUGCAAAAUGGACUUAUCAACUCCCCCAAGCUUAGACCUCGCUUGUCCUCAAGUGAAAACCAAGUUCCAUAAACAUGUCCACAUGUUGAGGGACGAAGGUGUCGAUAAAACAUAAUACUGACAUAAGGGCAUCAUGAUCAUACAUAGGACAGCAAUACAUCAUAAAGAUUCUUAUGGGAAAGUAACAAUUCCUUCACAAAGCAAAGCAUCAAUCAAAAACCUUACCGUGAAGUAACCAACAAUAGUCCAUAGUCAUUGAAGCAAUUGCAAUUUAUCACAACAUCAGAAAGAGUCAAAUAAGAGCUUGUAAGGCAAACCCACAUACUCAAUCAUCUCUUUUGUUUUCCACAAUUGUUACAACUCACGUGGUACUCAUGGUGUCAAAGUUUCAGCUGGACACAGAGGAAGAUAGGGGCUUAUAGUUUUGCCUCCCAACCAUUUACCUCAAGGCUAAAGUCAACAACAAUAAAGCAUAAGUACUCAACUCCAAGUUGAUAUAUGAAUAUAGAUCUUUCCCAAGCAUGUGACGGUAGCCAAGACAAAGGCAAAGAUAGGGAAUUGGUGAUGAUCACCAUGACUCUUACAAGGGCAAAAAGUAAAGGUACAAGAUAGGCCCUUCGCAGAGGGAAGCAUAGGUUCUCAUGCGCUUUUGAGGUUUGAAUGUGUGUCCUCUUAGUGCGGAGGAACUUCACUUUAUAUUGCCUCCUGUGAUAAAGAACUUUAUUAUGCAGUCUGUCGCUUUUAUGUCUUCCUCAUCACAGGUUCGUACAAAGCUUAUUUUCCACACACUAAUAGAUCAUACAUAUUAGAUAGCAAUUUUUAUUGCUUGCACCGAUGACAACUUACUUGAAGGAUCUUAUUCAAUCCAUAGGUAGGUAUGGUGGACUCUCAUGGCAAAACUGGGUUGGAGGUUUAAGGAUUCACAAGUAGUAUCUCUACUUGAUGCGGGAGUUUUGGCUAAUAUGAGGUGGAAGAAAUCGUCACAUGCUAAGGGAUCUCUAAUCAUAUAACAUUGUUUGGAACCAAGCAAACACAAUUCAUUAUGUUGUCUUCCUUGUCCAACAUCUACUCCUAAGCAUGCAAUAGUUUGGUGAGUGCUCACAAUUGUAAAAAGUGUCUAAGAUGAUAUAUUUAUAUGUGAACCUCUCUUUCCUUAUUACUUCUUAUUAAUUGCAACAAUGACUGAGGUCUAUGUUGAUUUAUUCUCAACAAGUUUCAAUCAUCAUACGUGCCAUAUGUGAAGCUAUCACUUUCCAUAAGAUCGUCUCAUGAUCUUUCAUGCUAUCGUUCUUUUCACACUAUUGAUCAUGGCACAAAGCAAAGUCCUUGACUAAGACACUCUUUAUUAUAUAGCUCGUAAGUUCGAAUACAUCGGGAGAGACAAAAGCAAAAGAUUCAAACUAAACACUAAAGACUUAUUCCUCUAAGAGAAGAAAUAAAAACUGAAAAGGAAAGAACUAAAACAAAGGUAAAAGCAAAAGAUAUAAAGGUGAUACGAUACCAGGGAAACUCCCCCAAGCUUGGCAGAAGCCAAGGGGAUUGCCCAUACCAAUGCUUAGUUGUCUUCCUUUGUUGGUGAUGGUGGUGUUGUUGUCGCCUUUGAUUCCAAGAGAGCUAUCAAUCUUUGAUUUAUACCUUUGAGAUCUGUGACAUGGUUUUCCAGCAAAACAACUUCACGAGAAAGAGAAAUAUUGCGAGCACGAGUUGUUUCGCAAAACCUCAAGAGUUCAAUCAAGGAUGGAGACAACACAUGGAGGAAGGGUUGGAGAAAAUCUACUCCUUCAACGUCUUCAAUGUUGAACAUAGGUUGAACUUCCUCCCUAGCUUGGGUUUUCUCCUUAGCUUGGUCACUGGCUUCCGUGACUUCUACUCUUUUCAGAUCUGCAUGUACUUCAUCAUGAACUUGGUGAAGAUCAUUCUCCCCAACAGAUUCCUGAGACAUCUUUGCUGCAAAUCUGCGGCAGAAAACAAGCUCGAAACGAAAACAGAGGAAAACUACGCGAUACGGAGAUCAAAACCUUCGGGCGACUAUAUAUUGAUUUUUUCUGGGCCAGAAGGAGUCCUCGGCAAGAAAACAGAGUCCGGGAGGCACACGAGGUGCCCACAAGCUUGCCCUCCGCCACCAGGGGGUAGGGGGCGGUGGAAGGGCUUGUGGCCGCCUCGUUCGCUCUCCGGACUGCUUUUUAUUUUUCUAAUUUUCCAAAAAUUCCAAAACGGAAGAAAUUUCCUAUUGGAAAAUCAUCGGAGUGCAAUUUCUUACCGAAACAGAUACAUCUUCGUUUUCAAGGUCUGAAACAGGCUGAUAAACAUCCCUUAUAUACUCCUCUGGAGUUAUGACAUUGAUGACAUUGGUCUCAAUAUUUAUGGGAGUAUGAUGACCCACAAAUAUAGGGGAUCAAUCGUAGUCCUUUCGAUAAGUAAGAGUGUCGAACCCAACGAGGAGCAGAAGGCUCUGAUAAACGGAUUUCAGCAAGGUAAUAACUGCAAGCACUGAAAGUAGCGGCAACAAGUCAUUGUGUAGCGAGGUGAAACGUAGCAAGCAAAAAGUAAUAAGUAACAAGUAGUAGCAAUGGUGCAGCAAGUGGCCCAAUCCCUUUUGUAGCAAGGGACAAGCCUGAAAAAAGUCUUAUAGGAGGAUAAACGCUCCCGAGGACACACGGGAAUUUCUGUCAUGCUAGUUUCAUCAUGUUCAUAUGAUUCGCGUUCGUUACUUUGAUAGUUUGAUAUGUGGGUGGACUGGCGCUUGGGUACUGCCCUUACUUGGACAAGCAUCCCACUUAUGAUUAACCUCUCUCGCAAGCAUCCGCAACUACAAAAGAAGAAUUAAGACAAAGUCUAACCAUAGCAUUAAACUAGUGGAUCCAAAUCAGCCCCUUACGAAGCAACACAUAGACUGGGGUUUAAGCUUCUGUCACUCCAACAACCCAUCAUCUACUUACUACUUCCCAAUGCCUUCCUCUAGGCCCAAAUAUGGUGAAGUGUUAUGUAGUCGACGCUCACAUAACACCACUAGAGGAAAAACAACAUACAACAUAUCAAAAUACCAAACGAAUAUCAAAUUCACAUGACUAUUAUUAACAUGACUUAUCCCAUGUCCUCAGGAACAAAAGUAACUACUCACAAAACAUAAUCAUAAUCAUGAUCAGAGGUGUAAUGAAUAGCAUCAAGGAUCUGAACAUAAACUCUUCCACCAAGUAAUCCAACAAGCAUCAACUACAAAGAGUAAUCAACACUACUAGCAACCUUACAAGUACCAAUCGGAGUUGCGAGACGAAGAUUGGUUACAAGAGAUGAACUAGGGAUUGGAGAGGAGAUGGUGCUGAUGAAGAUGUUGAUGAAGAUGCCUCCCCUCCGAUGAGAGGAGUAUUGGUGAUGACGAUGGCGACGAUCUCCCCCUCCGGGAGAGAAGUUUCCCUGGCAGGAUCGUCCUACCGGAGCUCUAGAUUGGAUCUGCUCAAGUUCCGCCUCGUGGCGGCGGCGAAACCACGAAAAAGCUCCCUCUUGAUUUUUUUUCUGGACCAGGACGCUUCAUAUAGCAAAAGAGGGGGCUAGUGGGCCGUCAGGGAGCCCACAAGCCCCCACUCCGCCACCAGGGGGGUGGCGGUGUCAGGGCUUGUGGCGCCCUGGCAGCCCCCCUUCGGUAGUUCUUUCGCCCAGUAUUUUUUAUAUAAUCCAGAAAAAAUCCACGUAACUUUUCAGGCCAUUUGGAGUUGUGCAAAAUAGUGGACUAGGAUUUGCUCCUUUCUUAGUCCAGAAUUCCAGCUGCCUGAAUACUCCCUCUUCAAAUAAACCUUGCAAAAUAAGAGAGAAAAGGCAUAAAUAUGGUACCACAAGUAAUAUAACAGCCCAAAAGGCAAUAAAUAUGAACAUGAAAGCAUGAUGCAAAAUGGACGUAUCAACUACCCCAAGCUUAGACCUCGCUUGUCCUCAAGCGAAAACCAAGUUCCAUAAACACGUCCACAUGUUUAGGGAUGAAGGUGUCGAUAAAACAUAAUACGGACAUGAGGGCAUCAUGAUCACACAUAGAACAACAAUACAUUAUAAAGAUUCUUAUGGAAAAGUAGCAAUUCCUUCACAAAGCAAAGCAUGAAUCAAAAACCUUACCGAGAAGUAACCAACAAUAAUCCAUAUUCAUUGAAGCAAUUGCAAUUUAUCACAACAUCAGAAAGAGUCAAAUAAGAGCUUGUAAGGCAAACCCACAUACUCAAUCAACUCAUUUGUUUUCCACAAUUGUUACAACUCACGUGGUACUCAUGGUGUCAAAGUUUCAGUUGGACACAGAGGAAGAUAGGGGCUUAUAGUUUUGCCUCCCAAUGGUUUACCUCACGGGUAAAGUCAAAAACAAUAAAGCAUGAGUACUCAACUCCAAGUUGAUAUAUGAAUAUAGAUAUUUCCCAAGCAUGUGACGGUAGCCAAGACAAAGGCAAAAAGGGAAUUGGUGAAGAUCACCAUGACUCUUUCAAGGGCAAAAAGUAAAGAUACAAGAUAGGCCCUUCGCAGAGGGAAGCAGAGGUUGUCAUGCGAUUUUGAGGUUUGAAUGCGUGUCCUCUUAGUGCGGAGGAACGUCACUUUAUAUUGCCUCCUGUGAUAAAGAACUUUAUUAUGCAGUCUGUCGCUUUUAUGUCUUCCUCAUCACAGGUUCGUACAAAGCUUAUUUUCCACACACUAAUAGAUCAUACAUAUUAGAGAGCAAUAUUUAUUGCUUGCACUGAUGACAACUUACUUGAAGGAUCUUAUUCAAUCCAUAGGUAGGUAUGGUGGACUCUCAUGGCAAAACUGGGUUGGAGGUUUAUGGAUGCACAAGUAGUAUCUCUACUUGGUGCAGGAGUUUUGGCUAAUAUGAGAUGGAAGAAAUCGUCACAUGCUAAGGGAUCUCUAAUCAUAUAACAUUGUUUGGAACCAAGCAAACACAAUUCAUUAUGUUGUCUUCCUUGUCCAACAUCUACUCCUAAGCAUGUAAUAGUUUGGUGAGUGCUCACAAUUGCAAAAAGUGUCUAAGAUGAUAUAUUUAUAUGUGAACCUCUCUUUCCUUAUUACUUCUUAUUAAUUGCAACAAUGACUGAGGUCUAUGUUGAUUUAUUCUCAACAAGUUUCAAUCAUCAUACGUGUCAUAAGUGAAGUUAUCACUUUCCAUAAGAUCGUCUCAUGAUCUUUCAUGCUAUCGUUCUUUUCAUACUUUUGAUCAUGGCACAAAGCAAAGCCCUUGACGAAGACACUCUUUAUUAUAUAGCUCGUAAGCUCGAAUACAUCGGGGGAGAGACAAAAGCAAAAGACUCAAACUAAAAACUAAAGACUUAUUCCUCUAAGAGAAGAAAUAAAAACUGAAAAGGAAAGAACUAAAACAAAGGUAAAAGAAAAACAUAUAAAGGUGAUACGAUACCAGGGCAACUCCCCCAAACUUAGCAGAAGCCAAGGGGAUUGCCCAUACCAAUGCUUAGUUGUCUUCCUUUGGUGGUGAUGGUGGUGUUGUUGGAGCAGUCUUGAGCUUGUCUAAUUUCCACUUGAGCAAAAAGUUCUGCUCCCUUAGAUCGUCAUUUUCCUCCUCAAGUUUCAAAACUCUAUGGCAAAGCUCCUGCUUACUCUCCUGCAAGAAACGAGAAGGGAUAAACAAGGUCUUAGGCUUCUUCCUAUGGUCAGGGAGGCUUGACUUCUUGAACUCCACAUGGGUGUUUGCUGGUUGAGGUAGAGGAGCCUCCUCUUCAUCGUAACUCGUUUGCUCCUUCCCUUUGGGCUUAUAGUCCUCUUCCUCAUCAGUGGUCCAGCCAUAUGGUUCCAAGUCCCCAUAGACCUUGGGGUUAGCAAGGUAGUCAGCCACAUAGCUCUCUCCCUUUGAAUCUUGAGAAUACAUCUUGACCUAGAUCUGCGGCAGAACAAGCUCGAAACGAAAACAGUGGAAAACUGCGCGAUACGGAGAUCAAAACCUUCGGGCGACUAUAUAUUGAUUUUUUUUUCUGGGCCAGAAGGAGUACUCCGCAAGAAAACGGAGUCCAGGAGGCACACGAGGUGCCCACAAGCUUGCCCUCCGCCACCAGGGGGUAGGGGGCGGUGGCAGGGCUUGUGGCUGCCUCGUUCGCUCUCCGGACUGCUUUUUAUUUUUCUAAUUUUCCAAAAAUUCCAAAACGGAAUAAAUUUCCUAUUGGAAAAGUAUCAGAGUCCAAUUUCUUACCGAAACAGAUACAUCUUCGUUUUCAAGGUCUGAAAUAGGCUGAUAAACAUCCCUUAUGUACUCCUCUCGAGUUAUGACAUUGAUGAUAUUGGUCUCAACAUUUAUGGGAGUACCAGAGAUGUAAUGCUUGAUUCUUUGCCCGUUUACCACUCUAGGAAAAUUUCCUUCCGUGUUAUCGAUUUCGAUGGCACCGGAACGAUAUACUUCCUUGAUAACAUAGGGACCUUCCCAUUUAGAGAGAAGCUUGCCUGCAAAGAACCUCAAACUAGAAUUGUAUAGCAAGACAUAAUCACCUACAUUGAACUCUCGUUUCUGUAUUCGUUUGUCGUGCCAUCUCUUAACCUUUUCCUUGGACAACCUGGCAUUUUCAUAUGCCUGGGCUCUCCAUGUUGGAAUUAUGCCCUAGAGGCAAUAAUAAAUGUAUAGUUAUUAUUAUAAUUCCUGUAUCAAGAUAAUAGUUUAUUAUCCAUGCUAUAAUUGUAUUGAAUGAAGACUCAUUUACAUGUGUGGAUACAUAGACAAAACACCGUCCCUAGCAUGCCUCUAGUUGGCUAGCCAGUUGAUCGAUGAUAGUCAGUGUCUUCUGAUUAUGAACAAGGUGUUGUUGCUUGAUAACUGGAUCACGUCAUUAGGAGAAUCACGUGAUGGACUAGACCCAAACUAAUAGACGUAGCAUGUUGAUCGUGUCAUUUUGUUGCUACUGUUUUCUGCGUGUCAAGUAUUUAUUCCUAUGACCAUGAGUUCAUAUAACUCACUGACACUGGAGGAAUGCUUUGUGUGUAUCAAACGUCGCAACGUAACUGGGUGACUAUAAAGAUGCUCUACAGGUAUCUCCGAAGGUGUUAGUUGAUUUAGUAUGGAUCAAGACUGGGAUUUGUCACUCCGUGUGACGGAGAGGUAUCUCGGGGCCCACUCGGUAAUACAACAUCACACACAAGCCUUGCAAGCAAUGUAACUUAGUGUAAGUUGCGGGAUCUUGUAUUACGGAACGAGUAAAGAGACUUGCCGGUAAACGAGAUUGAAAUAGGUAUGCGGAUACUGACGAUCGAAUCUCGGGCAAGUAACAUACCGAAGGACAAAGGGAAUGACAUACGGGAUUAUACGAAUCCUUGGCACUGAGGUUCAAACGAUAAGAUCUUCGUAGAAUAUGUAGGAUCCAAUAUGGGCAUCCAGGUCCCGCUAUUGGAUAUUGACCGAGGAGUCUCUCGGGUCAUGUCUACAUAGUUCUCGAACCCGCAGGGUCUGCACACUUAAGGUUCGACGUUGUUUUAUGCGUAUUUGAGUUAUAUGGUUGGUUACCGAAUGUUGUUCGGAGUCCCGGAUGAGAUCACGGACGUCACGAGGGUUUCCGGAAUGGUCCGGAAACGAAGAUUGAUAUAUAGGAUGACCUCAUUUGAUUACCGGAAGGUUUUCGGAGUUACCGGGAAUGUACCGGGAAUGACGAAUGGGUUCCGGGAGUUCACCGGAAGGGGGCAACCCACUCCGGGGAAGCCCAUAGGCAUUUGGGGGGUCACACCAGCCCUUAGUGGGCUGGUGGGACAGCCCACCAAUCCCCUAUGCGCCAAGAAAGAAAAAAUCAAAGGAGAGAAAAAAAAAAGGAAGAAGUGGGAAGGGGGAAGGACUCCCUCCCACCAAACCAAGUAGGACUCGGUUUGGGGGGGAGAGUCCUCCCCCCUGGCUCGGCCGACCCCUUGGGGAUCCCUUGGACCCCAAGGCAAGGUCCCCCUCGCUCCUCCUAUAUAUAUGGGGCUUUUAGGGCAGAUUUGAGACGACUUUCUCAUGGCUGCCCGACCACAUACCUCCAUAGUUUUUCCUCUAGAUCGUGUUUCUGCGGAGCUCGGGCGGAGCCCUGCUGAGACAAGAUCAUCACCAACCUCCGGAGCGCCGUCACGCUGCCGGAGAACUCUUCUACCUCUCCGUCUCUCUUGCUGGAUCAAGAAGGCCGAGAUCAUCGUCGAGCUGUACGUGUGCUGAACGCGGAGGUGCCGUCCGUUCGGCACUAGAUCGUGGGACUGAUCGCGGGAUUGUUCGCGGGGCGGAUCGAGGGACGUGAGGACGUUCCACUACAUCAACCGCGUUCUCUAACGCUUCUGCUGUACGAUCUACAAGGGUACGUAGAUCACUCAUCCCCUCUCGUAGAUGGACAUCACCAUGAUAGGUCUUCGUGCGCGUAGGAAAAUUUUUGUUUCCCAUGCGACGUUCCCCAACAGUGGCAUCAUGAGCUAGGUUAAUGCGUAGAUGUCUUCUCGAGUAGAACACAAAAGGUUUUGUGGGCGGUGAUGUGCGUUUUGCUGCCCUCCUUAGUCUUUUCUUGAUUCCGCGGUAUUGUUGGAUUGAAGCGGCUUGGACCGACAUUACUCGUACGCUUACGAGAGACUGGUUUCAUCGUUACGAGUAACCCCCUUUGCUCAAAGAUGACUGGCAAGUGACGGUUUCUCCAACUUUAGUUGAAUCGGAUUUGACCGAGGAGGUCCUUGGAUGAGGUUAAAUAGCAACUCAUAUAUCUCCGUUGUGGUGUUUGCGUAAGUAAGAUGCGAUCCUACGAGAUACCCUUGGUCACCACGUAAAACAUGCAACAACAAAAUUAGAGGACGUCUAACUUGUUUUUGCAGGCUAUGAUUGUGAUGUGAUAUGGCCAAUGAUGUGAUGUGAUAUAUUGGAUGUAUGAGAUGAUCAUGUUGUAAUAGAAAUAUCGACUUGCACGUCGAUGGUACGGCAACCGGCAGGAGCCAUAGGGUUGUCUUUAUACUAACAUAUGUGCUUGCAGAUGCGUUUACUAUUUUGCUAGGAUGUAGCUUUAGUAGUAAUAGCAUAAGUAGCACGACAACCCCGAUGGCAACACGUUGAUGGAUGAUCAUGGUGUGGCGCCGGUGACAAGAAGAUCGUGCCGGUGCUUUGGUGAUGGAGAUCAAGAAGCACGUGAUGAUGGCCAUAUCAUGUCACUUAUGAAUUGCAUGUGAUGUUAAUCCUUUUAUGCACCUUAUUUUGCUUAGAACGACGGUAGCAUUAUGAGGUGAUCUCUCACUAAAAUUUCAAGACGAAAUUGUGUUCUCCCCGACUGUGCACCGUUGCGACAGUUCUUCAUUUCGAGACACCACGUGAUGAUCGGGUGUGAUAGACUCAACGUUCACAUACAACGGGUGCAAAACAGUUGCACACGCGGAACACUCGGGUUAAGCUUGACGAGCCUAGCAUGUGCAGACAUGGCCUCGGAACACAUGAGACCGAAAGGUCGAGCAUGAAUCGUAUAGUUGAUAUGAUUAGCAUAGAGAUGCUUACCACUGAAACUAUUCUCGACUCACGUGAUGAUCGGACUUGAGAUAGUGGAUUUGGAUCAUGUACCACUCAAAUGACUAGAGAGAUGUACUUUUUGAGUGGGAGUUCUUAAGUAAUAUGAUUAAUUGAACUAAUUGUCAUGAACAUAGUCUAAUGGUCUUUGCGAAUUACGAUGUAGCUUGCGCUAUAGCUCUACUGUUUUUAUAUGUUCCUAGAGAAAAUUUAGUUGAAAAUUGAUAGUAGCAACCUUUGCAGACUGAGUCUGUAAAACCGAGGAUUGUCCUCGUUGCUACGCAGAAGGCUUAUGUCCUUAAUGCACCACUCGGUGUGCUGCACCUCGAGCGUCGUCUGUGGAUGCUAUGAACAUCCGACAUACACGUUACUGAUGACUACACGAUAGUUCAGUGCAAGAUACUUGAUGGCUUAGAAGCAAGGCGCCGAAAACGUCACGGAACAUAAGUGAUGUUCCGAAGAGAUGAAAUUGUGAUUUCAUGCUUGUGCCCUUGUUAAGAGGUACGAGACCUCCAAACAAGAAUCUUUGUCCACAAAGUAAAAGAGAAAAGCUCAAUCGUUGAGCGUGUGCUCAGAUUGUCUGAGUGCGACAAUCGCUUGAAUCAAGUGGGAGUUAAUCUUCCAAAUGAGAUAGUGACGGUUCUCCAAAGUCACUGCCACCAAGCUAUGAGAGCUUCGUGAUGAACUAUAACAUAUCAAGGAUAGAUACUAUGAUCUUUUGAGUGAUUCGCGAUGUUUGACACUGCGAAAGUAGAAAUCAAGAAGGAGCAUCAAUAGUUGAUGGUUAGUAAAACCACUAAGUUUCAAGAAAGGCAAGGGCUAGAAGGGAUACUUCGUGAAACGGCAAAACAGUUGCUGCACUAAUGAAGAGACCCAAGAUUAAACCCAAACCCGAGACUAAGUGCUUCUGUAAUGAGGGGAACAAUCACUGAGGCGGAGCAACUCAAGAUACUUGGUAGAUAAGAAGGCUGGCAAAAGUCGAAAGAAGUGUAUUUGAUAUACAUGAUGUUGAUGUGUACUUUACUAGUACUCCUAGUAGCACGAGGGUAUUGGAUACCGGUUCGGUUGCUAAGUGAUUAGUGACGCGAAAUGAAAGCUACGGCAUAAACGGAGACUAGCUAAAGGCGAGGUGACGAUGCGUGUUGGAAGUGUUUCCAAGAUUGAUAUGAUCAAACGUCGCACGCUCCCUCUACCAUCGGGAUUGGUGUUAAACCUAAAUAAUUGUUAUUUGGUGCUUGCAUUAAGCAUGAACAUGAUUGGAUCGUGUUUAUUGCAAUACGAUUAUUCAUUUAAAGAGAAUAAUGGUUACUCUAUUUUCUUGAAUAAUCACCUUCAAUGGUUUAUUGAAUCUCGAUCGUAGUGUUACACAUGUUCAUGAUAUUGGUGCCAAAAGAUACGAGUUGAUGAUGAUAGUACCACUUACUUGUGGCACUGCCGCUUGAGUCAUGUUAGUAUAAAUUGCAUGAAGAGGCUCCAUGCUGAUGGAUCUUUGUACUCACCUGAUUUCGAAUCACUAGUGACAUGCGAAUCAUACCACAUGACCAAGGCCUUGUUUUCAUUGAGAUGAAAUAAGAUAGUAACUUGUUGGAAGUGAUACAUUUUGAUGUAUGCAGUCCAAUGGGUGCUGAGGCACGCAGUGGAUAUCAUUAUGUUCUUACUUCACUGACGAUUUGAGUAGAUACUAGAGUAUUUACUUAAUGAAUCACAAGUUUGAAAUAUUGAAAAGUUCAAUUCUGUUUCAGAGUGAAGUUCGUCGUAAUAAGAGGAUAAACUGUCUACGAUAUGAUCAUAGAAAUGAAUAUCUGAGUUACGAGUUUUGGUACGCAGUUAAGACAAUGUGGAAGUUGUUUCGCAGUUCAUGCCACCUGGAACAUCAUAGUGUGAUGAUGUGUCUGAACAUCAUAGCCACGCACUAUUUGGUAUGAUGCAUAAUAUGAUGUCUCUUAUCGAAUUACCACUAUCGUUUAUGGGUUAUGCAUUAGAGACAACCGCACUCACUUUAAAUAGGGCACCGCGUAUUUCCGUUGAGAUGACACAGUAUAGACUGAGGUUUAGAGAAAUCUAAACUGUCGUUUCUUGAAAGUUUGGGGUUUCGACACUUAUGUGAAAAAGUUUCAGUCUGAUAAGCUCGAACCCAAAGCGGAUAAAUGCAUCUUCAUAGGAUAUCCAAAACAGUUGGGUACAUCUCCUAUCUCAGAUCCGAAAGCAAAGUGUUUGUUUCUAGAAACGGAUCCUUUCUCGAGGAAAGGUUUCUCUCGAAAGAAUUGAGUGGGGGGGGGGGGGUAGUAGAACUUGAUGAGGUUAUUGAACCAUCACUUCAACCAGUGUGUAGCAGGGCGUAGGAAGUUGUUCCUGUGGCGCCUACACCAAUUGAAGUGGAAGCUGAUGAUGGUGAUCAUUGAGCUUCGAAUCAAGUUACUACAAACCUCGUAGGUCGACAAGGUCGCAUACUGCUGCAGAGUAGUACGGUAACCCUGUCUUGGAGGUCAUGUUGUUGAGCAACAGUGAACCUACGAGUUAUGGAGAAAGCGAUGGUGGGCCCAGAUUCCGACAAAUGGCUGGAAGCCAUGAAAUCCGAGAGAGGAUCCAUGUGUGAAAACAAAGUGAAGACUUUGGUAGAACUACUUGAUGGUCAUAGGACUAUUGAGUGAAAAUGGAUCUUUAAAGGAAGACAGACGAUGAUGGUGAUAAGUCACUAUUAAGAAAGGCUAGACUUGUCGCAAAGAUGUUUUCGACAAGAUCAAACAGUUGACUCUGAUGAGACUUUCUCACUCGUAGCGAUGCUAAAGGUCUGUUAGAGUUAUGUUAGUUGUUGAUGCAUUGUUUAUGAAAUAUUGCACGUAGGAUAUCAAAACAUUGUUUUCUCGACGGUUUCCUUGAGCAAACAUUGUAUGUGAUACAACCAGAAGGUUUUGUCGAUCCUAAAGAUACUAGCAAGUAUGCGAGCUCCAGCGAUCCUUCAAUGGACCGGUGCAAGCAUCUCGGAGUUGGAAUGUAUAUACUUUGAUGAGAUGAUCAAAGAUUUUGGGUUUGUACAAGGUUUAUGAGAAACUUGUAUUUCUAAAGAAGUGAGUGGGAGCACUAUAGAAUUUCUGAUAAGUAUAUGUGGUUGACAUAUUGUGGAUGAGAAGUAAUGUAGAAUUUCUGUAAAGCAUACAAGGUUGUUUGAAAGGAGUUUUUCAAAGGAAAUACCUAGAUUGCGCUACUUGAACGUUGAGCAUCAAAGAUCUAUGGAGAUAGAUUGAAAGCGCUUAAUAGAAGUUUCAACAAGAUGCAUGCCUUGACAAGUUUUUGAAGGAGUUCAAAAUAGAUCAACAAAGAAGGAGUUCUUGGUUGCGUUGUAAGGUGUGAAUUUGAGUAAGACUCAAAACCCGACCACGGCAGAAUAAAGAGAAUAGACGAAGGUCGUAUUCUAUGCCUUAGCCGUAGAAUCUAAAGUAUGCCAUGCUGUGUACCGCACCUGAUGUGUGCCUUGACUCAAAGUCUGUUGAGAGGUACAGAGAGUGAUCCAUGAUUGAAUCACUAGCAGCGGUCAAAAUUUAUCCUUAGUAACAAAUGGACUGAGGAAUUUUUCUCGAUUAUGGAGGUGGUUAAAGAGUUCGUCGUAAAGGGUUACGUUGAUGCAAGCUUUGACACUAAUCCGAAUAACUAUGGGUAGUGAAACGGAUUCAUACAGUAGAGUAGAUGUUUGGAGCAUUUCCGAAUAGCACGUAGUAGCAGCAUCUAUAAGAUGACAUAAAGAUUUGUAAAGAACGCACGGAUCUGAAAGUUUCAGAACCGUUGACUAAAAACCUCUCUCACGAGCAAGACGUGAUCAGACCCCAUAACUAUACGGGUGUUGGAUUCGUUGGAAUAACAUGGUGAUGUGAACUAGAUUAUUGACUCUAGUGCAAGUGGGAGACUGUUGGAAAUAUGCCCUAGAGGCAAUAAUAAAUUAGUUAUUAUUAUAUUUCUUAGUUCAUGAUAAUCGUUUAUUAUCCAUGCUAUAAUUGUAUUGAUUGGAAACACAAUACUUGUGUGGAUACAUAGACAAAACACUGUCCCUAGUAAGCCUCUAGUUGACUAGCUCGUUGAUCAAAGAUGGUCAAGGUUUCCUGGCCAUAGGCAAGUGUUGUCACUUGAUAACGGGAUCACAUCAUUAGGAGAAUCAUGUGAUGGACUAGACCCAAACUAAUAGACGUAGCAUGUUGAUUGUGUCAUUUUGUUGCUACUGUUUUCUGCGUGUCAAGUAUUUAUUCCUAUGACCAUGAGAUCAUAUAACUCACUAACACCGGAGGAAUUCUUUGUGUGUAUCAAACGUCGCAACGUAACUGGGUGACUAUAAAGAUGCUCUACAGGUAUCUCCGAAGGUGUUAGUUGAUUUAGUAUGGAUCAAGACUGGGAUUUGUCACUCCGUGUGACGGAGAGGUAUCUCGGGGCCCACUCGGUAAUACAACAUCACACACAAGCCUUGCAAGCAAUGUAACUUAGUGUAAGUUGCGGGAUCUUGUAUUACGGAACGAGUAAAGAGACUUGCCGGUAAACGAGAUUGAAAUAGGUAUGCGGAUACUGACGAUCGAAUCUCGGGCAAGUAACAUACCGAAGGACAAAGGGAAUGACAUACGGGAUUAUACGAAUCCUUGGCACUGAGGUUCAAACGAUAAGAUCUUCGUAGAAUAUGUAGGAUCCAAUAUGGGCAUCCAGGUCCCGCUAUUGGAUAUUGACCGAGGAGUCUCUCGGGUCAUGUCUACAUAGUUCUCGAACCCGCAGGGUCUGCACACUUAAGGUUCGACGUUGUUUUAUGCGUAUUUGAGUUAUAUGGUUGGUUACCGAAUGUUGUUCGGAGUCCCGGAUGAGAUCACCGACGUCACGAGGGUUUCCGGAAUGGUCCGGAAACGAAGAUUGAUAUAUAGGAUGACCUCAUUUGAUUACCGGAAGGUUUUCGGAGUUACCGGGAAUGUACCGGGAAUGACGAAUGGGUUCCGGGAGUUCACCGGAAGGGGGCAACCCACUCCGGGGAAGCCCAUAGGCAUUUGGGGGGUCACACCAGCCCUUAGUGGGCUGGUGGGACAGCCCACCAAUCCCCUAUGCGCCAAGAAAGAAAAAAUCAAAGGAGAGAAAAAAAAAGGAAGAAGUGGGAAGGGGGAAGGACUCCCUCCCACCAAACCAAGUAGGACUCGGUUUGGGGGGGAGAGUCCUCCCCCCUGGCUCGGCCGACCCCUUGGGGAUCCCUUGGACCCCAAGGCAAGGUCCCCCUCCCUCCUCCUAUAUAUAUGGGGCUUUUAGGGCAGAUUUGAGACGACUUUCUCACGGCUGCCCGACCACAUACCUCCAUAGUUUUUCCUCUAGAUCGUGUUUCUGCGGAGCUCGGGCGGAGCCCUGCUGAGACAAGAUCAUCACCAACCUCCGGAGCGCCGUCACGCUGCCGGAGAACUCUUCUACCUCUCCGUCUCUCUUGCUGGAUCAAGAAGGCCGAGAUCAUCGUCGAGCUGUACGUGUGCUGAACGCGGAGGUGCCGUCCGUUCGGCACUAGAUCGUGGGACUGAUCGCGGGAUUGUUCGCGGGGCGGAUCGAGGGACGUGAGGACGUUCCACUACAUCAACCGCGUUCUCUAACGCUUCUGCUGUACGAUCUACAAGGGUACGUAGAUCACUCAUCCCCUCUCGUAGAUGGACAUCACCAUGAUAGGUCUUCGUGCGCGUAGGAAAAUUUUUGUUUCCCAUGCGACGUUCCCCAACACCUUGGUCACCACGUAAAACAUGCAACAACAAAUUAGAGGACGUCUAACUUGUUUUUGCAGGGUAUGAUUGUGAUGUGAUAGUAAUAGCAUAAGUAGCACGACAACCCCGAUGGCAACACGUUGAUGGAUGAUCAUGGUGUGGCGCCGGUGACAAGAAGAUCGUGCCGGUGCUUUGGUGAUGGAGAUCAAGAAGCACGUGAUGAUGGCCAUAUCAUGUCACUUAUGAAUUGCAUGUGAUGUUAAUCCUUUUAUGCACCUUAUUUUGCUUAGAACGACGGUAGCAUUAUGAGGUCAUCUCUCACUAAAAUUUCAAGACGAAAUUGUGUUCUCCCCGACUAUGCACCGUUGCUACAAUUCAUCGUUUCGAGACACCACGUGAUGAUCGGGUGUGAUAGACUCAACGUUCACAUACAACGGGUGCAAAACAGUUGCGCACGCGGAACACUCGGGUUAAGCUUGACGAGCCUAGCAUGUGCAGACAUGGCCUCGGAACACAUGAGACCGAAAGGUCGAUCAUGAAUCAUAUAGAUGAUAUGAUUAGCAUAGGGAUGCUUACCACUGAAACAACUCCCGACUCACGUGAUGAUCGGACUUGGGAUAGUGUAGGUGGAUCAUGAACCACUCAAAUGACUAGAGAGAUGUACUUUUUGAGUGGGAGUUUAGCAUAUAAUUUGAUUAAGUUGAACUCUAAUUAUCUUGAACAUAGUCUAAGUCCACUUUGAAUAUAUUUGUGUUGUAGAUCAUGGCUCACGCAAGUGUCAUCCUGAAUUUUAAUACGUUCCUAGAGAAAGCUAAGUUGAAAGAUGAUGGAAGCAACUUUGUAGACUGGGCUCGUAAUCUUAAGCUAAUCUUACAAGCUGGGAAGAAGGAUUAUGUCCUUAAUGCUGCGCUAGGAGAUGAACCGCCCGCUACGGCUGAUCAGGAUGUUAAGAACGCUUGGUUAGCGCGUAAGGAGGACUACUCAAUAGUUCAAUGUGCAGUCUUGUAUGGCUUAGAACCGGGACUUCAACGUCGCUUUGAGCGUCAUGGAGCAUUUGAGAUGUUCCAGGAGUUGAAGUUUAUCUUUCAGAAGAACGCCCGGAUCGAGAGGUAUGAGACCUCCGAUAAAUUCUAUGCUUGCAAGAUGGAGGAAAACUCGACUGUCAGUGAACAUGUGCUCAAAAUGUCUGGGUACUCAAACCGUCUAGCUGAACUGGGGAUUGAACUCCCGCAAGAAGCUAUCACUGACAGAAUCCUUCAAUCACUGCCGCCAAGCUAUAAAGGCUUUGUGUUGAACUACAACAUGCAAGGGAUGAACAAGUCUCCCGGCGAGUUGUUUGCGAUGCUGAAAGUCACAGAGUCGGAACUCCGUAAAGAGCAUCAAGUGUUGAUGGUGAGCAAGACCACUAGUUUCAAGAGAAACGGCAAGGGCAAGAAGGGCAAUUCGAAGAAGAGCGGCAAGCCUGUUGCCAAUCCGCCGAAGAAACCCAAGGCUGGACCUAAGCCUGAAACGGAGUGCUUCUAUUGCAAGGGUAUGGGUCACUGGAAGCGCAAUUGCCCCAAGUAUCUGGCAGAUAAGAAGGCGGGCAAAGAAAAAUCAGGUAUAUUUGAUAUACAUGUUAUUGAUAUGUACUUAACCGGCCCUCGUAGUAGUGCCUGGGUAUUCGAUACCGGUUCUGUUGCUCACAUUUGCAACUCGAAACAGGAACUACGGAAUAGACGAAGGCUGGCGAAAGACGAAGUGACGAUGCGCGUAGGAAACGGUUCCAAGGUUGAUGCAAUCGCCCUCGGCACCGUGUCACUUCAACUACCAUCGGGAUUAGUGAUGAACUUAAAUCAUUGUUAUUUAGUGCCUGCGUUGAGCAUGAACAUUAUAUCUGGAUCUUGUUUAUUGCGAGACGGUUACUCUUUUAAGUCUGAGAAUAAUGGUUGUUCUAUUUCUAUGAGUAACAUCUUUUAUGGUCAUGCACCGAAUGUGAGAGGAUUGUUCAUAUUGAAUCUUGAUAGCGAUACGCAUAUACAUAACAUUGAGACCAAAAGAGUUAGAGUAAACAAUGAUAGCACCAUAUUUUUAUGGCACUGCCGUUUGGGUCAUAUUGGUGUAAAGCGCAUGAAGAAACUCCAUGCUGAUGGACUUUUGGAGUCACUUGACUUUGAUUCACUUGACACGUGCGAACCAUGCCUCAUGGGCAAGAUGACUAAGACUCCGUUCUCCGGAACAAUGGAGCGUGCAAGUGACUUGUUGGGAAUCAUACAUACCGAUGUGUGUGGUCCAAUGAGCGUGGAGGCACGCGGCGGAUAUCGUUAUUUCCUCACCUUCACUGACGAUUUAAGUUGAUAUGGUUAUGUCUACUUAAUGAAGAACAAGUCUGAAACAUUUGAAAAGUUCAAGCAAUUUCAGAGUGAAGUAGAAAAUCAUCGUAACAAGAAGAUCAAGUUUCUACGGUCUGAUCGUGGGGGUGAAUAUCUGAGUUUCGAGUUUGGUACUCACUUAAGACAAUGUGGAAUUGUUUCGCAGUUAACACCGCCUGGAACACCACAGCGUAAUGGUGUGUCCGAACGUCGUAACCGUACUUUGUUAGAGAUGGUGCGAUCUAUGAUGUCUCUUACUGAUUUGCCGUUAUCAUUUUGGGGUUAUGCAUUAGAAACAGCUGCAUUCACUUUAAAUAGGGCACCAUCAAAAUCCGUUGAGACGACACCAUACGAACUGUGGUAUGGCAAAAGACCAAAGUUGUCGUUUCUUAAAGUUUGGGGAUGUGAUGCUUAUGUCAAAAAGCUUCAGCCUGAAAAGCUGGAACCCAAAGCGGAGAAGUGCGUCUUCAUAGGUUACCCAAAGGAGACAGUUGGGUACACCUUCUAUCUCAAAUCCGAGGGCAAAGUGUUUGUUGCUAAAAACGGAACUUUUCUCGAGAAGGAGUUUCUCUCGAGAGAAUUGAGUGGGAGGAAGAUAGAACUUGACGAGGUUGUCGAACCUCUCAUCCCUCUGGAUGGUGGCGCAGGGCAAGGGGAAACCUCUAUCGUUGCAACACCGGUUGAGGAGGAAGUUAAUGAUGAUAAUCAUGAAACUCCAGUUCAAGUUUCUGUUGAACCACGCAGGUCGACGAGAUCACGCGCUGCUCCAGAGUGGUACGGUAAUCCCGUCUUGUCAAUCAUGUUGUUAGACAACAAUGAACCUGCGAGUUAUGAAGAAGCAGUGGUGGGCCCAGAUUCCAACAAAUGGCUAGAAGCCAUGAAAUCCGAGAUAGGAUCCAUGUAUGAGAACAAAGUGUGGACUUUGGAGAUACUACCUGAAGGCCGCAAGGCUAUUCAGAACAAAUGGAUCUUUAAGAAGAAGACGGACGCUGACGGUAAUGUGACCGUUUAUAAAGCUCGACUUGUGGCAAAGGGUUUUUCACAAGUUCCAGGAGUUGACUACGAUGAGACCUUCUCACCCGUAGCGAUGCUUAAGUCCGUCAGAAUCAUGUUAGCAAUAGCUGCGUUUUUCGAUUAUGAAAUCUGGCAGAUGGAUGUCAAAACGGCGUUCCUUAACGGUUUCCUUAAGGAAGAGUUGUAUAUGAUGCAACCCGAAGGUUUUGUCGAUCCUAAAAAUGCUGACAAGGUGUGCAAGCUCCAGCGAUCCAUUUAUGGACUGGUGCAAGCGUCUCGGAGUUGGAACAAACGCUUUGAUGAGGUGAUCAAAGCAUUUGGGUUUAUACAAGUGGUUGGAGAAUCUUGUAUUUACAAGAAAGUGAGUGGGAGCUCUGUGGCGUUUCUAAUAUUAUAUGUGGAUGACAUAUUACUGAUUGGAAACAACGUAGAGCUUUUGGAGAGCAUAAAAGGUUACUUGAAUAAAAGUUUCUCUAUGAAGGACCUAGGAGAAGCUGCUUACAUUCUAGGCAUUAAGAUCUAUAGGGAUAGAUCAAAACGCCUGAUAGGACUUUCACAAAGCACAUACCUUGAUAAAGUUUUGAAGAGGUUCAAAAUGGAACAGUCGAAGAAAGGGUUCUUGCCAGUGUUACAAGGUACGAGAUUGAGUAAGACUCAGUGCCCAGCAACUGAUGAAGAUAGAGAGCAUAUGCGCUCCGUCCCCUAUGCUUCAGCCAUAGGCUCUAUCAUGUAUGCAAUGCUGUGCACUAGACCGGAUGUUAGCCUGGCCAUAAGUAUGGCAGGUAGGUUCCAGAGUAAUCCAGGAGUGGAUCACUGGACGACGGUCAAGAAUAUCCUGAAGUACCUGAAAAGGACUAAGGAGAUGUUUCUCGUGUAUGGAGGUGACGAAGAGCUCGCCGUAAAAGGUUACGUCGAUGCAAGCUUUGACACAGAUCCGGACGACUCUAAGUCGCAAACCGGAUACGUAUUUAUUCUUAAUGGGGGUGCAGUAAGCUGGUGCAGUUCCAAGCAAAGCGUCGUAGCAGAUUCUACAUGUGAAGCAGAGUACAUGGCUGCCUCGGAGGCGGCUAAGGAGGGUGUCUGGAUGAAGCAGUUCAUGACGGAUCUUGGAGUAGUGCCAAGUGCACUGGAUCCAAUAACCUUGUUCUGUGACAACACUGGUGCCAUUGCCUUAGCAAAGGAACCAAGGUUUCACAAGAAGACCAGACACAUCAAACGAUGCUUCAACCUCAUCCGCGACUACGUCGAGGAGGAGGACGUAAAUAUAUGCAAAGUGCACAUGGAUCUGAAUGUAGCACACCCGCUGACUAAACCUCUUCCACGGCCAAAACAUGAUCGACACCAGAACUGUAUGGGUGUUAGAUUUAUUACAAUGAAAUUCACAUGGUGAUGUGAGGGCUAGAUUAUUGACUCUAGUGCAAGUGGGAGACUGUUGGAAUUAUGCCCUAGAGGCAAUAAUAAAUGUAUAGUUAUUAUUAUAAUUCCUGUAUCAAGAUAAUAGUUUAUUAUCCAUGCUAUAAUUGUAUUGAAUGAAGACUCAUUUACAUGUGUGGAUACAUAGACAAAACACCGUCCCUAGCAUGCCUCUAGUUGGCUAGCCAGUUGAUCGAUGAUAGUCAGUGUCUUCUGAUUAUGAACAAGGUGUUGUUGCUUGAUAACUGGAUCACGUCAUUAGGAGAAUCACGUGAUGGACUAGACCCAAACUAAUAGACGUAGCAUGUUGAUCGUGUCAUUUUGUUGCUACUGUUUUCUGCGUGUCAAGUAUUUAUUCCUAUGACCAUGAGAUCAUAUAACUCACUGACACUGGAGGAAUGCUUUGUGUGUAUCAAACGUCGCAACGUAACUGGGUGACUAUAAAGAUGCUCUACAGGUAUCUCCGAAGGUGUUAGUUGAUUUAGUAUGGAUCAAGACUGGGAUUUGUCACUCCGUGUGACGGAGAGGUAUCUCGGGGCCCACUCGGUAAUACAACAUCACACACAAGCCUUGCAAGCAAUGUAACUUAGUGUAAGUUGCGGGAUCUUGUAUUACGGAACGAGUAAAGAGACUUGCCGGUAAACGAGAUUGAAAUAGGUAUGCGGAUACUGACGAUCGAAUCUCGGGCAAGUAACAUACCGAAGGACAAAGGGAAUGACAUACGGGAUUAUACGAAUCCUUGGCACUGAGGUUCAAACGAUAAGAUCUUCGUAGAAUAUGUAGGAUCCAAUAUGGGCAUCCAGGUCCCGCUAUUGGAUAUUGACCGAGGAGUCUCUCGGGUCAUGUCUACAUAGUUCUCGAACCCGCAGGGUCUGCACACUUAAGGUUCGACGUUGUUUUAUGCGUAUUUGAGUUAUAUGGUUGGUUACCGAAUGUUGUUCGGAGUCCCGGAUGAGAUCACCGACGUCACGAGGGUUUCCGGAAUGGUCCGGAAACGAAGAUUGAUAUAUAGGAUGACCUCAUUUGAUUACCGGAAGGUUUUCGGAGUUACCGGGAAUGUACCGGGAAUGACGAAUGGGUUCCGGGAGUUCACCGGAGGGGGGCAACCCACUCCGGGGAAGACCAUAGGCAUUUGGGGGGGUCACACCAGCCCUUAGUGGGCUGGUGGGACAGCCCACCAAUCCCCUAUGCGCCAAGAGAGAAAAAUCAAAGGAAAGAAAAAAAAAAGAGGAAGAAGUGGGAAGGGGGAAGGACUCCCUCCCACCAAACCAAGUAGGACUCGGUUUGGGGGGGGGGGGAGAGUCCUCCCCCCUGGCUCGGCCGACCCCUUGGGGAUCCCUUGGACCCCAAGGCAAGGUCCCCCUCCCUCCUCCUAUAUAUAUGGGGCUUUUAGGGCAGAUUUGAGACGACUUUCUCAAGGCUGCCCGACCACAUACCUCCAUAGUUUUUCCUCUAGAUCGCGUUUCUGCGGAGCUCGGGCGGAGCCCUGCUGAGACGAGAUCAUCACCAACCUCCGGAGCGCCGUCACGCUGCCGGAGAACUCUUCUACCUCUCCAUCUCUCUUGGUGGAUUAAGAAGGCCGAGAUCAUCGUCGAGCUGUACGUGUGCUGAACGCGGAGGUGCCGUCCGUUCGGUACUAGAUCGUGGGACUGAUCGCGGGAUUGUUCGCGGGGCGGAUCGAGGGACGUGAGGACGUUCCACUACAUCAACCGCGUUCUCUAACGCUUCUGCUGUACGAUCUACAAGGGUACGUAGAUCACUCAUCCCCUCUCGUAGAUGGACAUCACCAUGAUAGGUCUUCGUGCGCGUAGGAAAAAUUUUGUUUCCCAUGCGACGUUCCCCAACACUCCAUUCAUCUAACGAGCUGAUAUCAAGCAACCGCUUCUCACUGGCAAGUUUGAAAUCAAAGUUGAUCUCUUUGAUUGCCCAAUAAGCUUUGUGUUUCAGCUCAAGAGGUAAAUGACAGGCCUUACCGUAAACCAUUUUAUACAGUGACAUGCCCAUAAUAUUCUUAUAAGUAGUCCUAUAAGCCCAUAGUGCAUCGUCAAGUUUGCUAGACUAGUUCUUUCGAGAUCUAUUGACGGUCUUUUGUAGGAUCAACUUGAUCUCCCUAUUACUCAACUCCACUUGACCACUAGACUGAGGAUGAUAAGGAGAUGCAACUCUAUGGUUGACAUCAUACUUAGCUAGCAUCUUGCGGAAAACACCAUGAAUGAAGUGUGAACCGCCAUCAGUCAUCAGAUAUCUAGGGACUCCAAAUCUUGGGAAUAUGACUUCUUUAAGCAUCUUAAUAGAGGUGUGGUGAUCAGUAUUUUUAGUGGGGAUAGCUUCUACCCACUUAGUGACGUAAUCCACAACAACUAAGAUGUGAGUGUACCCAUUGGAACUCAGGAAGGGUCCCAUAUAAUCAAAGCCCCAGGCAUCAAAUGGUUCAAUGACAAGUGAAUAGUUCAUAGGUAUUUCCUCAUGCUUACUGAUAUUCCCUAUCCUUUGGCAUUCGUCACAAGACAAGACAAACUUACGAGCAUGCUUGAAGAGAGUGGGCCAAUAGAAACCUGAUUGCAAUACCUUAUGGCCAGUUCUAUCUCCAGCAUGGUGUCCUUCGUAGGCUUCGGAAUGACACUUCUGCAAGAUCUGUCCCUGUUCAUGUUCAGGCACACAACGUCUAAUAACACCAUCUACUCCUUCCUUAUAAAGGUGAGGAUCAUCCCAAAAGUAGUGUCUCAAAUCAAAGAAGAAUAUCUUCUUUUGCUGAUAGGUGAAACUGGGUGGUAUGUAUUUGGCUACGAUAUAAUUUGCAUAAUCGGCAUACCACGAUGCACUAUGUGAAGUGUGGAUGACAUUUAAUUGCUCAUCAGGAAAGCUGUCGUCAAUAGGUAGUGGGUCAUCAAGGACAUUCUCUAGCCUAGGCAAGUUAUCUGCUAUAGGGUUAUCAGCACCCUUUCGGUCAACGACGUGCAAAUCAAAUUCCUGUAGCAGGAGAACCCAUCUGGUCAGCCUAGGUUUAGCGUCCUUCUUCUCCAUGAGGUACUUAAUAGAAGCAUGAUGAGAGUGAAUAGUGACGUUGGAGUCAACUAUGUAAGAUCUGAACUUUUCACAUGCAAACACGACUACUAAAAAUUCCUUCUCCGUAGUGGCAUAGUUUCUUUGGGCACUGUCUAGAGUUUUACUAGCGUAGUGAAUAACAUUCAACUUCUUGUCAACUCUUUGUCCUAGACCAGCACCAACAGCAUAAUCACUAGCGUCGCACAUGAUUUCAAAGGGCAAGUUCCAGUCAGGUGGUUGAACAAUAGGUGCGGUUAUCAAAGCCUUCUUAAGUAUUUCGAAAGCUUCCUCACAAUCCUCAUCAAAAACAAAAGGAACAUCCUUCUGCAAGAGGUUGGUAAGAGGCCUAGAAAUCUUAGAGAAGUCUUUAAUGAACCUUUUAUAGAAACCAACAUGACCUAGGAAACUUCGUAUACCUCUGAUAUCUGUGGGGCAAGGCAUUUUCUCAAUUGCAUCAACCUUAGCCUUAUCAACUUCAAUGCCUCUUUCAGAGAUUUUGUGUCCUAAGACGAUACCUUCAUUAACCAAAAAGUGGCACUUCUCCCAAUUCAAGACGAGGUUGGUUUCUUCGCAUCUCUGUAAGACUCGAUCAAGGUUGCUGAGGCAAUCAUCAAAGGAAGGCCCGUAAACGGAGAAGUCAUCCAUGAAAACCUCAACGAUCUUUUCACGAAAGUCAGAGAAUAUAGCCAUCAUACAUCUUUGGAAGGUGGCAUGUGCAUUACAUAAGCCAAAAGGCAUACGUCUAUAGGCAAAGGUACUGAAAGGGCAGGUGAAAGUGGUUUUCUCUUGAUCAGAUUGUGCAACAGGUAUCUGCGAGAAACCUGAAUAACCGUCUAGAAAGCAGAAGUGAGUGUGCUUUGAUAGCAUUUCUAGCAUUUGGUCGAUGAACGGCAAAGGAUAAUGAUCUUUCCUGGUUGCCUUGUUCAGUUUCCGGAAGUUUAUCACCAUUCUAUAGCCGGUAAUAAUCCUUUCUGGGAUUAGUUCAUCCUUAUCAUUAGGAACGACGGUGAUACCUCCCUUCUUAGGUACGCAAUGUACUGGACUUACCCAAUCACUAUGAGCAACAGGAUAAAUGAUUCCUGCUUCCAGAAGUUUUAAUAUUUCUUUUCUAACGACCUCUUUCAUCUUAGGAUUUAAUCUCCUUUGAUUAUCAGCAACUGGUUUAAAGUCAGGAUCGGUUUUAAUCUUGUGCUGACAUAGGGUAGGACUAAUACCCUUAAGAUCAUCAAGAGUAUAUCCAAUAGCAGCGCGGUGCUUCCUCAGAGUUGUUAGUAACUUCUUCUCUUCGCGCUCUGAGAGGAGGGCACUAAUAAUGACAGGAUAUAUCUCCUUCUCAUCAAGAUAGGCAUACUUAAGAGUAUCCGUCAACUGUUUAAGCUCGAACACAAGAUCACCCUUUGGUGGGGGAGGAUCCCCAAGCAGUUCAACAGGCAGAUUAUUCUUGAGAAUAGGAUAUUGUUCUAAGAUAAUUUUAGCUAUCUCAUCUCUCUCCUCCAUAUGCACAUCAUUUUCAUGCUCAAGUAGAUAUUGCUCUAAAGGAUCCGUAGGAGGUACGGCAAUAGAGGCAAGAGCAAUGAUUUGAUCCCUACCAGACGACUCUCUUUCAUGGGUUUGUCUUUCAAAUUGGAGAAGUUAAAUUCGUGAGACACACCCUCAAAACUUACUGUGACAGUCUGCUUAAUGCAAUCAAUGUGAGCGUUGACAGUGUUGAGAAAGGGUCUACCAAAUAUGAUGGGACAAAAGCUAUCUUGUGCAGUACCAAGGACGAGGAAAUCAGUAGGAUACUUCGUCUUACCACACAGGACUUCUACGUCUCUCACAAUUCCCAAAGGGCAGAUAGUGUCUCUAUUAGCUAGCGUAAUAGUGACAUCAAUGGGUUCUAACUCAUCAGGUGCAAUCUCAUCUUUCAUUUCAUCAUAUAGAGAACGGGGUAUUGCACUAAAACUAGCUCCCAUAUCACAUAAACCAUGGUAACAGUGAUCUCCUAUCUUAACAGAAACAACGGGCAGGCCAACUACAGGUCUGGCGCGCCCAAGAUGCGACCCUAUCCUCAAUUUGGCACGAAGGCCUCGUCAGGGAUAGAAGCGCAUCUCGUCGUGUCGCAAGAAUGGAUAUCGUCACAAGUACAUGUACUGAAAAGAAGAGUUAUAUAUACAGAGUUGGCUUACACUCGCCACAAGCUACAUCAGAGUCACAUCAGUACAUUACAUAAUCAUCAAGAGUAAGAGCAGGGCCCGACUAUGGACGAAAACAAACGAGAAAAAUAAGAACGACGUCCAUCCUUUCUAUCCCAGGCUGCCGGCCUGGAACCCACCCUAGAUCGAUGAAGAAGAAGAAGAAGAAGCAACUCCAAAUGAACAAUCAACGCGCUCACGUCAAGUAACCUUUACCUGUACCUGCAACUGGUGUUGUAGUAACCUGUGAGCCACAGGGGACUCAGCAAUCUCAUUUCCAGAGGUAUCAAGACUAGCAAAGCUUAAUGGGUGAGGUAUGGUUAAGUGGUGAGGUUGCAGCAGCGACUAAGCAUAUAUUUGGUGGCUAACUUACGAGUACCAGAAAUAAGAGGGGGAAGAUCUACGCAUAACGGACGUGAACUACUGAUGAUCAAAUGAAUGAUCCUGAACACCUACCUACGUCAGACAUAACCCCACCGUGUCCUCGAUCGGAGAAGGAACUCACGAAAGAGACGAUCACGGUUACGCACACAGUUGGCAUAUUUUUAAUUAAUUAACUUCAAGUUAUCUAGAACCAGUGUUAAACAAGGUUUCCAUGUUGCCACAUAACCGCGGCCACGGCUUUCCGAAAGGUUUAACCCUGCAGGGGUGCUCCAACUAGUCCAUCACAAAUUACCACAAGCCGCAUAGAAAUCCUCAAUCACGAAGCUCGCGAUCUCGUCGGAUUCCCUAGUGGAAAACCUCAACUCUGAGAUUACCCAAAGCAUCACCGGAAUCCCGAUGCACAAGAUAUCUCGUCAAAGGUAAAACUAAUCCAGCAAGGCCACCCGACGUGUCGACGAUCCCGAUAGGAGUCGCGUACCUCGUUCUCAGGACACGACGGAUGAGCAAUGGUUACCACACCAAACGCCGAGUUGCCCCGGGUAGCGUUAAUAAGCUGCUCUGUUUUGGACCAACACACAUGAGGAGCACUGGCCCAGGGGUUGAUUAAAAUAGUCCGCGGGUGCCGGCGGGUCCCUAUGCAAUUUUAUUAGGUGAUUAGGAAAAUGUAGUACCAAUGUUGGGCCUUGCCAGACCAGCUUUAAUCUAAAACGAAUUAUCAAGGGGGUCCCCAUAACAACCCCGAUCGUGUUAGGAGCGCUCAUUUAUGGAACAUAACACCGGUAGCCGGAAACUAAGGGGGCAAAGGUGGAACAAAACACCAGGCUAGAAAGGCCGAGCCUUCCACCUUUUACCAAGUAUAUAGGUGCAAUAAAUUAAAUAGCAUUUAAAUAUGGUGGUAUAACAAGGAACCCAUGUUUUCACAUGGAAGAAACUACAGCUGCAACUAGCAACGCUAACACAGGGUCAAGCAAGCAGUAACAUAGCCAAUCAUUGGUUUGCUAGGUUGAACAGGUUGAAGAUUAAGAUGGCAUUGUUGAGAGGCUGAUAUUUAACAAGUGGUAGGCAACGAGACAUAAUCGAUAGCAUCGAAAUAACUAGCAUGGCAAUGAUACUAAUGGUAUCUGGGGACAUGAUCAUCUUGCCUGAGAUCCCGCUUGGAAGAAGAAUGCCUCCGUGAAGCAGACGAACCGAUGUAGUCGAACGGGUCCUCACAAUCCGGCACGCUGCGGAACUCUAGCGAGACGAAGCCAACCGGAAACACAAAUCAACACACGAAAUUCACCACACGAUGCACAACACAUAUGAUGCAUGAGCAGCUGAAUAUAUGCAAGUCACGGCAUGAAAAUUCACACAAUCAAACACUACACAUUAAGUGAAGUUCAAUAUGCAACGAGUUACAAAUUGACGAAACUCCACGUUAAUUUAUUUAGUUCUAUCCCAAUUAAAUACACGGCAAUAUUAAAUGUGGUUAAACAUGGCAAGAGGUGAAGCGUGAUUAAUCUACCUAUCUAGGCAUUUUAAAUGAGGUCGGAUAUGACAUAUAGCAUCUCCGAGAUGACCUCACUUGUUAAUUUACGAUUCUGUCCAGAUCUGAACUAAUGCAUUUAAUUGGUUGUUAAACAGCAAAACAAAUAGGUUCACAUGAUUCUACGCGUCAUGGCAAGCAAUCUACACAUAAAGAACAUCUCCAACGGAGCUACGGGUCAAAAGUUACAAGCAUCGCAAGAUAUGAUGGCAUGAAUGCAAUAUGUGUGCAACGACGGCUACGAGCACUUCAAAACAUACAAACAGCAAGAGAAAAUGAAACUACACAAGAUCCUAAGCAAGUUUCAUGUAGGACACGAUCAAAUCAGAGCUACGGUUCAACAACUACGAGCAAAACAAGAAAUCUUCACAAUCUGCCAAAAUCAGCCACAUGGCAUUUUAUACGCCUCACAACUUCGGCUACACAACUCCGAUAAGCUCAAGCAAGGCAUGGCAUGGAAGAGGACAAGAAUCACUACUACGAACAACUAACAACAACUAGCAUGGCAGCAAGGAGCACUAGGAAAAGAAGACACAAAAUGGCAUCUCACACACUAUUUCAGACUUAGUGAAAAUUACACCUCAUGAAAGUGCAGUUUUCGAUCUGAAGCAAUGUUGACAGCAGCAAAACCUAUAGCUACAGGAGUCCAAAUGGCAUGAAAAUUAACAGCAUGCUAGAGAAUCACAAGGGGUAGAACUAACUCCAUUGGACCAACCUCAAAAGAGCUACAGAUCACAAGAUGCAAGCAAGACAAGAUAGCAACAAAAUAUAACAGAUUCCAGACUUAGAAAUAUUUCAGCACGUCUAAAACAGCACUAUUUCUAGCAACUUGAGGGCUAUCGAAACACACCUAAACAUGCAUUUCUAUUGCAACCAAAAAUACCAGGGGCUAAUCAAAACAUCCAAGAUCAACUCUCUAGUUGACAACUCCGUCAAACGACGUACGGAAUAAAUCCUACGAAUUAAUCAAAAGGGCAACAUAGCAAAAUAUCUUGCGAACUAACUUGCUCUAAUGCUAAAAAUAAUUGCACAGAAAAAUCCAUGGGAUUUUGCUACCCCGAAAACAUAUAAAAUAUGUGGGGUUUGCAACACAAAAUAAUGCCACACAUUAAUGCGAGAAAAUAACCUAUAUACGGGAAAAUAAACUACCGGCAAUCCAUACACGCAAAAAUACAAAUGACAGGUCUAAAAAACAUGAUAAAAUGGUCCCUAAAAAAUAGACAUUUUAUCUACGUCAUACGGGCAACCCGGUCUUGCACGAAAAAUAAAUACAGGUCGAAACCUAUUAGGACAGCACACUUAUCUAGGCAAACAGCAUGCUAAACAACGUCAAACAAAUGUGCAAGUUUUAAAUUCGGAUUCUACGCGAAAAGUUACACGAGAUACAUAUCUAAAUCUUCGCGAUCCGACUUACGGAUAAUAUUCUGCGGGCAUUCUAAUAUAGUCUGAUUACUGGAAUUAAUUAAAUUCCUAAAAUUCCUAAAUGGGCCGAACAGGUGGGCGCGAGGUAACAGGUCAGUGCAUGGGCGUAGAAUAGUGGCUUGGGGGGUGCUCACCUCGGGCCUUGGCCCGGCUGGAGGAGCAGGCCGAGGGGCGCGCUGGGCCUGGCUCGGGCGCUGGCCAGGCGCUAGCUGGGCCGCGACGCUCCUGGGCCUGGGGCGACGCAGCUGGACGAAGGGGGCCUGGGGCGCGGGGAAGAGUGGCUGGGCCUCGGGGGCGCUCUGGGCCGAUGCGGGGCCCACGGGGCGGCGCUCUGGGUCUCCUCGUCGCCCUCCUCUGGCCUACCGCACGAGGCAUGGCGGCGCCGACCUGGAACCGCCGGAGGGCGCUGACCACAGGGCGGAGACGGUCGGGACGGGGCCGGGGUCGGCCGGAUCUGGCCGGCCUUCGCCAGAUCUGGCCGCCGGCGGGGGCGAGGCAGCAAGGGCGGCGGUGCUGGCGGGUCAAGGCAGCAAGGGCUCGGCCGACAGGGAGAGCGCGGCGCUCCGGCGGCUGCCGAUGGCCGGCGGGAGGCGGCGGGACCGAGUGUAGCAGGAGCUGCGAGGCUCCCCGGCGAGGGGCUGGCCGGCGGCGCAGGAGGCUCCGGUCAAGGAGGUGCGGCGGCUCCCGGGAGGAGGAGGCACGGGCAGGGAGGUCGAACGGGGCGGCGGCGUGAUGCGGGCUCGGGUGGGCUCCAGAUGGGCCUGGCAUGCCCACGGCGGCUGGGGCUGGGGAGAGAGAGGAGAGGUUGUGGCGGCUAGGGUUAGGUUUAGGUGGGGCGCGGAAAACAAGGCAGGUUAGGGAUGGGUGUCCGAAAAUUAGAAGGGGUCUAUAUAUAGACAAACGGGGGGGCUCGGUUAACCGGAAUCGCGCUCCGGAUCCAACCGCGGGGUCGGAUUCGGACGAUUCCGCACGAGGGAAUGGGUACGCGGCCGUGUAGAGGGGAUAUCCGGAGAUGAGAGGGAGAACGGGCGAUGCGGCACGAAUUUUAAAAACACCGACAGACGUCCGACGGUGGACCGAAUACGGUGCCGCUACGGUCGACCGUUCGGGUACCAGACGGACUCCGAUCGCGACGAAAUUCGACAAGCGGCCUAGCUAUAACUAAUCACGACCGCGUGCCAAGUCUCACCUUGAUCAGAGAAAGUUUUAACCGCGCUUUUAAAACAGGGUUUCGACGGUGCCGCGGGCGUGUGCGAGUGCGGUCGGGCUCAGAACGGACGACGACGCGAACCGGCAACUAACAACGGAUGCAAGUUUUGAAAACUGGCGGCAACGGAGAUGCCGAUGCGAUGCAGAUGAUGCGCAUGAUGCGAUGAUGAUGCGACAAAUAACAUAAAUAACACGACGAAAACGGAAAGGAAAGGGAAUCUUCUGGAACGUCGGCAUCGGGCUGUCACAACUCUCCUACACUACAAGAAGAUCUCGCCCCGAGAUCCAAGAAUGAAAGGGGGAGAGGAUGAGAAAGAACAAGAGGUAAAACUUAGUCGCUUCUUGACAAACGAGUGAAACCAACGAUCCUUGAAGGUUGCAAGGCAAUGAGAAAAGAUAUGAGAGGAAGCAAGAAUUCACGGAAAAUUUCGACAGCACUUCGGUAGGAAAAUGGGACAAAAAAUUCGAUAAGAUGGUAGAAAUAGACAAUAUACAUAACAAACAACUAAAUAGAACAAGGGAACACCAUGAUCUUGAUAGAACAACACAAUAUAACCAAAAGAGCAACAUCACAAUGCCUCCGGAACAAUAGAAUAGGAACUAGCUCAAGCGAAAGAAGAGAAUGAAGAAAGAAAUGACAACUAUCAACUCCAAUGAACUUGGCAAGCAUGCUUGCAAGAAAAAUUGAACGAAGUUGUUGGAAAAACAAUAACGAAAAGAACAAGAUAGUAGUGGGCUUAUGGAAAUCAUCUCAACAAAUAUGAGGUGACAACCAACCACUAAAAGAAAGAAGGAUAGAUUGGGAGAAACAAGAUAUGAACAAUUCUUACACCAAGAGGAUGCAUUGAGAACUUAGAUUAAAGACAAGCACCAUGAUAGUACAAUCCCUAGGAAAAGCUUUAGGUGAAAUCCAACCCAAGAUAGCUCAAAGGAGAAAUCAUGGGUUGAAAUAUCUCAUGAUCAUAGAAUUGGUGGGUUUAAUUAUCUCAUUCUUGAAAGGAAAAUUCUCUGAGGCUCCUACACUAACAAGAAGGCUAUAAUACCACCUCAAAGGAAAAGGAAUAACAAAUGCACUUGGGAAUGCAAGAGAACGGAUACUUGAGGAAAGAAUUGAUAUGAUGAUGAACCACCAUGAAGGACCUCCGUAAGAAUGAUGCAACGAUAAGAAGGUAGAAAAGGAUAAGAUUAUGACCUUGCCAAGAUUUAGAUGAAGCCUCACAGAGAGAAACUUGAUAGAACUUGGAACUCCGGAAAGAAAUAUAGGCACUUGAGAAAAGAAUUUAUAUCAUGAGUCCUCCGGAAGAAGAAUUGAAAUCUCUUGGAAGGAGGAAGGACAAUAAUAAGAAUUAUGUUAUGCUCAUCCUUCAUCAAGUUUAAUUGAUGACAAGCAACGGAUUUAGCAUACAACUUAUUCUUGUAGAAAAGAUUGAGGAGAGAUAUGAGCACAAACUAGAAGAAGUCUUGAAGGAGACACCGGUGAGAAUUUAAAUGAAUGAGGCAACCAUGAAUGACUCAAGAAAGAUGAGAAAGAUGAGAUCAUGAACCACCUAACAGAAAACUUGAAUAAGGCACCGGAAUAAUCGAGAGACGAACGAAGAGACAACAAUUGAGAAGAAUUGAGGAUGAAAGCCGAAAGCUGAGAACGAAGAAUCUUCUAAAAUGAUGGCCUUCGGAGGAACGAGAAAUAAAAACGACUCAGAGAAGCACCGGAUAGCACGAAAGGGAUUACCCACGAUUGGGAAUAAUUCAAGAUGAUGCCAGAAGGCUGAAACGAUGAAUCAUGAAGAUAAUGGGCCAAGAUUGAGAGAAACACUCCUUCAAAUGCAAGCUGAGAAUGAUGACGAUAACAACGCCAAGAAUUACUAAGACACUCCGGAAUAAAGAAGAAUGAAAGGUUGAGCCAAAGAAUGAAUUAAUUCAAAUAGAACUUGAAGAAGUAAUAUGACUGAUGGAAAUCAUACUUACGUCAUAGUUGAAAGAUUUAAUGAUCUCCGGGAAAAGAUUAAAAAUGCCAGGAAAGAUCCUGGGAAAGAACCAGUGGGUUAUGGGCCCACUCAAAGAAACCACCGUUAGAAAAGAUUGCUAGACCGAGAGAUAUUGCACCGGUAUGAAGAGAACUAGAUGAGGUUAGCACCUCGAAAUAAUUAAAGAAUUGAGAACAAGAAUUCUGAGAUAACUUCAACGCUCCGGAUAGAAUAGAGAGAAAUAACAACAAGAAAAUAGACUAAUAAAAAUUUCCAACAUAGGAAAUAAUUACAAGGAUGAAAAGGAUAUGAUGAACACAGACAACUGAAUUGAAUUCACCGGUAAGGAUGACAAAAAUGAACAAAGAGGAACACGAAGCUCCUGAGAAUCUUCACAAUGAAUCAUCGGCUACGAAAGGAAGAAGAGAUAGCGGAAGCACAAUGAAAUGAAUGCGCUUGGAUGAAAUCCAAUCACCGAAGAAAAAGGGCGGGAGGGCGGGAAAAAAACAAAGACAACUUGGGACAGAUGAGAUGAACUCCGGAUGGAAUAAAAGAAUGCUAUCGACAAUCCACUUGAGGAGAAGCACACCGGUUGGAAAAGAAAAAACAUGACGACUCCGGUCGACAAGAAUUGAUAAGACAACUGAUUAAGCAAAAGAAUUAGCAUUCACGUAAAAAUAUGAGAACACAGAUUAGGAAAGAUCUGAAAUCACCACUUGACAUCGAAGCAACACAAAUUACCAUAUUCAACAAAACAAAGGGUGAGGCUUAUGAAACAAGCCAGAACAAACUCAUGAGAAAGAUUUCGUCCGAUAUUUUCAUGGACAGAUCGCACGGGCUCGAUUUUACAGUAGCCAUCAAGUGCAAGGUAGUGCACCCGACAUACGAAGUAUCCCCGAGUCGUAGCAAGCUACAAGGACUCUUUAAGACACAACGUGUACCGCUGUAAGUCGACCGUGAACAAACGAAUCCACUAGAUGUCGAACCCCAACCUAACAACAUGCAUUUGUUGGAAGAUUGUCCUAUAAGCAACUACUUGAAUUCUCACCUAUGAACUCCCGAAAUAUCUGGUCAUGUAAUCUGGUACACGGAUACAAGGAGUAAUAUCACACAACUCCUAUACUAACCCGUCACUUGUAUCACAUCCGUCAACACACGACCAGAAUCUCGGACCUUCAUCUACUACAGACCCUCGUGAUCACAACGAUACAGAGUAUGGCAGUACUCCCGAACAAUCUGCACCAGUACCGGGGAUAUCGGGGUUAUCUCGCCACUACUAGUAUUGAAGCAAUUACGAACAUCCUUCGUUCUGAGAUACUAAGAAAUCUGAAUGAUAACGAUGUGCUGAAGAAUCCCCUGGAGCUCAACUCCCCGGAAGAAGAUCAAGUCAGACAGGAGGCACCAAGACAGAACUCCGUCACAUCGGCAUCAUAUAGAUUCCAAAAAUAUCUGUGUGAUCCUAAAAAAAAAUUUGAGUGAGAAGAGGAGUAGAAUAAAUUAUUACGUCAAGAUUCCUCACGAGAGCAUAGAAGAGGAGAAAAAAGAAUCCUACUCUCCGAUAUAUAACUAGACUCAAAGUAUUUUUACUAGACUCGACUCGGUCAAAUUUGAUUAAUGAAGGGGGCUCCUAGGUCGGUACUGGUCUGAUACCAACUUGUCACGCCCAAGAUGCGACCCUAUCCUCAAUUUGGCACGAAGGCCUCGUCAGGGAUAGAAGCGCAUCUCGUCGUGUCGCAAGAAUGGAUAUCGUCACAAGUACAUGUACUGAAAAGAAGAGUUAUAUAUACAGAGUUGGCUUACACUCGCCACAAGCUACAUCAGAAUCACAUCAGUACAUUACAUAAUCAUCAAGAGUAAGAGCAGGGUCCGACUACGGACGAAAACAAACGAGAAAAAUAAGAACGACGUCCAUCCUUGCUAUCCCAGGCUGCCGGCCUGGAACCCACCCUAGAUCGAUGAUGAAGAAGAAGAAGAAGCAACUCCAAAUGAACAAUCAACGCGCUCGCGUCAAGUAACCUUUACCUGUACCUGCAACUGGUGUUGUAGUAACCUGUGAGCCACAGGGGACUCAGCAAUCUCAUUUCCAAAGGUAUCAAGACUAGCAAAGCUUAAUGGGUGAGGUAUGGUUAAGUAGUGAGGUUGCAACAGCGACUAAGCAUAUAUUUGGUGGCUAACUUACGAGUACCAGAAAUAAGAGGGGGAAGAUCUACGCAUAACGGACGUGAACUACUGAUGAUCAAAUGAAUGAUCCUGAACACCUACCUACGUCAGACAUAACCCCACCGUGUCCUCGAUCGGAGAGGGAACUCACGAAAGAGACAAUCACGGUUACGCACACAGUUGGCAUAUUUUUAAUUAAUUAACUUCAAGUUAUCUAGAACCAGUGUUAAACAAAGUUUCCACAUUGCCACAUAACCGCGGCCACGGCUUUCCGAAAGGUUUAACCCUGUAGGGGUGCUCCAACUAGUCCAUCACAAAUUACCACAAGCCGCAUAGAAAUCCUCAAUCACGAAGCUCGCGAUCUUGUCGGAUUCCCUAGUGGAAAACCUCAACUCUGAGAUUACCCAAAGCAUCACCGAAUCCCGAUGCACAAGAUAUCUCGUCAAAGGUAAAACUAAUCCAGCAAGGCCGCCCGACGUGUCGACGAUCCUGAUAGGAGUCGCGUACCUCGUUCUCAGGACACGACGGAUGAGCGAUGGUUACCACGCCAAACGCCGAGUUGCCCCGGGUAGCGUUAAUAAGCUGCUCUGUUUUGGACCAACACUCAUGAGGAGCACUGGCCUGGGGGUUCAUUAAAAUAGUCCGCGGGUGCCGGCGGGUCCCCAUGAAAUUUUAUUAGGUGAUUAGGAAAAUGUAGUACCAAUGUUGGGCCUUGCCAGACCAGCUUUAAUCUAAAACGAAUUAUCAAGGGGGUCCCCAUAACAACCCCGAUCGUGUUAGGAGCGCUCAUUUAUGAAACAUAACACCGGUAGCCGGACACUAAGGAGGCAAAGGUGGAACAAAACACCAGGCUAGAAAGGCCUAGCCUUCCACCUUUUACCAAGUAUAUAGGUGUAAUAAAUUAAAUAGCAUUUAAAUAUGGUGGUAUAACAAGGAACCCAUGUUUUCACAUGGAAGCAACGGCACCUGCAACUAGCAACGCUAACACAGGGUCAAGCAAGGAGUAACAUAGCCAAUCAUUGGUUUGCUAGGUUGAACAGGUUGAAGGUUAACAUGACAUUGUUGAGAGGCUGAUAUUUAACAAGUGGUAGGCAACGAGACAUAAUCGAUAGCAUCGAAAUAACUAGCAUGGCAAUGAUAGUAAUGGUAUCUGGGGAAAUGAUCAUCUUGCCUGAGAUCCCGCUUGGAAGAAGAAUGCCUCCGUGAAGCAGACGAACCGAUGUAGUCGAACGGGUCCUCACAAUCCGGCACGCUGUGGAACUCUAGCGAGACGAAGCCAACCGGAAACACAAAUCAACACACGAAAUUCACCACACGAUGCACAACACAUAUGAUGCAUGAGCAGCUGAAUAUAUGCAAGUCACGGCAUGACAAUUCACACAAUCAAACACUACAGAUUAAGUGAAGUUCAAUAUGCAACGAGUUACAAAUUGACGAAACUCCACGUUAAUUUAUUUAGUUCUAUCCCGAUUAAAUACACGGCAAUAUUAAAUGUGGUUAAACAUGGCAAGAGGUGAAGCGCGAUUAAUCUACCAUCUAGGCAUUUUAAAUGAGGUCGGAUAUGACAUAUAGCAUCUCCGAGAUGACCUCACAUGUUAAUUUACGAUUCUGUCCAGAUCUGAACUAAUGCAUUUAAUUGGUUUUUAAACAGCAAAACAAACAGGUUCACGUGAUUCUACGCGUCAUGGCAAGCAAUCUACACAUAAAGAACAUCUCCAACGGAGCUACGGGUCAAAAGUUACAAGCAUCGCAAGAUAUGAUGGCAUGAAUGCAAUAUGUGUGCAACGACGGCUACGAGCACUUCAAAACAUAUAAACAGCAAGAGAAAAUGAAACUACACAAGAUCUUAAGCAAGUUUCAUGUAGGACACGAUCAAAUCGGAGUUACGGUUCAACAACUACGAGCAAAACAAGAAAUCUUCACAAUCUGUCAAAAUCAGCCACACGGCAUUUUAUACGCCUCACAACUUCGGCUACACAACUCCGAUAAGCUCAAGAAAGGCAUGGCACGGAAGAGGGCAAGAAGCACUACUACGAACAGCUAACAACAACUAGCAUGGCAGCAAGGAGCACUAGGAAAAGAAUACACAAAAUGGCAUCUCACACACUAUUUCAGACUUGGUGAAAAUUACACCUCAUGAAAGUGCAGUUUUCGAUCUGAAGCAAUGUUGACAGCAGCAAAACCUAUAGCUACAGGACGCCAAAUGGCAUGAAAAUUAACAGCAUGCUAUAGAAUCACAAGGGGUACAACUAACUCCAUUGGACCAAUCUCAAACGAGCUACAGAUCACAAGAUGCAAGCAAGACAAGACAGCAACAAAAUAUAACAAAUUCCAGACUUAGAAAUAUUUCAGCACGUCUAAAACAGCACUAUUUCUAGCAACUUGAGGGCUAUCGAAACACACCUAAACAUGCAUUUCUAUUGCAACCAAAAAUACCAGGGGCUAAACAAAACAUCCAAGAUCAACUCUCUAGUUGACAACUCCGUCAAACGACGUAUGGAAUAAAUCCUACGAAUUAAUCAAAAGGGCAACAUAGCAAAAUAUCUUGCGAACUAACUUGCUCUAAUGCUAAAACUAAUUGCACAGAAAAAUCCAUGGGAUUUUGCUACCCCGAAAACAUAUAAAAUAUGUGGGGUUUUCAACACAAAAUAAUGCCACACAUUAAUGCGAGAAAAUAACCUAUAUACGGGAAAAUAAACUACCGGCAAUCCAUACACGCAAAAAUACAAAUGACAGGUCUAAAAAACAUGAUAAAAUGGUCCCUAAAACAUAGACAUUUUAUCUACGGCAUACGGGCAACCCGGUCUUGCACGAAAAAUAAAUACGGGUCGAAACUUAUUAGGACAGCACACUUAUCUAGGCAAACAGCACGCUAAACAACGUCAAACAAAUGUGCAAGUUUUAAAUUCGGAUUCUACGCGAAAAGUUACACGAGAUACAUAUCUAAAUCUUCGUAAUCCGACUUACGGAUAAUAUUCUGCGGGCAUUCUAAUAUAGUCUGAUUACUGGAAUUAAUUAAAUUCCUAAAAUUCCUAAAUGGGCCGAACAGGUGGGCGCGAGGUAACAGGUCAGUGCAUGGGCGUAGAAUAGUGGCUUGGGGGGUGCUCACCUCGGGCCUUGACCCGGCUGGAGGAGGCGGCUCGAGGAGCAGGCCGAGGGGCGCGCUGGGCCUGGCUCGGGCGCUGGCCAGGCGCUAGCUGGGCCGCGGCGCUCCUGGGCCUGGGGCGACACAGCUGGACGAAGGGGGCCUGGGGCGCGGGGAAGAGUGACUGGGCCUCGGGGGCGCUCUGGGCCGAGUCUCACCUUGAUCAGAGAAAGUUUUAAACGCGCUUUUAAAACAGGGUUUCGACGGUGCCGCGGGCGCGUGCGAGUGCGGUCGGGCUCAGAACGAACAACGACGCGAACCGGCAACUAACAACGGAUGCAAGUUUUGAAAACUGGCGGCAACGGAGAUGCCGAUGCGAUGCGCAUGAUGCGAUGAUGAUGCGACAAAUAACAUAAAUCACACGACGAAAACGGAAAGGAAAGGGAAUCUUCUAGAACGUCGGCAUCGGGCUGUCACAAGGUCCGUGUUUGUCUUUCGCGUGAGGUUUACCAAUUCUAGCGGAGUCCUCACAGAAUUUGAUAACAUGCCCAUCUAUGUCUUCGGCUAAGAGAUCUUUGAUAAUAGCAACACUAGGUAUCACAGUUGGUCCAAGUGGUCUAAUGUAACCCCUACGUAUCACAGUUGGAGCUUUAGAAUAAUCCUUUAUCCUAGCAGGGUAUGGUGGUUUCUCAGUGUAAGCACAAGGAACAACAGGAUCACUAAAAGCAAUGACUUUCUCCUCAACUAGAUUGGUUUUGGCUAUGUUGCUUUCUACAGGAGGAUGAUAUUUAAACCACUUCUCUUUGGGAAGAUCAACAUGAGCAGCAAAAGAUUCACAAAGAGAAGCUACUAUCUCAGAGUCAAGUCCAUACUUAGCGCUAAAAUCUCUAGAAGUGUUUGUCUCAACAAAAGAUUUAACGCAAUCAAACUGGAAAUUCAUACCUAACUCCUUACCUUCCUCCGGCUCCCAAUCUUCAGAGUUGCGUUUGAUUCUCUCCAAUAAAUUCCACUUGUGAUCAAUAUCCUUCUUCAUAAAAGAACCGGCACAAGAAGUGUCAAGCAUGGUACGAUCUUCAUGACAAAGCCGAGCAUAAAAGUUUUGAGUGAUGAUUUGCCUCGAGAGCUCAUGAUUGGGGCAUGAAUAUAGCAUUGAUUUAAGCCUCCCUCAAGCUUGAGCUAUGCUUUCCCUGUCAUGAGGCCAAAAGUUACAAAUAAAGUUCUGAUCACGAUGUACUAAAUGCAUAGGAUAGAACUUUUGAUGAAAUUCCAAUUUCAACCGAUUGUAGUCCCAUGAUCCAGUAUCAUCACAUAGCCUAUACCAUGUCAACGCCUUAUCCUUCAAAGAUAAAGGAAAGACUUUCUUCUUUACCUCAUCCUCGGGCAAACCUGCAAGCUUAAAUAAACCACAAACUUAAUCUACAUAGAUUAGAUGCAAGUGUGGAUGUGAAGAUCCAUCUCGUGUAAAAGGAUUAGCCAGCAGUUUCUAAAGCAUACCCGAAGGAAUUUCAUAAAAGAUAUUUUCAGUAGGUACCUCAGGUUGAGGAGCAACUCCUCGUGCUUCCGUUCAUGGUGAAGAUACCCCGAACAAACUCCUCAAAGGAACAAUUUCCAUAGUGACAAGUGACAAUAAAUUUCAGCAAAGUAUAAAAAUGUUUCCUUACCAAUUUCCACUUACCAAAGGCACUUCACUCCCCGGCAACGGCGCCAGAAAAGAGUCUUGAUGACCCACAAGUAUAGGGGAUCAAUCAUAGUCCUUUCGAUAAGUAAGAGUGUCGAACCCAACGAGGAGAAGAAGGCUCUGAUAAACGGAUUUCAGCAAGGUAAUAACUGCAAGCACUGAAAGUAGCGGUAACAAGUGAUUGUGUAGCGAGGUGAAACGUAGCAAGAAAAAAGUAACAAGUAACAAGUAGUAGCAACGGUGCAGCAAGUGGCCCAAUCCCUUUUGCAGCAAGGGACAAGCCUGAACAAAGUCUUAUAGGAGGAAAAACGCUCCCGAGGACACACGGGAAUUUCUAUCAUGCUAGUUUCAUCAUGUUCAUAUGAUUCGCAUUCGUUACUUUGAUAGUUUGAUAUGUAGGUGGACCGGCGCUUGGGUACUGCCCUUACUUGGACAAGCAUCCCACUUAUGAUUAACCUCUCUCGCAAGCAUCCGCAACUACAAAAGAAGAAUUAAGACAAAGUCUAACCAUAACAUUAAACUAGUGGAUCCACAUCAGUCCCUCACGAAGCAACGCAUAGACCGGGGUUUAAGCUUCUGUCCCUCCAGCAACCCCUCAUCUACAUACUACUUCCCAAUGCCUUCCUCUAGGCCCAAAUAUGGUGAAGUUUUAUGUAGUUGACGUUCACAUAACACCACUAGAGGAAAAGACAACAUACAACAUAUCAAAAUACCGAACGAAUAUCAAAUUCACAUGACUAUUAUUAACAUGACUUAUCCCAUGUCCUCAGGAACAAAAGUAACUACUCAAAAAACAUAAUCAUAAUCAUGAUCAAAGGUGUAAUGAAUAGCAUCAAGGAUCUGAACAUAAACUCUUCCACCAAGUAAUCCAACUAGCAUCAACUACAAAGAGUAAUCAACACUACUAGCAACCUUACAAGUACCAAUCGGAGUCAUGAGACGAAGAUUGGUUACAAGAGAUGAACUAGGGAUUCGAGAGGAGAUGGUGCUGAUGAAGAUGUUGAUGAACAUGCCUCCCCUCCGACAAGAGGAGUGUUGGUGAUGACGAUGGCGACGAUUUCCCCCUCCGGGAGGGAAGUUUCCCCGGCAGGAUCGUCCUGCCGGAGCUCUAGAUUGGAUCUGCUCAAGUUCCGCCUCGUGGCGGCGGCGAAACCACGAAAAAGAUCCCCUCUGAUAUUUUUCUGUACCAAGACGCUUCAUAUAGCAAAAGAGGGGGGCUAGUGGGCCGUCAGGGAGCCCACAAGCCCCCACUCCGCCACCAGGGGGUGGAGGUGUCACGGCUUGUGGCACCCUGGCAGCCCCCCUCCGGUAGUUCUUUCGCUCAGUAUUUUUUAUGUAAUCCCAAAAAAACCCACGUAACUUUUCAGGGCAUUUGGAGAUGUGCAGAAUAGUGGACUAGGAUUUGCUCCUUUUCCAGUCCAGAAUUCCAGCUUCCUGAAUUCUCCCUCUUCAAAUAAACCUUGCAAAAUAAGAGAGAAAAGGCAUAAAUAUGGUACCACAAGUAAUAUAACAGCCCAAAAAGCAAUAAAUAUCAACAUCAAAGCAUGACGCAACAUGGACGUAUUAGUGUCCCAGGGAGCCCACAAGCCUAGGAGGCGCGGCCCCCCUAGGCGUGGCUAGGGGACUUGUGGGGUCCCUGGUGCCCCCUGUCCUGAUUCUGAGGCUUCCCGAUCUUCUUCUGUUUCGGAAAAAAUCUUUUUGGAAGUUUCGUUCCGUUUGGACUCCGUUUAAAAUCCUCCUCUGAAAGGGGUCAAAAACAUGGAAAAAACAGGAACUGUCACUUGGCACUGAGUUAAUAAGUUAGUCCAAAAUAAGAUAUAAAAGGUAUACAAAACAUCCAAAGUUUGACAAGAUAAUAGCAUGAAACCAUCAAAAGUUAUAGAUACGUUGGAGACGUAUCAGGUUCCCCCUCAUGUGUUCUUCUAGGGUUCAUGCUGGGCUAGAUCCCCUUCAUGUGUUCUUCUAGGGUUCAUGGGGCUAGGGUUAGGGUUCAUGCUGCAGCACGAUAUGUCAGUUGUACUCGGGUUAGGGUUAGGGUUCAUGGGGUAAAUAUGUCAGUUGAAUAUAGAAUGACAUAGUUGUUUUGAUCUGCGUAGAGAAGCAAGUCGCAUUAGGCCGUGUGAUGGGUGGCGGUGGCUGGGUAGAUGCGGAUGCUAGAGCUACCAUUGUAAUGAGCUAAGUUGUAUGCUUCUUCUUUUGGUGAUGGUAUUUCCCUGCAAGGCCAGAUACCCAUCUAUUUAUUACAACUGUUAUGGUGUCUUCAAAGUUAAUACUACUAAGAGCUAGAGCUUGUGUUUUUCUUUGGAAACAGUCAGUGGUGAUGCUGAUGCUAGGUGUAGGUGAGCUAUUCAGACUUCAUUGUUGGUGUUUGGCUUGGCUUGGCUUGACUUGACUUGAGUAGUAGUGAUUCUAGGUGUAGGUGAGCUAUUCAGACUUCAUUGCUGGUGUUUGGCUUGGCUUGGCUUUAGUUGACUUGAGUAGUAGUGAUGAGUCUGGAUAUAGGUGGCUUGUUUUAAUUUUUUCUGAACAUAAUUUGUUGUUCAUUUGAAAUAACAUGGCAUAAUAUAUUCUGUAUGCUGUUUCGAUGAUGGGAAGAACAUUUAUCUUGCUGAAGCAUGCGAUUAAUUCUGCUGUGCUUUUUUUUCCUUCCAAAAAGAGGAUUAUCACGGGCCUCUGCAUCAAGCGAUGAACACUGUCAUAUAGUUGUGUUGUGCUGCAUGAAUGAAUGCGGAAUGAUUCGGUGGCAGUGAAAAUCAUGAUUGUAUAGACAACAUUUGGCUAGAGUCUUAACACAUAAAUUUUGAGUAGAAUCCUAUUAAUUUCUUGUUAGUGUGUCUUACUUGAGCGGUGCUUUAAGUGAAUGAUGUUGGGCAACCAGUUAAUGCAUAUGUUUGCCACCAUUAGGGAAUACAGUUGAGUAAUUACUUUGCUUAUAGAUGAUUGCAGGUACAUGGAUAAAAUUUCAAGUUAAAACAUAAAAGCAAUUGUUGUAAAUAGUUAAUGCAUUGCUUCACAUAUAUAGUUUUCUUCAACUAUCGGUUUAGUACAUUACUACCUCUUGUUUCACAUGUAUUAAUACUAAUACAUUGCUACACUUGUAUGUGCAUGCUGGUCCAAGUGCUUCAAUUUAGUUGCUUGCUUCAACUAUCAGUUUAGUACUGAUGCAUUAACUGUAUGUGCAUUGCUACACGUGUAUGUGCAUGUUGGUCCAAGUGUUUUACAUGUAUUAGUACUGAUGCAUUAACUACAUCACCAUAUUGUUGAUCCAACAAGUUUGCUUCACAUGUAUUACAUGUAUAUGCAUGCUCGUCUAAAUGAUUUCCUUUAUUGAUAUAAGUGCAUCAUUUUACUUUAUCCCUGUUGUAUCUGAUUGUUGUUUAUUCUAUUUUGCAAGCACCACCUCAAGAUCAUCCAUGGCAAGGAUGACAAGGUCAAACCCGAGGCAACCCAUUGGUGUGCAAGUUGCUCCUUGUGGUUAUACUGUCAGAUUUAUAAAAUGUGUCUUAAUAUGCUAAGUGAAAUGUAAUAUGCUAAGUAAAAUAUCUUGGAGGGUGGUGAUGUAAAAUAUUGUCAGAUUUUAUUAUGCAAAUGUAUUGCUGUAAUCUGAAUUAGCUGGCUUAGCUGUGUGUGUGUGUUGGUACUCUUCCUUAGCUGAAUAAGUAUUAAAUGAUAAUAAAAUAUCAUAAGAUAUGUUUGGCUGUCUAUCUAUGCAUUCCAACAAUUAACCUAAUAAUUAUGUUUCCUUUGCCUUGCAAAGAUGAGCAUCCUCUCACCGAGUACGAGAAGGUUAGGGCUAGAAAUAUGAUGAGGAACAAUCGGAUAUUCGAGUUCCUUGGCAUUGGUGCAAUAGCGUCAAUGAUUAGGAAAACAAAUGAUGUACAAGAAGGUAGAACUAAUGAGGUUCAAGAAGGUAGUGGAGUUAUCAAUGAUGACCUAGAGUACAAUCCUGAGGAUGAAGUUGUAGUGCACAAGAAUGUUAAGGUGCAAACUCUCUCUUGCUUGGAGGGUUCGGGUUCUUGUAUGCUCUCUGUUUCCUUGUCCUCACAUAUUUAUCUUGUGAUCUAUUGUUUAUUCUGUGUUAUUUAUAUAAGGCACCGAAGGAAUCUAGAACAAAGAGGCCUGGUGUUAAGAAGACAGCCAGCAAGAAGAGGAAGAGCUGAGAAGCAUCUGCUGCAAUGCAUCCAGGAAGGGUGAUGGCCCCACCUCCAGGACAAACAAAGAGGAUCCUGGAACCUGAUGAACCUGAUAGAGUCACAAGGCAGAAAGCAACUAUGGCGGCUGUGACGGACCAUCAGGAAAGUCCGCUGGGCAUGGACUUUGAGAGCUCGGUGGAAAUGUCUGAUGAGUUUUCGCCCAUGGAUGAAGAAACCACUCUCUGCAUGGAUGAAAGCGGCACUGCCUGCCUACGCCUCAGGCGUGGUGCACCUUCUAUUGACAGGAAUGAUGUCGUCAGUGAAGAAGAACAGCAACUUGUGCUUCAACCAGGCAAGUUCACCUUCUCUUUUACUAGUGCAUUUUGCAAAUGGAAGUGAUCAUGUAUUCUUACCUGUUUAGCAGACCCAUUCCUGCAUUUGUCGAUUUCUCUUCUAAUUUACGAGUUCAAUUUCAUUUUCAGAUGCAAUGACUAACAAGCAUAGACUUAGAAAGGGCAAAGGGCUAGAGAGAAUUACCAAGUCGCUUGGCACAAAGGUGCCUAUCCAAAUUGCCCAAGGGAUGAAGCGUCCAGAGAAGCCUCUACAGGCAGCAAAGUUUGCUUCUGAGUGUGGACUCGUUGCAAGAAGCCAUCUGCCGGUUCUUCCUCACUUCAAGGAAUACAAAAAUAAUGCUACUCUAGUGGAGGACUACAUUGGGAAAGUUGAUGUAAGCUACUUGUUUUAUAGUUAAUGUGCUACUCUAUUUUCUGUUUUGUAGUUAAUGAUCACUAAUGUUGUUCCUUCCUUGUUUGUUGUCUUGGUAGGCAAAUUUUGAGAUGAACACACACUCGGAGACCAUCAAGUACGCGCGCAAGGAUGUUCUGCAGAAAAGUUCAAAGAAUCGACGCCAUAAGAUCAAGAAGUAGUAUUUUGAUACCGUAGCAGCAAACAAAGUGAGCACCAAGUCUCCGGUGUCAGAUCUGACGGACGGUGAAUGGCAAGCUCUGGUGCAGAUGUGGUCUACCCCAAGACACAAGGUUUGUAUAUGCUCUGUUUGCUGAUUUAUGUUCUGCACAUCAGGAUGGGAAUGGGCCAUGGUCCCCUUCUUCCUCUUCCAUGUUUCUGAUCAGAGUAGGAACAAUAGAGAGCAUCAACUUUCAAAAUCAACACCAUAUGUAAUACACUGACUCUUAUAUAGUACUAGUUGUUCAUGUACUUGUGCUAGUGCAGGAUAACUGAAAUAUUUCCAAAUCGAAUAUGCUCAGACUCGUAUUGUCCUACUAUACUACUGCCUAUUCGACUUUCUUUCAACUUGGCAAAUAACAUUGUGCUUUUUUGUAGGAAACCUGUGUGUCGAACAAGAUUAAUCGAGAAAAGGUCGUGUACCAACAGAGAAUUGGUUCCAGGCACUACACAGAACACAUUUUUGCCACUGUGAGUACCUUUUUCUAAAGACCUUACCAUUUGAUCCUCGUUGAAUAUCAUUUCUUAUUCUUGCUGAAUAACAUUUUGAUUUUUGUUAAAAAACAUUUCAGAAAGAAGAGCAUAAGGGUGAGGAGUUGUCUGCGAUUGACUUGUUCAAGGCCACCCACAACAGCAAGAAGCACGGGUUUUCGGAGCCAGGCAAGAUUGCUAUAGUAAGUCACUCCAUGCUUUUGUCCAGCUAGUUCAAAGUUUUGUCUAUAGACCUCAGCCCUGUUUGAUUCACAACCAGCAAGAACACACCCUAGAUUUGAUGUUGUUUGCUAGAGCCAAUGAUAGGUUUGGUAUCUCAACAAAGAUAUCAGAAUUUGUUGUACAGUUCUCAACAAAGAUAUCAGAACUUGCUGUAGCUAUUUGUUGCAUUUUUAUGAUAUGAUGAAAAUUGAUCUGAAUGUUAGUUCUCAACAAAGAAGCCAUAUUAUAUAGAACCACCAUAUUGUUCCGAUUGCAUGUCUCUAGAUCACAUAAGUGUGUACACUUGUUGUAGCCAGAUUCAAAUAAUGCUUUAAGUUUAGUAGCUAUCAUCUACUUCUGUUUGAGUUUGAGUAAAAUAUCUACAUAUAGAUUUUGUGUGCUGGUUUGAUUACUUCAAAUAAUCCAUUUCUUGGUCUGGUUUGGUGGCAUUCUUGUUUGGUUUCUCUUGCAGAAUGUGAAAUAGAUAUGCCACUAAUGUCUAUCAUUUUCCUCCAUAUGCUAGCUUAUGUGUACACUUGUUGUAGCCAGAUUCAAAUAAUGCUUUAAGUUUAGUAGUUAUCAUCUACUUCUGUUUGAGUUUGAGUAAAAUAUCUACAUAUAGAUUUUGUGUGCUGGUUUGAUUACUUCAAAUAAUCCAUUUCUUGGUCUGGUUUGGUGGCAUUCUUGUUUGGUUUCUCUUGCAGAAUGUGACAUAGAUCUGCCACUAAUGUCUAUCAUUUUCCUCCAUAUGCUUGCUUGAGAUGGAAAAAAUGAAGGGCGCGCCGGUGUUACUGCAACAAAAGACCUUCCAACGGCGCCAGAAAUAGGUGUGUCAAUGGCACCAGGAAUCCUUCUGCUACGGCUACGCCUUAAGGGACUUCCUAGGCAAAUAUGCAAAGGAUUUCCCCCGUGGCCUUGGAGCCUUGCGUUGGUGUUCCCUCGAAGUGGAAAGGGUGAUGUAGCGCAGCGGUGGUAAGUAUUUCCCUCAGUUUGAGAACCAAGGUAUCGAACCAGUGAAGGAGUAUCACAAGAGCUUGCACAAACACAAAAAGCUUGCUCCCAACGCUAUAAAGGGGUUGUCAAUCCCUUAUAGAUUGUUCGCCAAGUGAGAAGUGAAAGCAACAAAGUAACAAAGCAAAGUAAAAGCGUAAGUGGAAACGAUAGGUGUGAAUAGACCCGGGGGCCGUAGUGUUUACUAGUGGCUUCUCUCAUGAAAGCAAAUAGACGGUGGGUGAACAAAUUACUGUCGAGCAACUGAUAGAACCGCGCAAAGUCGUGACAUCAUCUAUGGCAAUGAUUAUAUCUAUAGGCAUCAUGUCCAAAACAAGUAGACCGAUACUUUCUGCAUCUACUACUAUUACUCCACACGUCGACCGCUAUCCAGCAUGCAUCUAGUGUAUUAAGUCCAAAAGAACAGAGUAACGCCUUAAGAAAGAUGACAUGAUGUAGAUGGACAAUCUCAUAUCUACGAUAGAGCCCACCUUGUUACCCUUGAUGGAAACUACACGAUGUGUGCCUUGCUGCCCCUACUGUCACUGGGAAAGGUCACCACACGGUAAGAACCCAAAACCAAGCACUUCUCCCAUUGCAAGAAUCAUAGAUCUAGUUGGCCAAACAAAAGCCAAGACUCGGAGAGACUUACAAGGAUAUCAAAUCAUGCAUAUAAGAAAUCAGCAAAGACUCAAAUAUAUAUCAUAGAUAAUCUGAUCACAAAUCCACAAUUCAUCGGAUCUGGACAAACACACCGCCAAAGAAGAUUACAUCGGAUAGAUCUUCAUGAAGAUCAUGGAGAACUUUGUAUUGAAGAUCCAAGAGAGAGAAGAAGCCAUCUAGCUACUAACUACGGACCCGUAGGUCUGAAGUGAACUACUCACGAGUCAUUGGAGGGGCGAUGAUGAUGAUGAAGAAGCCGUUCAACUCCAAAGUCCCCUCCGGCAGGGCACCGGGAAGGGUCUCCAGAUGAGAUAUCGCGGAAACGGAAGCUUGCGGUGGCGGAAAAGUAUUUUCGUGGAUCCCUUGAUUUUUUGCUGUAUUUUAGGGAAUAUAUAGGCGAAAGAUCUAGGUGAGGGGGGCGCCAGGGAGGCCACAAGCCUGCCCACCGCCGCCCCCUGGUGGCGGAGUGGGGGCUUGUGGGCUCCCUGUAGCCCUCCUGGCUUGGCCCACAAGCCCCCUGAUCUUCUUCCGUUUGGGAAAAAAUCAUUUCGGGGAUUUUAUUCUGUUUGGACUCCGUUCCAAAAUCAGAUCUGAAAAGAGCCAAAAACACAGAAAAAACAGGAACUGGCACUUGGCACUGAAUUAAUAAGUUAGUCCCAAAAAAGAUAUAAAAGGUACAUAAAACAUCCAAAGAUGACAAGAUAACAGCAUGAAACCAUAAAAAAUUAUAGAUACGGUUGAGACGUAUCAGCCGGUACCAGAAGGUGAAGAACCAAAGUCUGAUGCUGAGAUUGUUGAAGAAGUGCUCAAGACCGAAGUCAAGCAAAGCACAUUCCUCAGGAAUGUUGGGCUCAAGUCAUCUAGUAACAACUUUGGCAAAGGAACUGCUGUUGUGGCUGCUCAUGUUCGUGAUCUUGAGCAGAAACUGGAGAGGUCGGAGCUUCAAGCUGAAGUGGUGCAAGAAGAAAUGGCAGCAAUCAAACUAAAGGCGGAAGAAUUUGAAGCUGCACGCGACAAGGAACUUGAGCUGCUGUGCAAGAAGUCUCAAGAACAGGAACAGAAGUUAGCCCACUUGAUGGCUCUCUUCUACGCUAAAGCAUCGUAGAAGUUGAACAUGUCGUAGAACUUGUCCUAGAAACAGUGAAGUGGGCUAACUUCUCAAGAACCUCAUGAAGUUAGCCCACUUGAUUGGUCAUUCUGGUGAUGAAACAGUGAAGUGCUCUAUUUGAACCUGUGAAGUAUUUUGAACCUGUGAACCUGAUGAAGUAUUUUGUGAAACAGUGUCUUGCUCUAUUUGAACCUGAUGAAGUAUUUUGUGAACCUGAUGAAGUUGUCAAUUAUUUGAGUUUUGUUUGGACCAUUUGGUUUGGUCACUAAAGUUAGUUUGGACUGCAAAAAGGCUGAGGCCCAAACAAGAAAUAGACUAAAAAGGCUUGCGCCUAAAAAAAGAGUAGGCCAAGGCCCAAAUCAGAAUUUGUCUAAAAAGCUUGGGCCUAAAAAAAGAGUAGGCCAAGGCCCAAACAAGAACUGGACUAAAAAGAGUAGGCCAUGGCCCAAAAGAAAAGUGGCCUAAUAAAAAACAUGCUUAGUAAAAGAUUCUAUCCUAGAAAAUAAAAGGCCAAAUUAUUGGGCCCGGCCCAUGUAGAAGAUCGGAAUGGACCGGGCUGAAUCUAAUUUACGACCUUUUCAUUUGGUCUUAAUUCUGCCACAUCAGCCUGCCACGGUGGAUCUGAAGUGGUGUAGGCGGAUUGCAAGUGACCAAAUCAGUUGGUCGUUAAACCUACGACCUUCUGUUUGGUCGUAAAAUCCUACGACCAAUCUAGGAAAAAUGUCAUUAUAGUUCAUUAGAGACCCUCAGCUUUUGACCGUCUGUUUUUGGUCGUAAAAAGGUCACAAAUGGAAAUCAAUGACCAUUCGGUGACCAAUAUUGAAGGUCGUUAGUUGACAUAUUUCUUGUAGUGCCUCUCCGUCACACGGAGUGACAAAUCCCAGUCUUGAUUCAUACUAACUCAACGGACACCUUCGGAGAUACAUGUAGAGCACCUUUAUAGUCACCCAGUUACGUUGCGACGUUUGAUACACAUAAGGCAUUCCUCCGGUGUCAGUGAGUUAUAUGAUCUCAUUGUCAUAGGAAUAAAUACUUGACACGCAGAAAACAAUAGCAAUAAAAUGACACGUUCACAUGCUACGUUUAUAGUCUGGGUCUAGUCCAUCACAUGAUUCUCCUAAUGAUGUGAUCGAGUUAUCAAGUGAUAACACUUGCAUAUAGUGAGAAAACCUUGACUAUCCUUGAUCAACUCGCUAGCCAACUAGAGGCUUGCUAGGGACAUUGUUUUGUCUAUGUAUCCACACAUGUAUCUAUGUUUUCUUUCAAUACAACUAUAGCAUGGAUAAUAAACGAUUAUCUUGAAACGGGAAAUAUAAUAAUAACUAUUUUAUCAUUGCCUCUAGGGCAUAUUUCCAACACUUACCUUUACGGAAGAGUCAUGGUGAUCUUCACCACUUCGUAUAUUUCGCCUUUAUCUCUUGGCAAGCAUCAUGUGGUGGGGAAAGAUCCAAGCAUAUAUGGCCAUUCAAAUAUAUUUGAUCAUGAAUUAUUAUUGUUGACAAUUAUCCGUAUGAUAAAUAAGUUGGGAGGCGAAACAUUAAGCCCCUAUCUUUCUCUGUGUUCGAUGGAUGCUAUCUGUUCUAAAAAUAUGCUUUGAGUGUUAGCAAUCAUGGAAGACUACAUGAUAGUUGAGUAUGUGGAAUUUGCUAAAUCAAAAGCUUUUACAUAUACCCUUCCUGAAAAUAAGACGAAUUGCAAUUGUUUGGUGACUGAAAGCAUGGUUUAUUAGUUUUCAAAAAAAAUUAUGGUCUUCACUUUAACAUGUGAAUAGAUUAUUACUUUAUCAUGAGAUGUUUUAUGAGAUGAGCUACAGUUUAUGGUUUAUAUUGAUGCUAGAAAAAAGUGUUUGGGAGUAUCAUUGAUCAAACUUGUGCACUAUGCUAGCAUUCACACUUCAUAAAUUAUAUCUUUUAUCAUUUACCUAUUCGAGGACGAGCAUGAAUUAAGCUUGGGAAUGCUCAUACGUCUCCAACGUAUCUAUAAUUUAUGAAGUAUUCGUGCCAUGUUUACAAUAAUUUUAUAUGAUUUUGGUAUGAUUUUAUUAGAACUAACCCGGACUGACGUUGUUUUCAGCAGAUCUACCAUGGUGUCGUUUUUGUGUGGAAAUAGAAGUUCUCGAAAUGGGCUGAAAAGUUACUGAGAAUAUUUUUGUAAAAUAUAAAAUAUACUGGAGCAAAGAGCUGGGCCAGGAAGUGGACCAGGAGGUCACAAGCCUGCCACUCAAGACCACCCCCUAGGACGCGCCUGUGUGGCUUGUGGACUCCUCGAGCACCUCCUUGACAUGAGACUGGCGCCAAAAAUUCCUAUAAAUACCAAAACCCCCAAAAAGAAACCUAGAUCGGGAGUUCCGCCGCCGCAAGCCUCUAGAGCCACAAAAACCAAUCGGGAGCCCGUUCCAGCACCCUGUCGGAGGGGGGAAACCAUCAUCGGAGGCCAUCUUCAUCAUCCGGUGGUCUCCAUGACCAGGAGGGAGUAGUUCACCCUCAUGGCUAAGGGUAAGUACUAGUAGCUAUGUGUUCAAUCUCUCUCUCUCUCUCUCUCUCUCUCUCUCUCUCUCUCGUGUUCUUGAGAUGGCACGAUCUUGAUGUAUCACGAGCUUUAUUAAUAUAGAUUAAUCAUAUGGAGUUUUCUCCUCUCUAUCUUCUUGUGAUGAAUUGAGUUUUCCCUUUGAAGUUUUCUUGUCGGAUUGAGUCUUUAAGGAUUUGAGAAAACUUGAUGUAUGUCUUGUGAUGGGAUAUCUGUGGUGAUAGUGGGAUGUUCUAUUGAUUCACUUGAUAUAUGUUUUGGUGAUCAACUUGUGAAUUCCGUGACCUUGGGAAUCUAUGCAUAGGGGUUGGCACAUGUUUUCGUCUUGACUUUCCGGUAGAAACUUUGGGGCACUCUUUGAAGUUCUUUGUGUUGGAUUGAACAUGAUGAAUCUUAAAUUAUGUGAUGCAUAUCGUAUAAUCAUGCCCAUGGGUACUUGUGGUGACAUUGGAGUAUCUACGUGACAUUAGGGUUUUGGUUGAUGUGUAUCUUAAGGUGUUAUUUUAGCACGAACUCUAGGGAUGUUCGUGACACUUAUAGGGAUAGCUCAUAAGGUUGAUUAGAAAAGAUAACUUUGAGGUGGUUUCGUACCCUACAAUGAUUUCUUCGUUUUUUCUCCGCUAUUUGUGACUUUGGAGUGAACUCUUUGUCGCACGUGGGGGAUUUAUAUGUUAGUAUUGUUGAGAGAACUUGCACUAGUGAAAGUAUGGACCAUAGGCCUUGUUUCCAAGCAUUUAUACAACGUUUUGCUUUGAUGUUUACUAUUUGUUACCUUGCUGUUUUAUAUUUUCAGAUUACGAAAACUUAUAUCUACCAUCCUUAUUACACUUGUAUCACCAUCUCUUCGCCGAACUAGUGCACCUAUACAAUUUACCAUUGUAUUGGGUGUGUUGGGGACACAAGAGACUCUUUGUUAUUUGAUCGCAGGGUUGCUUGAGAGAGACCAUCUUCAUCCUACGCCUCCCACGGAUUGAUAAACCUUAGGUCAUCCACUUGAGGGAAAUUUACUACUGUCCUACAAAACUAUGCGCUUGGAGGCCCAACACGAGCCUACAAGAAGAAGGUUGUGUAGUAGACAUCAGCCAGCCAUGAGUCCUAAAGAUCACACAAUGAGUUCUCACUGAAUGCACCAAUGUCGGUGUCAAAACCGGCAGAUCUCGGGUAGGGAGGGUCGAGUUGUGAGAUCGGAUCGACGGUAACACGAGGCAACGAACACGAGCUUUUUACCCAGGUUGGGGCCCUAACGAUGGAGGUAAAACCCUACGUCAUGCUCUUGUUGUAUUGAUGAUGUAGCGAUUAUAGAGUUGAUCUACCUCAAGAUUGUGAGUUUGUGGGCUAAACCCUAGGAGUUAUGAUGUUGUGUAUAUGAUUGUCCUCUACGGGCAAACCCCCACAGUUUAUAUAGGUACUUGGGGUACUAGGGUUACAUGACUGUCGAUUAUCGUCUAUGGGUUACAUGUCAAACGGGUCAUCCUUUCCCUGGAGUGCACGAUAACUCUUUGGUAGAAUCCGUGAUAUUCUCACAAUCCUUUAUUGGGCCUCCGAAGUCCUUCCUCCAAGGUGGGCCUCUUGCUCAGCACAUGGACUAGUCCACCUCGGAUGGGACCACUUGGUCGAGGACUCCCGCUCCCAGCUACCAAGAAUGGCUUUUUUGUAUAGGAAGAAUGGGUCCUCCAAAAUGAAUGUGGAUGUUGGUAUUUCCAGGCCAGGCUUAUAUGUUACUGAUGUUGCAGUCUGUAGGGAUGAUCAAGGAUUAUAUUGGACACUUUAGCUCUUGUCUUAUCGGAGAUUAGUGAUCCUGUAGGCUUGGAAUCUAUUGCUUCUCCCGAAGGCAUUGCAUUGGCUAUAGACUUGAAUCUCCACAGGGCGCAUAUUGUGAUGGAUUGUCUAAACGCGGUCAAUCACAUCGCCACUUUACAAGAUGGUAAAUAUGAUGUGGUUUUCAGUGAUAUUAGUGCUUCUAGGUCUUCUUUCACCUUAUGUAAUUUCUUCCAUGAGAGAAGAGGCUCAAAUUAUGAAGCCCGUAGUCUAGCUAGGUUGGGAGACACACAUGGCUUGGUCUGCCCCAUGACACUCUUUGUAUUCCAAUAAUUAUUAAUGAAUAAACCUAGUGGAUUGUGCUAAAAAAGGAAAAUUGUUCAAGCAGCUCAAAAUAGUGUCAGUAUACUUUUUAUACAAAUUUCAUGACACUUACCAACAAUUUUCACUAAUUUAUAAAAAUAUCCGUGAUAUUUAAAAAAUGGUUGUACCAUCCAGCAAAAACUCGUUUCAAAAAAUUUCAUGAAAUAUAAAAAUGUGCUCACUCAAUUUUUAAAACAUGUUCGUGACUUAUAGAAGUGCUUAUAACCAUUUAAAAAUGAUUUUAGCAUUUGUAAAAAUGUUCAUGAAAAUGUAAAAUAUAGUUCGUGUAAAUUUUGGAGAAUUUUCACGGCAUACAACAACAUGUUCAUGAAAAAUGUGAAAAUUUGUUCAGACACUUUUUUUAAAUGUUUAUGCCAUAUAAAGAUGCUCACUCUUUUAUUUUACAAAUAACAUGAAAAACAAAAAUGGAAAAAUAAGGAAGAAAUUCAACUGAACAAAGAAAUAUAAAAUAUAAUAAUCGCUAGAGAAUAAAGAAAGAAAAGAAAAGAAAAAGAUGCAAGCUUCCAGAAACCGCAUAAAAGGUUCGCAAAACCUGUCACUACCGUACAUAGAAGCUUCUCAAAAUGGCACAUGGAAGGUUCUCAAAACCGAAGUUGGGUUGGCGCACUUGAAUCAGCAACGUAGGCGAAUGCUCAUUUCAUCUCAGAGUAAGCCAGAUUCAACAUUUGCGUGCUAUCCCUUGUAUCAACCUCUUAUUUGAUUUUCUGCUCCAACACAUGCCACUCCUAUCUCUUCCCACAUCAUCAGAUUUGUGAAAGAUUCAUUGUUAAAUUUUUUUCAACAAAAUUGUAUUAUCUCAUCGUACAAACUUUCCCGAUCCCAGGUAGAGGUCAAUUGCGUUCUAGAACAAAGUAAUGGUGCUCACUCAUGAGUGAAUCUACCAUCGAUGCGACACCUUAUGUUAGACAUUUGUAUACGAUGACUUUGUAUUAAAAAUGGCAUCUUAGAUACCUUAGUUUGUGCUUUGCUGGGCAUUCUAGAGGUUUUUGGAUCCACCACAGGUGCUUAGACAAGGUGCUAAGUGCAUCGAAGGACUUAUGAACUAAAUUCCCCUAUGCAUGUAUAUAUGCUUAGCUUUUUCUAGCUAAGAUUUCUCCAUUUUAUUGUUUAGCAACAAAAAUUCCGCAUGCAUACGUGUUUUGCAUAGAUUCACUCGUUUGACAUUGUUGUUUCUUCCUUGGGUCUUCAUGCUUUCUCUUCUUCUUAAUUGCUUUGCUACGUCAACUUUUUGCCGAUGUGGCAUUCUUAGCACCGUGGAGGGUUGAAAAGGCCCUAAAGCACAUAAGGACAAGAACUAGCUAACUGCCAAAAGUUUCGGUUUUGAGGGAUUCAUUACCAACACUUAAGUAAUAUACCAUGUGAACUGCGGUCGCAGAUGGUUUAAUACAAACAUGUUCACGUGCACGUAUCUCACAACCAUCAUCUUUAUCAUACACACAUGAUUAUAACCAAAUUUCUCUUGGGAUGGAUGACAGUCAUAAGGUCGCCUUUUUGCCAUUGCCGCCUGUGAUUAAAGACACUUUGUUGUCAUUGCCAAAGUCGGCUCCUUGGCAAGGCAAGAAGGACAAGGUCCAAUAUUUGUCCAUAAGCUAUUUUAAAAAGUAUCAUGUUUAAGGAGUGAUUUUUUUUUUAGAAAAGGAGGAUGACCCCCGGUCUCUGCAUCUGGGAGAUGCAUGCGACCAUUUUAUUGAUUAUUUCCGAGGACCUUACAAAGUAGUACAACAAUAUGUCUGAAUCCGCCAUCUUGGCAACAUUUGCCGCUACUCCUAUCCAUAUGAUGAAGGGGUGCAAGCUGAGCCAAAUACCCAGACCUCUCACCUAAGCCUAACAUCUAAAGCCGGAGGCCCCGACCGAGCCACAUACCGGGUCAGGGGCACAAACCGGUCUGACACACUCACAUGUGUCGCCGUCACCAUCUUCCACUGGUUCAUCUUCAGAGCAGAUUGAGGUACCAGCCUUGGCAGGUGCCUCCGCCAUCGACGCCACCAUGACGCCAAACGACGACCUCCACCAACGCGAGUCCAUCUCCAAGCAGCGGACAUAGAUCCAUGCUAGGAUAGGGUCGCACCACCGCCGUCGCCCACCACCCACAAGCACCAGCCAGCCCAAGGUUCCCAAAGCGGCGCCUUCAAGAAGGGAACGACGCCGUGAGCGCCGCCGCUGCCCAACAAAGUUAGGGCUUUCGCCCGGGAGACCUAGGGGAAGGGGAAGUGAGGGGAUCAGUCCAUACCGACGCCUCCAAGGAGGGGAACGGCGCCCUCAGGCGUCGCCGUCGACGCAGUCGGCCAUGGCCGGCCAGGGAUUUCGCCCGAACUAGAUCCCCAUCAUCAGCAGUGCCUCCUGUACAGAACCGGCGACCCAAGGAAGCACGGUCCGACCAUGCUAGCCCGCACGCCGAACAUGGGAGGAGGGGAUGCGCCAGAUCGCGCGCACCGACCACCGCAGAAGCUGCCGCCGGCCGGCAACGACCACUGGAUCCCGCCGCCCGCGCGGCUCGAACGCGAGAUCCACCGUCCGCACGACUGCUAGCUUGUCGUGCCUCAUCCAUGGAGCCGCCGCUCCAGAUCCGGAGUUCCCCACACAGAGGCAGGGCAGCCAAGGCCCCGCCGCCACGAUCCUUGGCGCCCCGGGCUUGCCCGACGGCUGCCUCACGCGGCGGCGAGGAAGGGAGGGGGAGGGAGUUGGGCGGCUAGGGUUGGGAGGGGGAGGGAGUUGGGCGGCUAGGGUUGGGAGGGGAAGGGGAUGUUUAAGGAGUGAUAUGCAACUAGAAACUGAUUUUGUCAUUGUCACGUGUGGAUAAUGAUUGUGAGUGGAGUUUAGAAGUGGAGUGAAGUAGAGUUUAGAGGUGGAGUGUACCCCUUCAAACACACUCGUAGUUAACAGCUAGGAGCUUUUGUUUUCGUCCGGCUGGCAUGAACACGUAACAUUUACAACAACCAUCACUUGGACAUACCAUGUGCCACAACCACCAUCUCCUAUAACUAAGAGCCAUCCAAGCCCAGUCUCAAUACUCCCAUCAACCAAAGCCUGUGUUCUGCAAGAUAGCCUGCCAGCCAUGGGAAGCAAGGGCCUCAAGGGUGUGAUGGUGUGUUUACUCAUACUGGGGUUGGUUCUGGAACAUGUGCAAGUAGAAGGCAAGAGUUGCUGCAGGAGCACCCUAGGAAGAAAUUGCUACAACCUUUGCCGCGUCCGUGGUGCUCAGAAGUUAUGCGCAAACGCCUGUAGGUGUAAACUCACAAGUGGCCUAAAAUGCCCUUCAGGCUUCCCGAAAUUGGCCCUUGUGUCAAACUCAGGUAAAGGGAAUGAACUCCUUCUAUUCCAUAUUACUAGUUCUUUCUAAAAUAAGAUGUCAUCAUAUAAAGCGUAUGGCCAGUUCGAGUUUUCUAAGUUUUCCGAAUAAUAUAAUGAACUUUUUUUAAAAAAAAUCCGAUGAUAUUUGUAUGAUCAGUUUUUCAUGAAUAAUGUUUCCAUAAAUAUAAGUUUUCUUAACUUUUUACCAACAAGUAAAUUUUUUUGAAAGGCGGUCUCUUAGGGUCCGGUUCAUCAAAAAAGUUAGAGAAAAGUUGCCUGGUUACCAACAAGUAAUUGUGAAAUGACUAAUAAAAAGCGAAUGAUGGAGACGAUGCCAAUAUCGAAGAUGAUAAUCGUAUUGUAACAGAGGAAUUGUUUGUCUUAGAUGCGAUUAUAUUUACAUGCUAGAUAUUUUAUUUUGACAGAUGAACCAGACACCAUCGACUAUUGCAACUUGGGGUGUAGGGCUUCCAUGUGUGACUACAUGGUCAACG